rnacentral:lncRNA from 1 species
UUUCAAUAAACUUGCUAAGGCCAGAGACAAUACAUAAACAUAUUAGACUGUUCAUGACACAUAUCACGGUGGACAGUGUCUGUGUCCUUAUUACAAGCAGCGAGAGGAAUUAAAUAUGCUUGUCACCACACACACGCGCCCACAGAUGCACGACACACAUAUAGUUGAGACCAACAGAUGGACCUCGACUAGAGGUCGCCCCAUAUGGUGAACAAUUUAUUGGAGAUAAACAUGAACAUAACUUGGCCAUAGCUUGAAGCAUAGCAACAUAUGCCUAUGAAUGGCAUUCAUGCUGGUAGCAAUGCAAUCAUAUCGUUUUAGGCUUGUCCAGCUUCUUCCAUCUUAGCAAGCACUGCCAUUUCUUCCAUCUUAGCAGCAACUGUCAAAUUGAGAUAUGGAAAUCCCAUUAGCGCAUGAGUUAAUUUUGCAGUGGAAAUAGAGUACAAGAUGUCUGCAUGAUGUAAGUAAUAUGCCUGAAGUUGUGAGAUGAGAAGUGAAGUCAACAAAUUACAUUAACGGAAAUGCAUGGAAGGCCACACAUACGUAUUAGUCCACGAUAUGCUACAAAGCUUGUAUGUACAUAUAACAAAUUAAAUGCAUUGAAUAGAGUGAGUUUACUAAAUUUACCAGAAUCGGACAGAACACAUGGGAAACAGCAAGUGUUCUUGCAGAGUGAGUCGGAGCCACCUGCAGUAAUACAAGCAAAACAACAUGCUUUUGCCCGGGCGGAUACGCAGCAGCUGCACUGUGCCGCGGUGGCCGGGUUAACAUUGAGGCUCAAGAUGACCAGGCACAUGAUCACCAUCAAAGCGGUAGUCCUCUUUCCCUCCAUUGCCUCCUCUUGCUGCUACCUUCCUUGGUUACCUAGCUAAGUUUAUUGGUUUUGUGUUGAGAGGUGAUUCUUGAAUGGACGUUGCCGGCUGCAAUUUAUAGGCAGCUGCGCUAUGUGAUGAUAUGGACAAGGUGCAAAUGGGUGGUCCAAUGGCAAGGAAAGGGGGUAUUCUGCUUGACAUUCGCAUCAGACAAAGCCCAAUGGCAACUGCUGACACGCGAUUAAAAUCAGAUCCACAUCUUAUCCAGCCAUUCACUAAUAAUUAAAGUAAACCCACGCGGUCCGCGAGAUGCAGCGUCCAUGCAUAGCACUUCCCGCCAAACAAUAGGAAAAAUUAGAAUUCAGAGAUAGCAGCUGCUUGCAUGAAACACGGUUGCACAGAAAUCAGUGGUGCUUGGACGGUAAGUAGUGUGGUGUACAAGCUUAAAGCGGCAGUGAGUCACGUUGGUGUAACAAGCAGUACAUCAGCUGGAAGAUUGAUAUGUCUAUUGCCCACGCAGCAUAGCAUUUUAUUAUGAUACAUUGAGUUAUGUCAUAUUGUUACUUUAAGUUAUUUUUUAAGUAUUAGUUGUAGACAAUUUAGUUGCAAAUUUAAGCGGUUAUUUUAAAUUAUUUUUUAUAAUGGCAUAAGUGGGUAAUUUAGAUGAAGAUUAGGGGGUUACUUUAGCUUAUUUUAUAUAAUAGCAGAGGUGGGUAAUUUAGAUAUAAAUUUAGGGUUACUUUAGGCUACUUUCUUAAUGGCAUAGGUGGGUAACUUUUUUAGAAAUUAUAAUAGAUCCAAUGGCUACGAUGUUUGAGUCUACUCGUUGAUGGCAAGAUGUUUUGCUUGUUUGUGGAAAUUUUAAAUAUGUCUCUUUUUUGUAGAGUGUCCACCUAGGAUCCUAGGUGGCUUCGCUUGGAGGCUUCAAAAGGAGCUCCAAAAUUAGUAAUAGUAUGAUUUUCUCAAAAGAGACUUAAUUCUACCACUAUAACUUGAUUGGCCGCCCCGGCCUCUACCUUUUGCCUCCAUUUGACUAUUUGAGUUGGCUGUGAACGAUUCUCGGCGCUAGCAACGUUACGUUUGAUCCAAAUGCCAGCACUCAUGUGCGCCACCUGUAUUCUAUGGGAAUGCCAUGAUGCAUGUGCAGUAACAGCGCGCACAUCUUGCAGGAUUCGCGCCUCGUUUUCACUAUUGUGUCAUCUUAGCAAUUAGGAGCGAAGUGUGCUUUGGGGUGGCAAUUAGGAUAUAGACAUUAUUCUCGAAGAGAAUCUUGAAGGCUUACAUUCACCCCCUCCGGUCGCCGGUUCCGAUCCUUCACCUAUAAAUUAGGAGUAGUAGUAGGUAGUAAGUGGCAGGUUAGGUAAGUACCCGUUGAUGAAUGUUGGCUUGGCGUGAUCGGCUCUGCUGGUUCCACGAAGAUGCCAAUAUACAGCAAGGACCUAAGUCCAAAGGGAAAAACAACCAACAAGUGGGUUUGUUGCCGACCGCUAGCUAAUCAACAGUGACGUACGGGUGGAUUCGUACGUAAAUAUUUUUUCAAUCAUGCCAUCAGGCCGCUGAUAAAAUGAGCUUAUGGUUGGCUAACCUUUAAAAUAUUCUUAGAGCUGUUGGCCAUUGUGAUAACUUUGCACGUGCAUCAUGAAGAUGCCAACAUACAAUAAGGACAUAAGACCAAAGGAAAGAACAACCAACAAGUGCCUCUGCUGAUCGGUCAGGUCUCAGAGUUUGAGAAACUGGAUCUGACGGAUGUGAAAUUAAUCCAUGCGUGGCGUCAUGCAAAUUUGUUCACAGGUUUGAACAGCAUGUAAUCUUUUUCAGGCAUCUAUAUGGAGCGUGGGUGUGUUAUGUUAUCUUCUACUACACAUAUAACAUCAAAUUCAUUCAGUUUGGCCGAGAGCCCAAAAUGCAACGAAUAUGCCAUCCAACGUGAAAAAAAAAGAUGAGGAACAGUAUACUCUAUCUUCGAAAUUAGUCAACGAGAUGCAGCUUCAAAAGAGAUAAGAGCAGACAAGAGGCACCAUGGGAUGCUGCAAAAUUUGGGAUCACGUGUGAGGAUCCCUAAUUAGGAAAAAAGAAUAAUUGAGCUAGCAACAAUAGUAGGACAUCUCCAUGCUCACCUUGUAUAGUAGCCACUGCUAGUGCGCGUGGAACACGACUGCCGGCCCAGUUGGCGCUAAGACAUCGUACGUGCAUUAAGUCUGAGGUGCUAGGACAGCUUCCUCUUGCUUCCCCACCAUAUCAUGAGCAACGAUCUCUUUCUUUCUAACUCAUGCUUGACUGUGACGGUGCUAUUAUAUAUUAUUGCAUGAUCAUCAAGAUAAGAUCGUAUAGUGACUGAGUGAGACAUCUAUGUACUAACUUGCAUUUAAGCCUCGAACUGUGUGUCAUUACGUGAGCUGCCUCCUGUCCUCGCCUCUGAAUUAUUGAACCGUUCCCAACAGCUAGUGUUGGUCUCAAAGGAAUUUGACACCAAACAGAUUGAUAAAGAAAAGAGAAUAAUACUUGGAAUUGGAAAAAGUUGAUCUCUCUAUACAAUGAGGUAGGGCUCCCCUUUUAUAGUGACCCAUCAGCCACUUUACAUUCCGAAAAUAUCCUUCCUCAACCACUACAUUCUUAGGAUAUGCCAUACAUAAAUGUCAUUUGAGGUGACGUGUACAAAUUGAACUCUUCCACGUGGUCACGUUUCUCACGCCUCUUGUUUUCCAACCUCGAGACUUCAUCUCAGAGGUGUCCCCAUAGAACGUGCGAGGUUAAUGAGUUCAGUUUCUUUUACUGCCGACGCAUAACAUGCGAGGAUGAACGAAUAUGAGGAACACUAAAUGCCAUCCAACGGGAAAAGAAAAGAUGAGGAACAGUAUACUCUAUCUUCGAAAUUAGUUAUAAAGAUUCAGCUUCAAAAGAGAUAACGAGGCGUCCAAGACUCGAGUAGCCAGUCAAGAGCAGACAAGAGGCACAUGAGUGCAUGCAUCCACACCUUGGGAUGCUGCAAACUUUUAUGAGGCUGCAAGCUGCAUACAUAAGUUUAUUUCACCUUUGUUCACAAUACUCUUCACACACCAUUCACACACGUCUCAGGGAGCUCUGCAGCAAUGGUGGAGAUCUUAGCUAGACUGCUCACUUCCCUUGUUGUCGCUAUUGCCAAAAACACAAGCUCACCUCUGCUAUUGCGAAGCAGGCCAAUUUGCUGUGGAACUUUGGCGACGACCUGAAGGACAUGAACUCGGUGCUGGAGUCCAUCUCAGCAGCGCUCCAGGACGCUGACACUGCUAGAAAAACGACCUUUCAUCCUCAACAAAAGUCCCGGUAGCUUUUUUACCCGGAACUAAAGAGGUUUUAGUCCUGCGCAAACACCUUUAGUCCGGGUUGCUGUUACCAACCAAGAGUAAAGGGUACGAUGGCACCAACCGGGACUAAAGCACCCCCCACGAGUUACUAUAAAGGAUUGCAUCCUCCACUUAGUCAGAUUUACUGUGUAGGUGAGAUGGUAAGGAAGCUAUGCGUGAGGCUUGAGAUCAUUGGUUCGAAUCCCACGCACCGCGCGCGCACGCGCAUAGUUUGAGUGAAAAAUCAUGUCACUUGUGAUCGGCCAAGGAGAAGUGGGUGCAGAUGUGGCUUAAGCGGCUGAGGCACGCCGCCAUAGACAUCUCGGAUUUGCUCGAAGACUACAAAGACACUAGCGAACCCUUAACAGCAAAGGUGAGUACUUAUGCAUGUCAACAUCUAUGUUGUCCAUGCUUCCAAUGCAAUAAGAAGGACUACUCUUCCUAGCGGACUCUUCACAACCACUUGUAAAGCUAUGUGUUUCUCAAUGCAAUUUCGUAGAAGGCAAUGGAUCCAACCAACCGACUAAAUCAUUCGUCCUUGCCAAUGAUGUGCUUCAGGUUUUCUAUAUGAAGGACAUGUGACUACUAGAAAAACGAUCUUUCAUCCCUAGCCUUAGUACCGGUUGCAUUUGGAACCGGUACUAAUGUAAACUGUCCGGAGCGCACCUCGAUGACCCCUUUAGUACCGGUUGGGGGCAACAACCGGUACUAAAGGGUGAGCAUUAGUACCGGUUGUUACCUUAAUCCGGUACUAAAGGGCUACCCACCCUCUAUUACCGGUUGGUGGCAUCAACCGGUACUAAAAGGGAUACCCUCUAGCACCGGUUGCUGCCACAACCCGGUACUAGUGCGGCGCCAUGCGGAAUAGAAGGUAGAUCGAUUGUACAUGGAGGGGGAACAAAGGGAGAAAGGCAAAUCAUCAGCUUAUUAUCACAUGGUAGACUAGUCUUUAAAACAUGUUUAGGGAAGAGCACAUUACGUUUAUCUUGUUUUGCACAACAACAAAUGUGACCUUUAGAAGAUAGCCCUCCUCUAAUUAAACUAGUGCACUAUUACAGGAUGGUAUCGCACGCUUCCUUUUUCCCUAUGAAAAUGAAGUUUUUAAUGAUCUGAUAGCAGCUAGCAAAACAAAUGAUUGCAAAGAUGUUUGCAGAUGAUAAUGAUACUUAUGACCACUCUGAUGAUGAAGAGAUAGAGGAACAUUUGGUCCGUCAACGUAUUUCAAAUUAACACGUCAAAUCGCACUCAAGACCUCUCACCAACUCCUCCACCAGUUUCCAAAGGCAAAUCAACUUAUUAUCGCAUGCAUGGUAGUGUCUUUGAAACAUGUUUAGGGCACAACACAUUACGUUUAUCAUCUUUUGCACAACAUUAAAUGGACCUUUGGAAGAUAGCCCUCCUCUAAACUUGUGAUGCAUUGUAAUGAUAUGUCAUGUAUAUAUGUCUCACUUGUAUCAUAGCUGUUAAAGUACCACGUCAAAUUGCACUUGCGGUGAGAUCUCUCUGACCAAGUCCUCCACCACUUUCCAAGGCAAAUCAGACAAACUCCUUGUUAUAUUCCACAUAUUGGUUUCAUCCUUAUAUAGAUGUCCAUUUAUACUCCUUUGUUUGUCUACUCAACUUAUCACAUUGUCGUAGUGUCUUUGAAACAUGUUUAGGGAAAGUCCAUAGUGGAGGGUAGUAAAUGUCAAAGGGAGUUUGUAAGGAUAAGACAACACAAAUUUUGUAAGGGUAUUCUAAAGCAUUUGAUUCUAAACUAUCCGCGAGACCUCUCACCAACUCCUCCACCACAUUCCAAGAUAAUAUACCAUCAAAUUCCUUGUAGGAGUUUGGAUGUUGGACCAACGGGAAGUUGACGAAAGAGUGGGACAAAAAUGUGACUCGAUCAUGUCAUUGUGGGCAAAGGUCCUGGUAGCUCAUGGAACAGAUCAUUUGAAGUACACAGGAUAGGGAGGCAAUAGUCGGCACAAGGAGAGGCAUGACCAGAAGCUUGAAAGAAGUAAACUUCAAAGCUAGGAGGAAUGAUAUUCUUGCUGGUUCAAUGUGUCUUCUUAUAGAUCAGUUCAUAGAUCUUAUGUAUUUGGCUGUGAUGAAAGCUAUGGAGCCCUCCCAGCCCCUUCGAGUUGAUGCUAAGCCCAAUCUAAACUGCACAUGGAAUGUGAAAACUCUUUCUGCAAUGAGCCAAGCUAUCAAUCCAUCCCUGUGAGGCAACAUCUCGAUUCUGUGGCUACUGACUGAGGUAUUUGGCAUAGAGUAGACCAAUGGUGCAUUGUGAAUAAGCUUAUUAGAAUGUGAAUAAGUCAUAAUUCUUGCUCGUCCUCCAUUUGUUCGCUCUCUGUUCUUUUGUUUACAAGGGACUCGGUUGAUCCGCGGGACCUCUCACCAACUCCUUCACCACUUUCCAAGGCAAAUCAGCUUAUCACAUGUGGUAGUAUCUUUGAAACAUGUUUAGGGCACAAGAGGAAGGCAUAGUGCUGGAAAAACGGUUAAUGGGGUGGCGGACGGCGGGAUGCUUUGCAUUCUCGUACGAAGGAAGCUCCAUCAACUAGAUUGGCGGUCAAGUUGCAUGAAGCAGAUGCCACAGUCGACGGAGAGAGCAUCUGGGUCUAACCAUAAUAACACAAGUCUUUCCUUUAGAUAACAUGCCAUCAGAUUCCUUGCAAGAGUUUGUAUGUUCGACCAACAGGAAGUUGACGAAAGAGUGGGACAAAAAUGUGACUCGAUCAUGUCAUUGUGGGCAAAGGUCCUAGUAGCUCAUGGAAUAGAUGAUAUCAUUUGAAGUACAUAGGACAGAGAGGCCAUAGUCGGCACAAGGAGAAGCAUGACCAGAAACUUGAAAGAGGUAAGCUUCAAAGCUAGGAGGAAUGUUAUUCUUGCUAGUUCAACGGUGUCUUCUUAUAGAUCAGUUCAUAGAUCUUAUAUAUUUGGCCGUGAUGACAGCUAUGGAUCCCUCCCAGCCCCUUUGAGCCGAUGCCAAGCCCAAUCUGAACUGCACAUGGAACGUGAAAACUCUUUCUGCAAUGAGCCAAGCUAUCAAUAUCCAUCCCUGUGAGCAAACAUCUUGAUUCUGUGGCUACUAACUGAGGUAUUUGUCGUAGUGUCUUUGAAACAAGUCAAACACCUUACCAGGGAUCAAGCUCCACGAGAACGAGAGCUACUUUCAGUUCCAGGAUAUUAAUCAACAAGUCAAACACCUUCCCAGGGGAUCAAGCUCCAUGAGAACGAGAGCUACUUUCAGUUCCAAGAUAUUAAUCAACAAGUCAAACACCUAACCAGGGGAUCAAGCUCCACGAGAACGAGAGCUACUUUCAGUUCUAGGAUAUAGGCAUAGCUGUGAGGGGGGCCACAACGCCCCUUUAUAUAAGGGCUACUGGUUUUGCCCUUGCCUUGUGAAGUUGUGCCACAUAACUCCCAAAAUCCCUCAAGAAAGAUAACACCACAAACAGGAAGCCAAGUAGCUAUGGAACCUGUGACAGAUAUAGCUUCCUCAUUAUGUGACUCAUGUCAUUGUGGGUGCGGGGUGACCUUGAUCUACAACUUUGUAGUUGAAAUAUUUUUCAUUUGGUGUCAUCUUGGUGCUCAAAUAAUCGACACGAACUAAAACUUGGCACCACACAUUCAAAAAAUAAUAAAUAUUUAAUAUGAACUCAGAUAUAGAUAAACUUUAUAUCAAAAUUGUUGAUAUAAGUUCAAAUUGUUUUCAUUUGGAGCCAUCUUGGUGCUCAAAUAAUCGAAACAUUUUCUAGAUCUAAAAUUUAAUUUUAGAUCUGAAACUUGUGUCGAUUAUUUGAGCACCAAGAUAAUACCAAAUGAAAAAUGUUUGAACUACAAAGUUGUAGAUCUCGUCGAGAUGUACAAUUUUCAUAUAAAGUUUAUCUCCAUCCGAGUUCAUAUGAAUUAGUUCAACCGGCGGUAAGGCUGCUACAGUGUAGCUUCCGCCGUUUCAAACGGCGGUAUAGGUUUAGAUUAGCAAUUUUUUUUAACCCAUAUAUUUUUGCAAAAUACUAAAAUAAAAAUAUAAAAAUAAAAAAAAUCUAGUUUUAAUCAACAAUGACUAAAUGUUAGCCCGGUUAUGCCCCAUCUUAGGUCUAAUCAUGGACCAAUAAAACAUGUGCUAGACUUCACGGCCACCGGAUGCGUGUUCGACCAUGUAAUCGUAUGCUAUACCUCACAGGAGGUUGAAAAUGGCCCGAAGGGGUACAGUGGAUGAAAACGUUGGGGACGCUCGGAACACAAGAAAAUGACCACCAGAUACGUGUUUGGCCAUUGUAACUAUGCGCUAUAGUUGAUAGAUUGAAAGCGGCUCGAAGAGGCAUCAGGGAUGGAAACAUGGGGAAUGGUCGGAACACUUGAAAAUGGCACUGGAUAAGUGUGCUUAUUCCUUGCAAAACGCUGAAAAUGGCUCGGAAGGGUCAUCGAGGAUGGAAACUAGGUGGUCAAUAAGUGAAAAUGGGCAGCGGACAUGUUCGGUCAUGUAACCGUGUGCUAUAGUCCACUAGAGGUCGGAAAGCUGCCCUAGGGGCUCUAGAGACGAAAACGUGAGGAACAGCUAAAAGGUUACGUGUUUGGUCAUGACAGCCCUAUUAGGAAGCGAUAGAAGUGGAAAGAUAGCUGGUUUCAGAUUGGCAACCCAUCUUUUGCUUCCCCUUACUUCCAUCCGUAAUCCAUGGGCAUCGAAUUUAAAAGUAUACAAAUCACUUUUAGAUGUAAUUGAGGGUAAAGAGGGGAGGUUUCGUGAGACUCUACAAUGUUCAAAUUGUUCGUUCGUUAGGAGGCCUCAGCUACAUACAUCAUUGCACUUCCGGUUGACACCAAUUUAAAUGGUUCGUCUAGCCGCUACAAGGUAUCAUCAGAUAUAGAAGAAUUAGAGACUGGGGGUAAUAGCAAAAAUGGAAUAUAACUCGUUCGAGAAAGUGGGUGCAGGGCAGUGGGGUAAGGUAAUUGAAGUAACUAGCUAGUUUCUUCCCGAAACUUCCCAAGAAAAAUCCCGAAUUGGAUCCAAAAUUGACGGAUUAAUCAACCAAAAUAACCGUGAGCAGCCACAAUGUUAUAAGUCCCUUCUUCUUGACCUAAUUUGUAACCCUUAUUAGCAGACUCAUUUUCACUGGUUUCCCUGAUCAAACUAGAGGUUACCAAGGAACCGUGUGCUCUAGCCCACAGGUGGCCGAAAACGGCCAAGAAGGGCUUCGGGGAUGGAAACAACGUGGAUGGUCAGAACACGUGAGAAUGACCACGGGAUGCAUGUUUGGCCCUAUAACAGUGUGCUAUAGGAAGCCGGAAAUGGCCAGGAGAGUCACCAGGGAUGAAGAUAAAGGGAUGGAUGGAACACGCGAAAAUGGCCACCAGUGAUUAGUGGCAGGUCUAGAGAGAUAUCUCAUCAAAUCGGUGAGUUAUAUCCGAUUUAAACGAGGAUAAAAAUGAGUGUAUUUUCCACCCAUCAUGUUGACUUUUCGCAGCUAUACUGCCUUUAGUGUGUUGUAUUGUUCCCAUGACACCAAAUCUCCAAGGCCCGAGAAAAUAAGGAAAGUGAUAGCAGCCCAGAAAUCGACCAAGUUUCUUUCCCACUUUGGCAUUCCUACUAGGAUUCGGAAUACUCUUUCGCAUGACAAUCAUAAUUAUCUCCCAUAAUCCAAAACUCACAAAAACAUCAAAAAUCCGCCGAGAAUAAAUUAAGUAAAAAACAUGCACACACAGAUAAUAAUAAUAAUAAUAAUAAUAAUAAUAAUAAUAAUAAUAAUAAUAAUAAUAAUAAUAAUCGUGUUUCUAUAAAAUUGCUAAGGCCAGAGACAAUACAUAAAAAUAUUAGACUGCUCAUGACACAUAUCACGGUGGACAGUGUCUGUGUCCUUAUUACAAGCAGCGAGAGGAAUUAAACAUGCUUGUCACCACACACACGCGCGCACAGAUGCACGACACACAUAUAGUUGAGACCAACAGAUGGACCUCGACUAGAGGUCGCCCCAUAUGGUGAACAAUUUAUUGGAGAUAAACAUGAACAUAACUUGGCCAUAGCUUGAAGCAUAGCAACAUAUGCCUAUGAAUGGCAUUCAUGCUGGUAGCAAUGCAAUCAUAUCGUUUUAGGCUUGUCCAGGUUCUUCCAUCUUAGCAAGCACUGCCAUUUCUUCCAUCUUAGCAGCAACUGUCAAAUUGAGAUAUGGAAAUCCCAUUAGCGCAUGAGUUAAUUUUGCAGUGGAAAUAGAGUACAAGAUGUCUGCAUGAUGUAAGUAAUAUGCCUGAAGUUGUGAGAUGGGAAGUGAAGUCAACAAAUUACAUUAACGGAAAUGCAUGGAAGGCCACACAUACGUAUUAGUCCACGAUAUGCUACAAAGCUUGUAUGUACAUAUAACAAAUUAAAUGCAUUGAAUAGAGUGAGUUUAUUGAAUUUACCAGAAUCGGACAGAACACAUGGGAAACAGCAAGUGUUCUUGCAGAGUGAGUCGGAGCCACCUGCAGUAAUACAAGCAAAACAACAUGCUUUUGCCCGGGCGGAUACGCAGCAGCUGCACUGUGCCGCGGUGGCCGGGUUAACAUUGAGGCUCAAGAUGACCAGGCACAUGAUCACCAUCAAAGCGGUAGUCCUCUUUCCCUCCAUUGCCUCCUCUUGCUGCUACCUUCCUUGGUUACCUAGCUAAGUUUAUUGGUUUUGUGUUGAGAGGUGAUUCUUGAAUGGACGUUGCCGGCUGCAAUUUAUAGGCAGCUGCGCUAUGUGAUGAUAUGGACAAGGUGCAAAUGGGUGGUCCAAUGGCAAGGAAAGGGGGUAUUCUGCUUGACAUUCGCAUCAGACAAAGCCCAAUGGCAACUGCUGACACGCGAUUAAAAUCAGAUCCACAUCUUAUCCAGCCAUUCACUAAUAAUUAAAGUAAACCCACGCGGUCCGCGAGAUGCAGCGUCCAUGCAUAGCACUUCCCGCCAAACAAUAGGAAAAAUUAGAAUUCAGAGAUAGCAGCUGCUUGCAUGAAACACGGUUGCACAGAAAUCAGUGGUGCUUGGACGGUAAGUAGUGUGGUGUACAAGCUUAAAGCGGCAGUGAGUCACGUUGGUGUAACAAGCAGUACAUCAGCUGGAAGAUUGAUAUGUCUAUUGCCCUGUGCAUAGCAUUUUAUUAUGAUACACUAAGUUAUGUCAUAUUGUUACUUUAAGUUAUUUUUUAAGUAUUAGUUGUAGACAAUUUAGUUGCAAAUUUAAGCGGUUAUUUUAAAUUAUUUUUUAUAAUGGCAUAAGUGGGUAAUUUAGAUGAAGAUUAGGGGGUUACUUUAGCUUAUUUUAUAUAAUAGCAGAGGUGGGUAAUUUAGAUAUAAAUUUAGACACGUUUAAAAAAAUGUAUCUACAGUUUCUGACACGGUCCGUGUGGAGACGCUCCAGACAUGCUUUACUCAAGCGCAUCUAUACUUCAGUAGAGAUGAAAUAAAGCGUAUCUAACAUAGGAAUAAAGCGUAUCUAGAGGAGGUUUUUCUUGUAGCGAGGGAUGAACCAUUAUUGGACGAACUAGCACACUUGCUUCUACCCGCUCCCCCACACCCCACAACCGCCCCCAGUGUGAGCGUCCAUGUCUCGAUCGUUGCUCGCGUUAAGCGGUGCCGCCGCACUGCACCACAACGACAGAAGCCACACCACCGGCUGCAUGUGACAGCGGGGAGCACCCUCACCACCUGCCCGCGGGGAGCGCUUACGCCAGCCAUAGUGUCCCCAUAGAACCGCCGCGCGAGCCUGUGAGCCACCGACUGCCGUGCCCCCAAGGGCCAUCACCGCGCCACCCGAGGAUGCUGUCUACCCGGUGCCACGCGCCUCUGCUAGCUGCCUGCACCUGGGCCGCCACCGGUCGCCUGCACAGCCACGUGUUGCAGCCGCCCCCUGCGCUGAGCCACCCCAUUUCACGUUGGAAGAACCACCUGAGUCUCGCACGCCGAGGUCUUGCUGGUGACGACCAUGGCCUCCGCGAUCAUAUGAAAAAGUUGUCAACUACAAAGUAUUAGGCCUCGUCGAUCUCUACAAUUUUGAUCGAAAGUUUCUAUUCAUCCGAGAUCAAAUGAAAAAGUUGGUACUCAAAAUAUACAUCCAUUAAUCUAGUCGUGCUAAUCCUUACCACAAAUUAAAAAACUAGCAUGUGUCUGUGUGUUUGUGACCCUAAACAAUCACAAACGAAUAACUUAUCAACUUCAAAAUUUAGCUGAUCAGGAGUCUAGGCAACCUCAAGGGUAUAAAUAUGUGCACCCUGAGGCUUGCAAGAUUUUAUCUCUCGAUUAAUCAAUGCAAUUUUUGGGCACCACGCAGCCAAACCCUUAGGAGUAGAAGUAACGUAGCUUUUUGUUGAGUAUCUUCUUGCGCGCAGGGCUGCAUCAGCUUCGAUAUCCGACGAACUUGUAAGUACCGUCAUCCGGUCAUUACGUUAUCUAUAUUAAAAGUUUCUAGACAUCAUCCAAUAUUCUAAUCUUUUAUCGUGUGGCUAUUAUCGAGUUAUCUUAUAUUGUAAAUAAAACUUGCUAGGGUUUGUCCAAUAUUCCAUUUGUUUUUGGCGUAACUGCUUAAUUAGAUCUGCUUAGGUUGUUCUCAUUGGCUUCUAGUCUUGUUUAAACGUUCACAAGUUAUUUGAUCGUAUCGGCAAGUUCGACCUUGCAUGCUUUUAUCGCUUUAUCUAUACUAGGUCCGAUAGAUCUUUACCCCUUCCCCUUGUAUUGCUAGCAGUUGGAUCCAUAACGUUAGAACGAUACUGUUGAGAGCUGAUGCAUUGAUUUAGUAUCAUCCAUAUCUCAUAGAAUGUAUCAUGGUUAAUGGCAAUUUAAUGAAAUUAUAAAGGAUAAUAACAAUCGUGCUUUCGGCGUUCCAAAAAUCAAUCAAGAAUUCAUCAUGGUUGUGCAGUGUAUGGAAACCUUAUGGUAAUAGUUAGAUGGGAAAUGUUGUAUUAUGUAAUAAAUCCAGGUACUUCACAAAUCAUGAUCGAUGGAUGUCUAACACUGUUGAAAGAGAUUGGAAUAAAGCAGACUCACCUCAGACUAUGCACCAUGUCUGAGUGACCCACCUCACCUUGCCAGGUCACUGGUCUUGCCAGCACACAAGCUAUGAUGUUGCCAGGAGUGGUCAGUACACAAAUCUAGCUACCAGUCGGAUCGAAGGGCAGGCAUUUGCAUUGUGGUUGUGCUUGAACAUGGAGAUGUCUUGCGAUUGUCACGCACCAUACAUCCUCUCUCAGUUUCACUCCGCCUCACACACGGAUAGGACACCAGGGACCCGACACCAUGCAUGCCGAUUUCAUAUUAUUAAUAUUUAUUUUUUGAAUGGUUGUUGAAACUAUAUAUAUAGUUAGUCCAAUCUCACGUUUCCGAUUAUAAAAAUUAACAUAAAGAGAUCGGAAGGGAGAGCACUAGAGCCGGCAUUUAUACAAACUGGUAUGAAUAGUAAAAUCUAGAAUUUAUAAAUAAAAAAUUGAUUUGCACAUCUAUGCAAUAAUUAGUGGUUAGUGGUAGGUCUAGAGAGAUAUCUCAUCAAAUCGAUGAGUUAUAUCCGGUUUAAACGAGGAUAAAAAUGAGUGUAGUCUUUUCGCAGCUGUACCGCCUUUCCUUUCAUGUGUUCUAUUGUUCCCCUAACACCAAGUCUCCAAGACUCAAGAAAAUAAGGAAAGUGAUAGCAGCCUAGAAAUCGACCAAGUUUCUUUCCCCCUUUGGCUUUUCUACUAGGAUUCGAAAUCCUCUUUCGCAUGACAAUCUUAAUUAUCUCCCAUAGUUCAAAACUCACAAAACUAUCAAAAAUCCACCGAGAAUAAAUUAUGUAAAAACAUGCACACACAGAUAAUAAUAAUAAUAAUCAUGUUUCAAUAAAAUUGCUAAGGCCAGAGACAAUACAUAAACAUAUUAGACUAUUCAUGACACAUAUCACGGUGGACAGUGUCUGUAUCCUUAUUACAAGCAGCGAGAGAUGCUUGUCACCACACACACGCGUGCACAGAUGCACGACAUACAUAUAGUUGAGACCAACAAAUGGUUGCCCCAUAUGGUGAACAAUUUAUUGGAGAUAAACAUUAACAUAACUUGGCCAUAGCUUGAAGCAUAGCAACAUAUGCCUAUGAAUGGCAUUCAUACUGGUAGCAAUGCAAUCAUAUCGUUUUAGGCUUGUCCAGCUUCUUCCAUCUUAGCAAGCGCUCCCAUUUCUUCCAUCUUAGCAACAACUGUCAAAUUGAGAUAUGAAAAUCCCAUUAGCACAUGAGUUAAUUUUGCACUGGAAAUAGAGUACAAGAUGUCUUCAUGAUGUAAGUAACAUGCCUGAAGUUGUGAGAUGGGAAGUGAAGUCAACAAAUUACAUUAAUGGAAAUGCAUGGAAGGCCACGCAUGCAUACGUAUUAGUCCACGAUAUGCUACAAAGCCUUGUAUGUACAUAUAACAAAUUAAAUGCAUUGAAUAGAGUGAGUUUACUGAAUUUACCAGAAUCGGACAGAACACAUGGGAAACAGCAAGUGUUCUUGCAGAGUGAGUCGGAGCCACCUGCAGUAAUACAAGCAAAACAACAUGCUUUUGCCCGGGCGGAUACGCAGCAGCUGCACUGUGCCGCGGUGGCCGGGUUAACAUCGAGGCUCAAGAUGACCAGGCACAUGAUCACCAUCAAAGCGGUAGUCCUCUUUCCCUCCAUUGCCUCCUCUUGCUGCUACCUUCCUUGGUUACCUAGCUAAGUUUAUUGGUUUUGUGUUGAGAGGUGAUUCUUGAAUGGAUGUUGCCGGCUGCAAUUUAUAGGCAGCUGCGCUAUGUGAUGAUAUGGACAAGGUGCAAAUGGGUGGUCCAAUGGCAAGGAAAGGGGGUAUUCUGCUUGACAUUGGCAUCAGACAAAGCCCAAUGGCAACUGCUGACACGCGAUUAAAAUCAGAUCCACAUCUUAUCCAGCCAUUCACUAAUAAUUAAACUAAACCCACGCGGUCCGCGAGAUGCAGCGUCCAUGCAUACACUUCCCGCCAAACAAUAGGAAAAAUUAGAAUUCAGAGAUAGUAGUGUGCCAGCAGCUGCUUGCAUGAAACACGGCAAUCAGUGGUGCUUGGACGGCAAGUAGUGUGGUGUACAAGCUUAAAGCGGCAGUGAGUCACGUUGGUGUAACAAGCAGUACAUCAGCUGGAAGAUUGAUAUGUCUAUUGCCCACGCAGCAUAGCAUUUUAUUAUGAUACAUUGAGUUAUGUCAUAUUGUUACUUUAAGUUAUUUUUUAAGUAUUAGUUGUAGACAAUUUAGUUGCAAAUUUAAGCGGUUAUUUUAAAUUAUUUUUUAUAAUGGAAUAAGUGGGUAAUUUAGAUGAAGAUUAGGGGGUUACUUGUAGCACUACAUGAAGGCGCUGAGGUGGGNNNNNNNNNNNNNNNNNNNNNNNNNNNNNNNNNNNNNNNNNNNNNNNNNNNNNNNNNNNNNNNNNNNNNNNNNNNNNNNNNNNNNNNNNNNNNNNNNNNNUCUUAUGGAUAGGUGGGUAAUUUUUUUAGAAAAUAUAAUAGAUCCAAUGGCUACGAUGAUUUGAGUCUAAUGAUUGAUGGCAAGAUGUUUUUCUUGUUUGUGGGAAUUUUAAAUAUUUCUCUUUUUUUUAGAGUGUCCACCUAGAAUGCUAGGUGGUUUCACUUGGAGACUUCAAAAGGAGCUUCCAAAUUAGUAAUAGUAAGAUUUUCUCAAAAGAGACUUGAUUCUACCACUAUAACUUGAUUGGCCGCCCCGGCCUCUACCUUUGCCUCCAUUUGACUAUUUGAGUUGGCUGUCAACGAUUCACGGUGCUGGCAACAUUACGUUUGAUCCAAAUGCCACUACUCAUGUGCGCCAGCUGUAUUCUACCAAGUGGCAUGUGGGAAUGCCAUGAUGCAUGUGCAGUAACAGCGUGCACAUCUUGUAGGAUUCGCACCUCGUUUUCACUAUUGUAUCAUCUUAGCGAUUAGGAGCGAAAUGUGCUUGGGGGUUGCAAUUGGGAUAUAGACCUUAUUCUCGAAGAGAAUCUUAAAAGCUUACAUUCGCCCCCUCGGUCGCCUGUGUUCCGAUCCUUCACCUAUAAAUUAGGAGUAGCAGGUAGUAAGUGGCAGGUUAGAUAAGUACUCGUUGAUGAAUGUUGACUUGGCGUGAUUGGCUCUGCUAUUUUCACGAAGAUGCCAAUAUUGAAAGCACAUCCACCAUUUCUGCGGAUGUGAGGGAUGAACUAAUUAAUUGUUUCUUGUCCAUUAUUGCACCGUACCUCCCAUUUUCCCGUUUUCCAAACAAUUAAAGGUACCCUUACGUUACGCUUGAUCCAAAUGCCACCACUCAUGUGCGCAAGUGGCAUGUGGUAAUGCCAUGAUGCAAGUGCAGUAACAGCGUGUACAUCUUGCAUGAUUCGCGCCUCGUUUUCACUAUUGUAAUCUAUAAAGAAACAAACAAAAAACAAAAUGAUGGAUGGAUCAGCUCGGGAUCCAAUAAUCGAGAGGAAUUCAAGGAAAAAGAAAAAUUUGGGAUCACGUGUGCGGAUCCUAAUAACAAUAUAUAGUAGGACAUCUCCAUGCUCACCUAGUAGCCACUACUAGUGCGCCGGCCCAGUUGGCGCUAAGACAUCGUACGUGCAUUAAGGGGGUGUUUGAUACUGGAUGCUAAACUUUAGCAGUGUCACAUCGGAUGUUCGGAUGCUAAUUAGGAGGACUAAACAUGAGCUAAUUAUAAAACUAAUUGCAGAACCCCUGUGCUACUUCGCGAGAUGAAUCUAUUAAGGCUAAUUCAUCCAUCAUUAUCAAAUGGUUACUGUAGCACCACAUUAUCAAAUUAUGGACUAAUUAGGCUUAAUAGAUUCAUCUCGCGAAUUAAACUCCAUUUGUGCAAUUAGUUUUGUAAUUAGUCUAUGUUUAAUACUUCUAAUUAGCAUCCAAACAUCCGAUGUGACAGGUGCUAAACUUUAACAGUGGGGAUCCAAACGGGGCCUAAGUCUGUGGUGCCCAACGAUCUCUUUCUUCUAACUCAUGCUUGACUGUGACGGUGCUAUUAUAUAUUAUUGCAUGAUCAUCAGGAUAAGAUCGUAUAGUGACUGAGUGAGACAUGUAUGUACUAACUUGCAUUUAUCCAAGAAGAGGCACAUGAGUAGUGGUGCAUGCAUCCACACCUUGGGAUGCUGCAAACUUUUAUGGGUCCAUAUGUAUAGCCAAGUAAACUAUUUUAUCCUGCUGCAAGCUGCAGACAUAAGUUUAUUUAACCUUUGUUCACAAUCACUUCCACUGUCGUCGCAAUUGCCAAAGACAAGCUCACCAAUGCUAUUGCGGAGCAGGCCAAUUUCCUGUGGAACUUCGGCGACGACCUGAAGGACAUGAACUCGGUGCUGGAGUCCAUCUCAGCAGCGCUCCAGGACGCUGACACCGGUAGAAAAACGACAUUCCAUCCUCAACAAAAAUCAUGGCAUCCUCUACUCAGUCAGAUGUACUGUGUAGGUGAGAUGGUAAGGAAGCUAUGCGCGAGGCUUAAGGUCGUGAGUUCGAAUCCCAUGCACCACGCACGCACGCGCAUAUUUCACGUGACUUGUGAUCCGCCAAGGAGAAAUGGGUGCAGCUGUUGCUUAAGUGCCUGAGGCACACUGCCAUAGACAUCUCGGAUUUGCUCGAAGAGUACCAAGAAACUAGGAACCCUUAACAGCAAAGGUGAGUACUUAUGUAUGUCAGCAUCUAUGUUGUCCAUGCUUCCAAUGCAAUAACACGAAGGACUACUCUUUCUAGCGGACUCUUCACAAUCACUCGUAAAGGUAUGCGUUUCUCAAUGCAAUUUCAUAGAAGGCAAUCGAUCCAACCAAGCGACUAAAUCAUUCGUCCUUGCCAAUGAUGUGCAUCAGGUUUUCUAUAUGAAGGGCAUGUCUAGCAAACCCAAGAUUUCAGAACAAAAGAAAAAUCAUGUGAGCCAAAGCGCCACAUUGUUCUUCCAAGUAAAAAACAUCAUGGGAGUCGAGAACAAAUCAGACCAAUCAAGGGAUUAUGGUCAGCUUGAUGGCAUGCCUCCAUUCGAUGUCGAAGUUGACCCAAGCAUCAUGUUAGCCAAAGAUCAAAUGUUCGUGCGUUGCUAUGGUAAAUAUCAAUUGUGUUUUUUAAACUCAUGGAUUUUUUUAUCUAAGUUUUUAUUACACUUAUUGGAUGUCUACACAUUUGCUAGAAAACCAAAAUAAUUUUGACUUAAUUAUUUCUUUCAACUCAAAUACUCAUUAAAUUUCUACGUUUUUAUUUAAGCAAGAGAGUUGCUACAAAAAAAUGGAUACGUAACCAUAUUGUAUCAUACAAAGCAACCACAUUUCACAUAUAGUCCGGCUUUGCAAACACCAUUGUUAUCUGAACAUAGCAUACAUGAGUUAGUAGACAUGGAUAUAUUUCUAAUUGCAAGUAGCAUACAACCAGCCUGCACCGACGCAGCUCAAUAUGCGAUAAUUUUUAUCUUCCCAUGUAAUUUUUCUACUCUAGUACAUAUUGAACUCCACAUAAAUGUGAUCUUUCACGCCACAGACGGUUCCUAAAGUUUGGAAACUAAAUAGAUAGCCAGAAAUUUUUUAGAAAGUAUUUAUAUGGAUACAUGUAUGUUCUUCGCAAACUAACAGUAUUGUUUACCAAUAUCAAAAGGAAUAUGGCUAGGAUCAUUGCCGCAUAUGGCAGGUGAUGGUAAAGUUAUCAACUGCAAAGUAUUAGGCCUCGUUGAGCUCUACAAUUUUGAUAUAAAGUUUCUAUUCAUCCGAGAUCAAAUGAAAAAGUUGGUACUCAAAACAUUCAUCCAUUAAUCUAGUCGUGCUAAUACUUAGCACUAAAUGAAAAACUAGCAUGUGUUGUGUGUUUGUGACCCUAAAUGAUCACAAAUGAAUAACUUAUGGGCGUUGCUAGCGCCCGGACGUAUGGUUCGGGGUGCUAGCAUCGGACGCACGAGCAGCCGUCCGAUCAGGUCCGACACCACUUCAGGAUCUGGCUCAAAAAAAAGUCCCACCGAAACAUUGUUCCAUGUUGCAUAAAAUAUCCCACUAUCCAUUGCUGGGUCUAGAGCAAGCACCAGCUUCCAAUAUGCUGCUCACCCAAGCUAAAUAGGGGCAUUAAAAUUGCAGAAAUAUGUCGCAUAUCCUUCUCAAAUUAAACUAAAUCACAACAUCCGAAAAUUUCUUACACAAAACCAUGAAACAUAUCGAUUAGAUAGGUGUAACAAGAUGAAAUAUGGUAUGCAACAUAUAGAUUCUGAAAAACAGAUGAAACAUUACUUAAUGAUUGUUGAAACAGUGGAGAAAAAUAGAUGUAACAUCUAAAAUUAAGAAAAGAAGCUUCAUGCAAAUUGCAAAAAGCUGAAAUAAGUGGUUGAAACAUUUCAAAUCACCAAAUGCCACAUUUGAAAUGACUAGAUGAAACAUCACAAAAUCAAUUGCAACAGUUGAAGAUGAAAACAUUCAAAUGCCUUGCCUUUCUCUAGAUUUGACCCUCAAGCAUGAGUCCAGCCAUUUGCACAUUAGACCCUUGGGAGGAGCUCACCGGAGAACAACAAGACCUUGUUCUCCAACAAUUUUCCGAUCAAAUUGCAACAUAAAAAAUAAAGCAUUGCAACAUCUGGCGGUAUCAUGAGCUACAACAUCAACCAGUUAGGAUCAGGAGAAAGACGGCAAACACAAGCCUAGCAAUGAGUUAUAUCCGGUUUAAACGAGGAUAAAAAUGAGUGUAUUUUCCACUCAUCAUGUUGUCUUUUCGCAGCUGUACCGCCUUUAGCUUGUUGUAUUGUUCCCCUAACACCAAGUCUCCGAGGUCCGUGAAAAUAAGGAAAGUGAUAGCAGCCCAGAAAUCGACCAAGUUUCUUUCCCCCUUUGGCUUUCCUACUAGGAUUCGGAAUCCUCUUUCGCAUGACAAUAUUAAUUAUCUCCCGUAGUCCAAAACUCACAAAAACAUUAAACAUCCUCCGAGAAUAAAUUAAGUAAAAAACAUGCACACACCAAUAAUAAUAAUAAUCUUGUUUCAAUAAAAUUGCUAAGGCCAGAGACAAUACAAAAACAUAUUAGACUGUUCAUGAAACAUAUCACGGUGGACAGUGUUUGUGUCCUUAUUACAAGCAGCGAGAGGAAUUAUAUAUGCUUGUCACCACACACGCGCGCGCACAGAUGCACGACAUACAUAUAGUUGAGACCAACAGAUGGAUCGACUAGAGGUGACCCCAUAUGGUGAACAAUUUAUUGGAGAUAAACAUUAACAUAACUUGGCCAUAGCUUGAAGCAUAGCAACAUAUGCGUAUGAAUGGCAUUGAUGCUAUCGUUUUAGGCUUGUCCAGAUAAUAAUAUCUGGUUUUAAGCAUAACAUGGUUUUUACUUAAUUUAUCUGUGCGUGCGAUAAUAAACCAGAUAAUAGCUUGAAACAUGUUGUGCAUUGGCACCACACGCACGAGAAUAAAUUAAGUAAAAAACAUGCACACAUAGAUAAUAAUAAUAAUCAAGUUUCAGUAAAAUUGCUAAGGCCAGAGACAAUACAUAAACAUAUUAGACUAUUCAUGACACAUAUCACGGUGGUCAGUGUCUGUGUCCUUGUUACAAGCAGCGAGAGAUGCUUGUCACCACACGCACGCGUGCACAGAUGCACAACAUACAUAUAGUUGAGGCUGCAAUUUAUAGGCAGCUGCGCUAUGUGAUGAUAUGGACAAGGUGCAAAUGGGUGGUCCUGAUAUGGAUAAGGUGCGAAUGGCUGUCUACUUGUAUUGUGUAGCUCCAAUGUACGUAUGUAUCUUAUACAUGUAUACAGUUGAUGGAUAAGGUAUACAGUCUUUGUUACCAAGUAAUUUUACUUUCGCACGUUUCAGCCGAGAGGCAGAAGAGAAUAUUUUACAGAGAGGGCAGAGAAGGAGGUUGGUAGGGUUCCCCGUGUCGCCAAGAUUUUUGCAUUUUACAUGUGUGUAUAGAUCACUUCGUCGUGCGGCGCCCUACUCCAGGUUGUACCCCAGCAGACCACGUUCUGUUUCUCUGCCUCCACAAGGACCACAAGACUUAGUAAAAAAAGCUAAACUUUGCAACACGAUGUAUACAGAAUUAGUAGCUAGAUCUAUAUAUGAAAUUCAUCCUAAAACUGAUAGGUGGAGAGAAGUAAAAAAUACCAAUUUGAUUUCCUAUCUGAUUAGAGGAAAUAUGGAUGGAUCGGUCGCAAUUAGCGAAGUGGCUCCAAUUGACAUAAAAGGUGUGCAUUGCAUUCAGCAAGAAAAAUUGAGUUUCUACUGAAUCUAUGAAAAAAAAUGAGCUUACGUUAUCAUAUAUAGGCAUAAAUUAAAAUGACAAGAAAUUCCAACCACGGUAUAUAAGACCAAUAAUUGGAAAGAUGGAUGAAAGGAAGAUAGGGUUUAAAUUAAAGUCUCCGCAUAGGCAGUUUGACUAUGAUCAAUUUUACCUGUAUUUCUCAAUAUGUAGAUAAUUCUAUGCCAACAAUUAAAAACUAAUACAUAAUUUGACACGGUGUACCUUGAGAACGUUUUGAAAAUGUACUCUCGUUAGGCGUUCACCUCCUUAACAAUAACUGCGACUGUAAAAUAGGUACAUCGACGCUAGCUAAAUAAACAACUAUAAGAUUUAGCAAGAGAUCAUUUUAUACAAUCCUGUAACGAAAGAAUUUGACAAUUAUAUUGUCCAUAUAUUUUGACGAAAAACAUCUAAAUUAUAUAAGGUGGGCCCGAAACAGUUGGAUUAGCAUAUGGUUACCCGUUUGUUGUCUUCCGGCCCUAAAAAAAGGACCAUCUUACUGAAAAAGGUUCUAUUAGCACAAGUAGAGAACUGACUUUCGAUGCACCCCCUUUUAUCCCGGUUUAAAGUAGGCCCGGGAGAAAAGGGGGUGCGCCAUGGUAGGCAAAAAUGGAGGGGAGAUUUACUCCCGGUUGGUAUUUGCAACCGGGACUAAAGGCCACCCUUUUGUCCCGGUUGGUGUUACCAACCGGGAUAAAUAGUUUACUCCCAGUUGGAGGUUCCAACCGGGACAAAAGGGCCACCAUUUUGUCGGCCCUUUUGUCCCGGUUGGAGCCUCAAACCGGGAGUAAACUUUCAACCGGGACAAAAGGUGUUUCUUUUUGUGUCGGUUGGAGUUUCUAACCGGGAUAAAAACUCAUCCCCAUUAUAUACCAAGACAGAGGUCUUUCUUCCUCCUCCAGCCCGAGCCAGUCCACCAUAAAGACAGAGAGCUCAGCUUCACCUACUCUCCGGUGGUGCCGAAGCAAGGGAGGUGCUGCCCGAAUUUUUUUUCCCUCAUUUUCGUGGGAAUUUCACUCAGCCAACACAAGUGUUGUGAAGGUUUGCUACUUCAUCCUCGUGUUACGCUUUAAUUUAUGCUUUGGAGAUGGAAAGUUUAUUUGCUAGAAUGUGAUGAAGUAGAAAAUGGAGAGGUACUUUGAGCUAGAAUGUGAGGGAGAUUGAUGUGUCAUAUAUAGUAUGUAUUCUUGCAGUGAUUUAAGAAUGAUGCUACCUUGUCUAGAUGGUUUAUCUUAUCAAAUUCAAUGUGGUUUUUCAAAUUCAUACUUAUUGAACUUGCAUACCGUGUUCAUGUCGGCGAGAAUGUUCUCCGCCGAGCAGCAACGUAUGUCAAGAAGGAGGUUUGAUUCUACGAGAAAGAGUGGAUACGGACAUCGUGACCGUAUCCCCUUUUUCGUAGAAUCGAACCUCUUUCAUGACGAAGUGCGGUGCCGCCCAGUUGAGAACAUGCUCGCCAGAUGAUCACGGUCUUCAAGUUCAACAAGUUCUGUAGGCAUACCGUGGUCAUCUCGGUAAGCAUGUUCUCCGUGGAGCAGCAACGGACGUCAAGGAGGAGGUUCGAUUUUACGAGAAAGAGAGGCAACAGACAUUGUGGAUGACUGUGUCCCCUUUCUCAUAAAAUCGAACCUCUUCCAUGACGAAGUACGGUGCCGCUCAGUUGAGAACAUGCUCACCGAGAUGAUCACGGUCUUCAAGUUCAACAAGUUCUGCAGUGCUAAGGUAAGAAUUUUUGUACAUAGAUGGCUUCUGCUACUAGAGGAAGUGGCGAUGGUGGGGGCGAUCGUCGUUCCUCUUUCGGCAAGGGGAAAAUCAUAGUUGGCCCUCAGGAUAAGCCGAAGAAAAUGAGCGCGUUGGAGAAAGCAAUGCUUCGUUAUUUGCAGAAACGUCAUGAAGAAGCUGUUGCCGCGGGUCAGGAACCUCCUUUUGGUGGUCGUUAUGCUCCACCCUCAGUCCCAGGUGUUUCACGUCCACUUAGUACUACCAUUUCAGGUGGCACAAAUAAACCACAGGAUGAGGCUGGGUCAGCGGAACCUUCAUCUUCACCGCCCAAGGAUGCUUAAAGUCCACCUAGAUAAUAACCAGUGGAUGACUUGUUGUAUUGUAUCAUGUUGUUUGGAUAUUUAAUUUAAAUAUGUGUAUUUGUAUCUAUAUCUAAACUUUCAGCAUUAUUUGCACUACAACGUUUGACAUGCUUUCAAUCAUGAAUCCAUUUUCAAGUGUAAUCAAUUUUCACGCGUAAUCCAUUUUCAAGUGUAAUCAAUUUUCACGCGUAAUCCAUUUUCAAGUGUAAUCAAUUUUCACGCGUAAUCCAUUUUCAAGUGUAAUCCAUUUUCAUGCGUAAUACGAUGCAGAUGGACCGGCAAUGGAUGUAUAAUGCAGACAGACGGAGCAAGGUGUUUAUUGAUGGCUUGCAUUAUUUUCUCGAAGUGGCCAAAGCGAACAAGCCAGAGAAUGGGUUCGUAUGUUGUCCAUGCUUCCAAUGCAAUAACAAGAAGGACUAUUCAAAGGAUUCCUGGGGGACUAUUCACAGCCACUUGUUUAGAUACGGUUUCAUGCCUAACUAUUUGGUUUGGACCAAGCACGGUGAAAGAGGGGUUGUAAUGGAAGAUGGUGAGGAGGAGGAGGAGGAUGGCAACAUUCCUGACUAGGUUGCAGGCCAAGCUUUUGCAGAUACUACAAUGGGCGAGGCUGAUGAAGAUGAGUUUGCAGAAAAUGGCCCUACGAUGACCUUGGUCAGGUGCUACGAGAUGCACACAGAGAUUGCGAAACUGAGAAGGAAGCAGCAAAGUUGCAGCGCAUGAUAGAUGAUCACCAAAAAUUGUUGUACCCAGAUUGCCAGCAGGGCCAUAAAAAACUAGGUACGACACUAGAAUUUGUGCAAUGGAAGGCAAAAAAUGUUGUGUCCGAUAAGGCAUUUCAGGGGAUGUUGAACAUUGUCUAGAAGAUCAGGCGAGAUGAUCCUGGUGAUGUCGAGGGGCAGUCUCCCAAGAAGAGAGUUCCCACGAAGGUGAUGUGGUAUUUCCCUAUAAUACCACGCUUGAAGCGCUUGUUCAGGAACAAGGCAAAUGCUAAGUUGAUGCGAUGGCACAAAGAAGAACAUAUGGAAGAUGAGAUGCUGAGACACCCCGUAGAUGGGGCCCAGUGGAGAUCAAUUGAUAGAGCAUUCCUGGACUUUGAAAGUGAAGCAAGGAACAUAAGGUUUGGUUUAAGUACUGAUGGAUUCAAUCCAUUCGGUGAGUUGAGUAGUGGCUAUAGUACUUGGCCUGUGACCCUAUGUAUGUUCAACCUUCCUUCUUGGCUGUGCAUGAAGCGGAAGUUUAUUAUGAUGCCGGCGCUUAUCCAAGGCCCAAAACAACCCGGCAAGGGAUAUGGAACAGAGGAGUUGAUCGAGUUUUGUGUUGAUUUUAUUGACUCAAUUGACUCGAUUGGGAUUCCAACUUCACGCCACGAGGGGAGGCUCCGGGGAAUGGGCACCCUUGGAAGGAAAUCAAGUUUGAGCAAUGAUACUGAUUUGUUCGACAAGGCACACUACACUGUUCUGCAAUAGUCAUCCUUUGUGUCUCCCUAUAUCGAGCAGCACAGGCAGAUGGUAGUUUUCCAAAAACCUGACGAAAUCCGAUGCUUGGCUUACACAUCAUCACAUGGAAACUUUUUCCUCCUGGUUGCGCCAACAACUCAUGGGUAACUCUGAGAUUUACCCACAGCUCGCUUGGUUAGCCAGGGGACCUGCUAGCACAAUCGUGAAAUUUCAAGACUAUGAGAUAAAUGGUUAUACAUUUUACACGAGAGCCUAGGACCAGAAAAGCACGAACAAGAAUAGUGGUGUCCGCAUAGAUGCCAUAGAUAGAAAUAAUAACAAGGAGUCGUAUUAUGGUUUCAUACAGGAGAUAUGGGAACUCGAAUACGGACCGCUGUACAUCCCUGUAUUUCUUUGCAAUUGGGUGAAGCUAACUGCCGUAACCAAAGAUCAGUACGGAAUGACAAUAGUAGAUCUGAGCAAGACUGGAUACAGUGAUGACCCAUUCGUACUUGCGAAUGAUGUGCAUCAGGUUUUCUAUGUGAAGGACAUGUCUAGCAAACCCAAGAGAAAUCCAGAAGAGACAUGGGAGCCAAAGUGCCACAUAGUUCUUCCAGGUAAAAGAAAAAAUCGUUGGAGUCGAGGAUAAAAUAGACCAAUCAGAUGAUUAUGAUCAGUUUGAUGGCAUGCCUCCAUUCGCAGUUGAAGUUGACCCAAGCAUCCUGGUAUCCAAAGAAGAGGCUCCAUACUUACGCCGGGAUCAUGAUCAAGGAACUUUCGUGAAGAAGAAAUUUUACAACGUUGUAUUGUAAUGCGCUAAAUUUACUUGACCUUUGUGAAGUACUUGAUACAAUUUUUAAUUUAACCUAUGUAUGAUUUCAUGUGUUCUUAAAUUUGUUGAGGUGAAGAUUUAUUAGAUAAACAUGAACAAUGUUAACCACAUACAUAUAUGGAUUUUUUUUGCGCGUUGAAAUUAUUUAAUUGAAUAAUUUCUCCAUCAUUGCGAUGUAGUAAAAUAAUUAUUUUAGAGGCUAAACGAACUGGUAUAGAAUUAAUGACUAAUUCACACUUAUUGUCAAUAUACUUGCUAAUUAAAUAUAUUUUUGCAUGUUCAAAAUAUGUGAAUUUUUUUGUUUUUGCAUCCUGAAAUGCAGUGAAAACAUACAUAAAAUCCUUUUCCAAAAAAUAGGCGGGAGAUGAAAGUGUGGGAAAAGGCCCUUUUGUCCCGGGUGCCAAUAGAAACCGGGACAAAAGGACCUUUUAUCCCUGUUGCCAACUACAACCGGGAUAAAAGGGUAGUUUUCGUUUCCCGCCGGGGACGUACCCUUUUAUCCCGGUUACAGUUAGCAACCGGGAUAAAAGGGGGGGCCCUUUUGUCCCGGUUGGUGUUGGCACCCGGGAUAAAAGGGCCUUUAGUCCCGGGUUCAAUUACGAACCGCGAUAAAAGCGGGGAGGGAUAAAAGGCACUGUAGCCUCUUCUACCACCACCCCACGCUAGUUACGACACUUAGCCAAAUUUUCACCGCUGCCAAGAUCCCGCGCCCUUCCGCCAGCUCCGUCACCGCCCAUCCGCCUCCCUCGCCGGCCGCCGUCGUCCUCGUCGUCCAUCGCCCCGGCCAUCAUCGUCCCGCCGCCCGACCGCCUCGCCCGCGCCCAGACCACCUCCUCCUCCAUCGCCCCGGCCCGCCUCCGAUCCUCCUCCGUCGUGCCCCCUCGACCUCGUCGCAGCCGGCCGCCUCCAUCGCGGGGCCUCGUCCCCGCCUCAGUCAACGCCACAUUCUCUGUCGCCGCCUCAUCACCGCCUCUGUCGCGCGCGCCGCCUCCGUCCCUCGUCGCCGUCCGCCUCCGCCCGUUGUUGCUGUGGCCACCUCGCUCCGUCCCCGCCUCCGCCGUCCCACCGCCCCGGCCGCCGCCGUCCCGCCGUCCCGGCCAUCUCGUCGCCCAGCUAGGCACCGCGUGAGGUCCGCCGGCACUGGCACCGGGAAUGAACAGCUCUUGCUGACGCAAACCCACCGGCUUGCGUAAGCAAGGACCUUUUUUAUUUUUUAGUUAGAAAAUGAAUAGAUAUUAGUAGAUUAGUUAGAAAAUCAAUAGAUAUUUGUAGAUUAGUUAGAAAAUCAAUAGAAAAUCAGUUGAUAAAUUUUGUAGAAAUUCAUUCAAAUUACUAGGAAUUAGUUGUAAUUUGCUAGAAAUUCCAAUAAAUAUGUUGAAAUAAGUAGAAAUUUGGUAGAAAUUCUUACAAAGUACUACUAAUUUGUUGAAAUUUGUAUAAACAUUCCGAACUCUGUGGGAUUCAUGUUAUUGUAAAAUUAUUAGGCAUUAGUAGAAAUUUUGUAGAAAUUCCAAUAAAUAUGUAGAAAUUAGUAGAAAUUUUGUAGAAAUUCUUACAAAGUACUACUAAUUUGUUAAAAUUUGUAUAAACAUCUCGGAUCAGCGCUUGGUUUGUUGAAAUUUGUAUAAACAUCUCGGAUCAGCGCUUGGGUUUUGUAAGUGUCCAUUUAUCUACAUGUAAAUUUUGCCUCAUAUCAUUAUUUUUUUUGCGUGCGUCACCGUACUAACUUCAUCUUCCAUUUUAUGUAUCAUGCUAAUUCAGAUGUGCCGACGAGAGGCGUACCUACAUAUUGGCUUCAUGGAUCCAUCCGUAGUUAACCAAAAACAGAUACAAUUAUCGCCGGAAAAAACCUUGGUGGAAGUAUACAAUUUCCUAGACAAACAAAAAUUCAAGGAUUUCAUACUACUUCCAUACAACUUCAAGUAAGUGUGUGUAUACCAUCUACUUUCGUUGUCUUUUUCCUUACCUGAUUAAUUAGUUAGCUCUAAUAUGCAUGAACAUUUUACGUACGCAGCUUCCACUGGAUCCUCAUUAUAAUUGAGCUUGAAAGAAGCCACGUCACUGUCUUCGAUUCGUUGAGGAAAGAUCCGGUGGAGUACCAAGACAUGCAAGACAUGCUAGGCUUGUAAUAAUUCUGGACCUUUAUCUCUAUGCAAAAGUUUGUUUCCUAAAUUUUAUCCCUGUUACACUAUAUCAUUCAUUAUUCUAAUCCGCAGCGCAUGGAAACAAUUCAUAAGGACACACAAAGGUCCAUUCAAAGAAAAACUUACAUGGAACACAGACUUCCCGGUACGUAUGAAGUCUGCACAUUUAGUACAUUGUAUAACACGAAUAUUUUAUAACUUAUUUUUUUCGACACUGAAGUCCUUAAGAUAGGAACUCGGGAAUAAUCUAUGUGGCUACUACAUCUGUGAGCACAUGCACAGUUUUAUGGGACCCAAGGGACUAAAGCUGACGCCGCACAACUUUAAAGUACGUAAAAUAAAACUACUACUAGUUAAUUAUUUUCUAGCUCCUUAUAUUUAAUUGUUCGUGUAACAUUCACAAAUUUCCAAAUUAUAGAUGUUAAAUAUUCAACAAGGACUCUUGAAGAAAAAAAAGGGUAGCGGCAAUAUGUGAAGGUCUCGUUGGAUUCCUAAUGGACGAUGUAGUAAAUGCACAAGGAGAAUUUUAUUACGAUGGACGACAAUUAGACGCUCCGAGCAACACCUCGACGGGAAGAUUGUAGAUAUAUAGUUUGAUUUGUAUACAUAACACGCGCUAAGAUCGAUUUGUAUAUAUAGUUGAUUUCAUUAUACUAGUUGAAUUAUGUAUAUGAAUUGUGUAUAUAUAGUAAUUGUAUAAUUACAAAUUUCAUUCGUUUAAAUACUAGUUGAUUUCAUUAUAAAAAAAGUCUCAACUACUAAAGGUUAACAAAAGGGCCGCGGUACUACGUACGUGAUGCAUGAAAAUUUCAGAUGCCAUGCAGGAAAAUUUAAAUAGGACUUUAGUCCCGGUUGGGAAACCCAACCGGGACUAAAGGGGCACCCUUUACUCCCGGUUGCUUUUACCAACCGGGAGUAAAGGGCCUGUCCCGCGCCAACCGGGACUAAAGGGUGACCUUUACUCCCAGUUGAAGGACCCGGGACUAAAGACCCCCCCUUUUGUCCCGGUUGGUUUAUCCCGGAUGGAUUUUCGAGAGAUAUGCACCCUACCAACCGGGACUAAAGGCGAGUUCUCUACUAGUGUAGGCCAUGCAGCCGGCUCUGUGGUACCAAAAAGAAAUUUUUGACAUGGUUUACAUCGAGAACGUUUUGAAACUAGACUUUGGUACGCAGUUCACCUUCUUAACAAUAACGGCGUACAUAGACGCUAUCUAAAUUGACCACUUUAAGAUUUAGCGAGAGAUCUAUUUUUUUAAUCCCGUAGCGAGAUCUAUUUUUAUAAUCGCGUAGCGACUGUACGAAGGACUGAAAAAUAAGUUUGAUUACCGUAUAUAGUUAGCCAACUCGUUAAUGGAAUAAACGAUAGAGUUCUGCGAGGCAGACUAGCCUUUCACACGCACCAACUGAACCAGCUGGCAUGAUGUAUUUGAUCUUACUCCCUUGGUCCCAUGGAAAGGUAGAAAUAACCAUAUAUAGGCAUGUAAUUAUCAGUUAUACUUAUGGGAUACUUAGAUGACUUGAUGUAUGAAUCAAGAAAAUGCAUCGAUCGAGAACUUACGGGGAUCAUCUCAAUAAUUUAGAGACCAUGCGCAUAUAUAUUGUGGAAGGUGUGCGUGAGGGUCGUUAUCUAUAUCCUGUGUUAGAAAAAGAUUGCAUAUAUAGUUAAUGUUUGUCUUUCUUCGGAUGGCACGUUAGCUGACCAUUGACAACAUGUGAUGAUUUUACUAACAUCAAAAUUAGGCAUGCCCCAUUUUUUAAUUGGUGCAUGGAGUGGGAGGUUUUGGUGGGUGAGCAUUGGUGUGCAACUCGUGUGCGUGAGCAUGUGUGCGUAAGAUAAUGUGUUUUGUUAGAAAAAGAAGAUAAUGCCUCUAAACAAUCCAGAAUAGAAGGCGGGCCCUGACGACAAGAUAAUACCUUACGCGGCGAUGUCUCAACGUGUCACCUGGGGCGGCUUUUGCAGUUUCCCCGUACACACACUAAGAGCCUCCGACCCUUUUUUGUCAAACCUUCUCUUGUAGUCAUGCAUAUAUCCAUGAUGAUUUGAGUCUACUGAUUGACAGUUAGAUAUUUUGCUUGUUUGUGAGAAUUUUUAGUUUCUAUUUUUUUAGAGUGUCCACCUAGGAUCCUAGGUGGCUUCACCUGAAAGCUUCAAAAGAAGCGUCCAAAUUAGUAAUCAUAAGAUUUUCUCAAAAGAGACUUAAUUCUACCACUAUACCUUGAUUGGCGGCCCGAGCCUCUACCUUUGUCUCCACUUGACUAUUUGAGUUGGCUCAGAACGGUUCACCGCGCUAGCAACGUUACGUUUGAUCCCAAUGCCACCACUCAUGUGCGCCACCUGUAUCUACCAAGUGGCAUGUGGUAAUGCCAUGUUUGUUUUAAUUUCGUCCAUCAGCAUUCACAAUGAUAUCAUCACCAUUAUGUAAUUAUCCCACUUUUAAUUUUCUUGCAACUCUGUGAAGUUAACAGUCUCUGAUCAAGUUUCCGAGGAUUGCUAUAUCUUUGUUUAUUAUCUACGGAAGUUGACAGCACAUCCACCAUAAUUCAUGGCCCACCAGACUCUAAGUCCACUGCGAGUAUAUAUUAAUUUGUUUUAAUCCGACUAUACUAGAUGUGUACCAAUCAUUCGAUAUGAGGGACGAACUAAUUGUUUCUUGUCGACUAUUGCACCGUACCUCUCGUUUUCCAAACAAUUAAAAGGUACCCUUCCGUGAUGGUUGUACCGAUACCGACUAUCUAUAUUAUUGCUUUCUUGAGCAUACCAAACGAGUUAAUUGGUAUGAUGAUGUUAUAGCUCAUUUAUAUAUGCUUAAAUACAUACACCGGUAGAAAACUCGCCUUUAGUCUCGGUUGGUACGUGUUAGACACCUAAUCCUUGCAUUGAUGGCUAAUCCUUCCAGCUUUUGUCUUCACGCACGCAUGCAUUGAUAGCCUCCUGCGGAUGGCCUUUCAGCUACUGCGCCGUUCAACUUCUGUGGCCUGUCCGGCUUCUUCCUUUCCCCAUAUAAUGUAAUACGUUCAACUCAAAUGAAUGAAAUCAAAUUAUGCGUGUAUUAUUCUCGCUUUCAGUAGGGGCCAAAUCUCCCGAAAAUCCAUCCGGGAUAAAGAUGAGAAAUUAAUCCAUGCGUGGCUUCAUGCAAAUUUGUUCAGAUCAGGUUUGAACAGCAUGUAAUCUUUUUCAGGCAUCUAUAUGGAGCGUGGGUGUGUUAUGUUAUCUUCUACUACACAUAUAACAUUAAAUUCAUUCAGUUUGGCUGAGAGCCCAAAAUGCAACGAAUAUGCCAUCCAACGUGAAAAAAAGAUGUGGAACAGUAUACUCUAUCUUCGAAAUUAAUUAACGAGAUUCAGCUUCAAAAGAGAUAAGAGCAGACAAGAGGCACAUGGGUGCAUGCAUCCACACCUUGGGAUGCUGCAAAAUUUGGGAUCACGUGUGCGGAUCCCUAAUUAGGAAAAAAGAAUAAUUGUGCUAGCAAAAUGUGGAACACGACUGCCGGCCCAGUUGGCGCUAAGACAUCGUACGUGCAUUAAGUCUGAGGUGCCCAACGAUCUCUUUCUUUAACUCAUGCUUGACUGUGACGGUGCUAUUAUAUAAUAUUGCAUGAUCAUCAUGAUAAGAUCGUAUAGUGACUGAGUGAGACAUGUACUAUAACUUGCAUUUAAGCCUCGAACUGUGUGUCGUUACGUGAGCUGCCUCCUCUCCUCGCCUCUGAAUUAUUGAACCGUUUCCAACAGUGUUGGUCUCGACGAAAUUUGACGCCAACCAGAUUUAUGAAGAAAAGAGAAUAAUACUUGGAAUUGGGAAAAGUUGAUCUCUCUUUACAAUGGGUAGGUGCUCCCCUUUUAUAGUGACCCAUGAGCCACUUUACAUUCCGAAAAUAUCCUUUCUCAACCACUACAUUCCUAGGAUAUGCCGUACAAAUUGAACUCUUCCACGUGGUCACAUUUCUCACACCUCCUGUUUUCCAACCUCAAGACUUCAUCUUCACGCCAAGUUGAUCAUCUAGCCUCGAGGCUCCAUCCACGAUCUGGAAUGAACGUCCAGCUCGAGGCUCCUGCUUGUUAGAAGAACCGUCGUAUGAGACGAGGAUUGUAUCUUAGAGAUAAGAGUUGUUAUGGUUUGAGUUGGCCGGCUAGUAGAUAGAGAUAGAAUCUUGAUGUAUUUGAAUGCUGGCUAAACUUUAUCUAUAACAACAUGCAUUGUAAUCUGUUGGGACUUUCCCCCUAUAUAAACGUGCAACCACGGCGAGCCAAGAUAGGGCAACCGUGUUCAACUCUUUUGACAUGGUAAUCAGAGCCUUUCUUCCAUAAAAUACAUCUACAUCUACACCACCUGGCGCACGCCACCUUGCAUGCAACAGUCAUGGUGUCAUCAUCGUCGUUGUCAGCCACUACGCCCACGGCGGCGCAGCUUGGAGCUCCUGUAGCUGAAAAGCUUACAGGGGAGAAUUAUGUCUUAUGGAAGGCUCAAUUCUUGCCUGCUGUGCGGGGUGCGCAGCUCAUGGGAGUCCUCAACGGAUCUGUCAAGGAGCCGGCCAAGACCAUGGAACUGGUGAAGGCUGACGGCAAGAAAGGGUAGCAUGACUUCAUCAACUUACUACACCAAGAUGUCUUAGCUGGGCUCUAGCCCCGAUCUUGCCAUGCGCUCCGCGAGCUCCAGUGCGUUGUCGACAAGCCUGAGCCGCGUGCAGCACAUGAGCACCGCGUUCCACACGACCGCCGUGGCCUCCAUCGUCUCAGCACCCAUGUGGCCACAGCCACGUCCGUGUUCUCGACGUACAUGCCGGCGAGGAACCCGGGAACGAGCGGGUGCGCGUCGACGUGGUGGGGAGCGUGGCAGCGGCAGCUUUGCUCGAUCUGGCGGCCGGAGAGUGGGACGAGACCACCACGGGGGAGACGGUCGGUGGUGGUGGCGGUGGCAAUGGGAGGAAGGCCUUGGAGAUCAAGGGAUCCAAGGGCCCCUUCCAAGAGAGAAGGGAGAUCGGGGGAGGAGACCGAUGGAGGGGAGGCGGGAGGGAGGAUCGCCGGCAGCGGGGGUAAGGAGAAAGAACAGGCGCGCGGGAGGGAGUCACGGUGCCGGAGACUCGGGAGAAAAGAAGCGAAUCAUUUUUGUGUAACCAGUGGUAUUGGUAGGUAAUUACCCACCAACUCCACGAGGAGGUUCAUAUUGGGUAGUUUUGGAGUUGCAAAAGAGGUGCUCCAAAACUCCACCCCCAUUUGCACUACAGCUCCAUGGAGUUUUGGAGUUGGGGUGUUUGGCUGUAAAAUUGGCUAGAGUUGUUGGAGGUCAGCUCCAGAGCCAUGCCAAACACGCCCUAAGGAUCAGGAAACGAGGAAAAUCCUUCAUCAAGGUAGAUGCAAAAGCGGGCCUUUAUCCAUUAGAAUCCAUCUUGUCAGAAGAAGGCGAUGACAAGAGAGUUUAUGGUGCCAUCAAACCAUCUGCUUCUAGAUGGCAUAGCCGCUUAGGCCAUCCAGCUUAUCCUAUUAUUCAGCGUGUGCUUAAUCAUCAUAAUCUUCCUUGUGGUAGUACUAAUUUUGAGUCAGUUUGUGAUUCAUGUCAAAUGGCUAAAAGCCAUCAACUUCCAUAUUCUAGUUCAAUAAAUUCGUCAAAAGCUUCGCUUGAUCUUAUUCAUUCUGAUGUUUGGGGGCCUGCACCUAAUUCUGUUGGUCGAUAUUCCUACUAUGUGAGCUUUAUUGAUGAUUAUAGUAGGUUCACCUAGAUUUAUCUCCUGAAAAAGAAAUUUGAUGUCUUUCAAGUGUUCAAAGAAUUUCAGAAUCUAGUGGAGCGAAAACACAAUAAGAAAACUGUAUCCAUGCAAACUGACUGGGGAGGCGAAUAUGAGAAGUUGAAUUCCUUCUUUCAGCAAAUUGGUAUAGCACAUCGCGUCUCAUGUCCUCAUGCCCACCAGCAAAAUGGCCUCGUCGAGAGAAAGCAUCGUCAUACUGUUGAAGUUGGUCUCGCUCUUCUCGCAAAUGCUUCAAUGCCUUUAAAAUUUUGGGAUCAAGCUUUUUUGACGGCCACUUAUCUCAUUAAUAUGCUUCCCAGUAAAAUUCUUAAUUUUGAUACUCCUACAGAACGCUUGCUCCAAGAAAAGCCUCAUUACAGCUCUCGUCGCAUUUUGGGGUGCGCUUGUUGGCCUAAUUUGUGACCCUAUAAUACUCACAAGCUAGCUUUUCGUUCCGUUAAAUGCACCUUUCCUAGUUACAGUUUCAUGCAUAAAGGCUUCAAGUGCUUAGAUCCCUCUACCGGCAGAAUUUAUAUCUCCCGAGAUGUUGUUUCGAUGAAUCGAUCUUUCCGUUUGCUCACUUACAUCCCAAUGCAGGCGCCCUUCUCAGUAAAGAGAUUCUUCUUUUACCUGACCAUCUUCGUAAUCCGGGGGAUGUAAGUUGCAUAGACAAUAUUACUAUACUACUGACCGUUUGCAUGAUAGCAAUGCGCAAGAUGUUUUUCAGGGGAAACUGUCACCGGGCUGGGCGCACGGUGACGCAGAAAAUCACGGCGGCACAUUCCAGGAGGAUUUGAUGCCAGGUGCCGACGGUCCAGGCGCUGACUCCCAGGGAGAUUCGGCGGCAGCAUCCGUUUUGCUCCCCUCCUUCCCAGCAAUGCCCAUCUCGCCGAAUACAUCUCCAACGCGUGGCUCCACGACAUGCCCAGCGCCCGCACCCGGCACUCCUCCGUCGCCGCAUGGCCCCGCACCUGGCCAAUCGCCUGCGCUAGCCGCCGGGAGUCCGACGCGUGGGGGGGGGGGUACCCAUCUAUCGCGCCAGACAGUCUCCCACCCGUGCCUGCUGCCCCGAAUCGUGCUAGCGCUGGAUCCUCUGCGGGAAGCAGAUCCGGUGUGGAAUCUAUGCCUGGUCAGGCCAGUUCUUUGGCGCUGGCUGCCCCUGCACCGUCUGUUUCACUGCCAAGACAACGGACACGGCUUCAAAGUGGAUUACGAAACCUACAUAGUUCCAGGACAUGAUCAGGUAUGGGUUGUUCUUAGCUUCUGCGGAACCACAGGAUUUUCAUGAAGCUCUAAAUGAUUAUAGAUGGAAAAAAGGCUAUGCAAGAUGAAUUUGAUGCUCUCAUUAGAAAUCAAACUUGGCACUUAGUUCCUGAAAUAAAGGGUAACAAUAUUAUUGAUUGCAAGUGGGUAUUCAAAAUCAAGAAAAAAUCAGAUGGUACCAUAGAUAGAUAUAAAGCAAGGCUAGUUGCAAAGGGUUUUCAGCAACGGUAUGGCAUUGAUUAUGAGGAUACUUUCAGUCCAGUGGUUAAGAUUGCAACUGUCAGGCUUGUCCUCUCAAUUGCUAUUUCGAAAGGGUGGUGUCCAAGAUAGUUAGAUGUAUAGAAUGUGUUUCUUCAUGGUGUUCUGGAAGAAGAAGUUUAUAUGAGGCAACCUGCAGGAUUUGAAAAAGGAGCUUUGCAUCUUGUGUGCAAAUUGGACAAGGCUAUCUACGGCUUGAAACAAGCCCCGCGAGCUUGGUAUGCUAAGUUAUGUUCCAAACUUAUUGCACUUGGAUUUGUUGCAUCUAUAUCAGACACUUCGUUAUUCAUCUAUCAAAGAUUGGGUGUCAUAAUUUAUAUGUUGAUUUAUGUUGAUGAUAUAAUUGUGACAAGUUCGUCAAGUGAAGCUGUUACGACGUUGCUUGCUGAUCUCAAGAAGGAUUUUGCUCUAAAAGAUCUGGGGGACCUCAGUUACUUCCUGGGUAUUGAAAUUAAAAGAGAAAAGAAUACUCUGCUGCUAACACAAGAAAAGUAUGCAAAGGAGAUUUUGUCACGGGUUGGUAUGGAGAAUUGCAAACCAUCAUCUACACCAUUGUCUACUAGUGAGAAACUUUCAAAGUAUGAAGGGGAGUUGCUGAAUUCAAGCGGUAGUACGAGGUACAGAAGCGUCGUUGGUGCAUUGCAAUAUCUCACUCCUACCUGACCGGAUCUAGCAUUCUCUGUGAACAAAGUGUGUCAAUUUCUACAUGCUCCUACCACGGUUCAUUGGACUGCUGUAAAAAGGAUACUUCGGUAUGUCAAGUUCACAUUGGAUCUUGGACUAAAUUUUCAGGCGUCAUCCUCCACCUUGGUUAUUGCUUUCUGUGAUGCUGAUUGGGCAGGAAGUGUUGAUGAUAGAAGAUCUAUCGGAGGGUUUGCAGUUUUCUUUGGUCUGAACUUGAUUUCUUAGAGUGCUAGAAACCAAGCCACUAUCUCAAGAUCAAGUACAGAAGUUGAAUACAAGUCUAUGGCAAAUGCAACUGCAGAGUUAAUAUGGUUGGAAUCCUUGCUAAAGGAGCUGGGUAUACGGCUGCAUCAACCACCAUGUUUACAGUGUGACAAUUUGGGAGCUACAUAUUUGUCUGCCAAUCCAGUCUUUCAUGCGAGAGCAAAGCAUAUAGAAAUUGAUUUUCACUUUGUUCGCGAGCGUGUGGUUAAUAAAAAGCUGCAGGUGCUGUUGGUUGCUUCCAGAGACCAGCUUGCGGACUGUUUACCAAAGCCUUGCCGUGCGGAUUGCUGGAAGCUUUCAAGAGCAAUCUAAAUAUCAAAAGGAAGAGAAGUUUAGAUUGAGAGGGACUGUUAGAAGAACCGUCGUAUGAGACGAUGAUUGUAUCUUAGAGAUAAGAGUUGUUAUGGUUUGAGUUGGCCGGCUAGUAGAUAGAGAUAGAAUCUUGAUGUAUUUGAAUGCUGGUUAACUCUAUCUGUAACAACAUGCAUUGUAAUCUAUUGGGACCUUCCCCCUAUAUAAACGUGCAACCACGGUGAGCCAAGAUAGGGCAACCGUGUUCAACUCUUUUGACACUGCUUCGUUAAGCUUUGUUGAGAACUCAUAAACUCACAUAGUUCUCCUUUGAGUAUUGUUCCUAACUAAAGAGUAAACAGGUAAAAGCUCGGUGCCCGGAACCGACUCAGAACACUCGAGGCUUAACUUAGUUGGAGUUUAGCUAUUACCAUUGCCAGUGACCAGCCUCGAGCCCCUCUAGAAGCAAGGUGAUGCGAGGGUGCGAGUUUUACUAUAAGAGGUGUCCCUAUAGAACGUGCGAGGUUAAAGGUGUUCCGUUACUUUUCCUGCCGACGCAUAACUUGCAAGGUUAAGGGGUUUUUAUCCCACAAACGGUGCUCCAGGAUGUUCAGAUUUUUGGGAUCCCCAACAAACAGCAAUCUUGAGUGGCUCUAAAUUGUUGUUGGCCACAUCAUACCUUGUCUUGGGCUGCUGGGUCGUGUUGUGCACCACGAGUGCACGAUCAGACAUCCUGCACUGUUAAGUCUUCGAUGAUACGGCUGCCUUGCUUCCUCAGCUUGUCAGCAACUGCUUCUUGACUGCUACAGUACAAUUAUUGCAUGGUAUCAAGGUAAUAUAUAUAGUGACUGAAUGAGCACAUAUAACAUAUGCAUUUAGGCCUCCAACUGGUCAUUGCACGAGCUGCCUCCUCUCCUUACCUCUGAAUUAUGGAGCCAUAUCCAACAACAACCUUGACAGUGAUGAUGAUGACGACGAUGAUGAAAUUAAGAAAAGAAGCUUUAUGCAAAUUGCAAAAAGCUGAAAAAGUGGUUGAAACAUUUCAAAUCACCAAAUGCCACAUUUGAAAUGACUAGAUGAAACAUCACGAAAUCAAUUGCAACAGUUGAAGAUGAAAACAUUCAAACGCCUUGCCUUUCUCCAGAUUUGACCCUCCAAGCAUAUAUGAGUCCAGCCAUUUGCACAUUAGACCCUUGGGAGGAGCUCACCGGAGAACAACAAGACCGUGUUCUCCAACAAUUUUCCGAUCAAAUUGCAACAUAAAAAAGAAAGCAUUGCAACACAUCUGGCAUCGCGAGCUACAACAUCAACCAGUUAGGAUUAGGAGAAAGAGGGCAAACCCAAGCCUAGCAAUGAGUUAUAUCCGGUUUAAACGAGGAUAAAAAUGAGUGUAUUUUCCACUCAUCAUGUUGUCUUUUCGCAGCUGUACCGCCUUUAGUAUGUUGUAUUGUUCCCCUAACACCAAGUCUCCGAGGCCCGAGAAAAUAAGGAAAGUGAUAGCAGCCCAGAAAUCGACCAAGUUUCUUUCCCCCUUUGGCAUUCCUACUAGGAUUCGGAAUACUCUUUCGCAUGACAAUCAUAAUUAUCUCCCAUAAUCCAAAACUCACAAAAACAUCAAAAAUCCGCCGAGAAUAAAUUAAGUAAAAAACAUGCACAAACAAAUAAUAAUAAUAAUCAUGUUUCAAUAAAAUUGCUAAGGCCAGAGACAAUACAUAAACAUAUUAGACUGUUCAUGACACAUAUCACGGUGGACAGUGUCUAUGUCCUUAUUACAAGCAGCGAGAGGAAUUAAAUAUGCUUGACACCACACACACGAGCGCACAGAUGCACGACACACAUAUAGUUGAGACCAACAGAUGGACCUCGACUAGAGGUCGCCUCAUAUGGUGAACAAUUUAUUGGAGAUAAACAUGAACAUAACUUGGCCAUAGCUUGAAGCAUAGCAACAUAUGCCUAUGAAUGGCAUUCAUGCUGGUAGCAAUGCAAUCAUAUCGUUUUAGGCUUGUCCAGCUUCUUCCAUCUUAGCAAGCACUGCCAUUUCUUCCAUCUUAGCAGCAACUGUCAAAUUGAGAUAUGGUAUCCCAUUAGCGUAUGAGUUAAUUUUGCACUGGAAAUAGAGUACAAGAUGUCUUCAUGAUGUAAGUAAUAUGCCUGAAGUUGUGAGAUGGGAAGUGAAGUCAACAAAUUACAUUAACGGAAAUGCAUGGAAGGCCACACAUACGUAUUAGUCCACGAUAUGCUACAAAGCUUGUAUGUACAUAUAACAAAUUAAAUGCAUUGAAUAGAGUGAGUUUACUGAAUUUACCAGAAUCGGACAGAACACAUGGGAAACAGCAAGUGUUCUUGCAGAGUGAGUCGGAGCCACCUGCAGUAAUACAAGCAAAACAACAUGCUUUUGCCCGGGCGGAUACGCAGCAGCUGCACUGUGCCGCGGUGGCCGGGUUAACAUUGAGGCUCAAGAUGACCAGGCACAUGAUCACCAUCAAAGCGGUAGUCCUCUUUCCCUCCAUUGCCUCCUCUUGCUGCUACCUUCCUUGGUUACCUAGCUAAGUUUAUUGGUUUUGUGUUGAGAGGUGAUUCUUGAAUGGACGUUGCCGGCUGCAAUUUAUAGGCAGCUGCGCUAUGUGAUGAUAUGGACAAGGUGCAAAUGGGUGGUCCAAUGGCAAGGAAAGGGGGUAUUCUGCUUGACAUUGGCAUCAGACAAAGCCCAAUGGCAACUGCUGACACGCGAUUAAAAUCAGAUCCACAUCUUAUCCAGCCAUUCACUAAUAAUUAAACUAAACCCACGCGGUCCGCGAGAUGCAGCGUCCAUGCAUAGCACUUCCCGCAAACAAUAGGAAAAAUUAGAAUUCAGAGAUAGCAGCUGCUUGCAUGAAACACGGUUGCACAGAAAUCAGUGGUGCUUGGACGGUAAGUAGUGUGGUGUACAAGCUUAAAGCGGCAGUGAGUCACGUUGGUGUAACAAGCAGUACAUCAGCUGGAAGAUUGAUAUGUCUAUUGCCCACGCAGCAUAGCAUUUUAUUAUGAUACAUUGAGUUAUGUCAUAUUGUUACUUUAAGUUAUUUUUUAAGUAUUAGUUGUAGACAAUUUAGUUGCAAAUUUAAGCGGUUAUUUUAAAUUAUUUUUUAUAAUGGAAUAAGUGGGUAAUUUAGAUGAAGAUUAGGGGGUUACUUUAGCUUAUUUUAUAUAAUAGCAGAGGUGGGUAAUUUAGAUAUAAAUUUAGACACGUUUAACAAAAUGUAUCUACAGUUUCUGACACGGUCCGUGUGGAGACGCUCCAGACAUGCUUUACUCAAGCGCAUCUAUACUUCAGUAGAAAUGAAAUAAAGCGUAUCUAACAUAGGAAUAAAGUGUAUCUAGAGGAGGUUUUUCUUGUAGCGAGGGAUGAACCAUUAUUGGACGAACUGGCACACUUGCUUCUACCCGCUCCCCCACACCCCACAACCGCCCCCAGUGUGAGCGUCCAAGUCUCGAUCGUUGCUCGCGUUAAGCGGUGCCGCCGCACUGCACCACAGCGACAGAAGCCACACCACCGGCUGCAUGUGACAGCGGGGAGCACCCUCACCACCUGCCCGCGGGGAGCGCUUACGCCAGCCAUAGUGUCCCCGUAGAACCGCCACGCGAGCAUGUGAGCCACCGACCGCCGUGCCCCCAAGGGCCAUCACCGCGCUACCCGAGGAUGUUGUCUACCCGGUGCCACGCGCCUCUGCUAGGUGCCUGCACCUGGGCCGCCACCGGUCGCCUGCACAGCCACGUGUUGCAGCUGCCCCCUGCGCUGAGCCACCCCAUUAAACGUUGGAAGAACCACCUGAGUCUCGCACGCCGAGGUCUUGCUGGUGACGACCAUGGCCUCCGCGAUCAUAUGAAAAAGUUGUCAACUACAAAGUAUUAGGCCUCGUCGAGCUCUACAAUUUUGAUCGAAAGUUUCUAUUCAUCCGAGAUCAAAUGAAAAAGUUGGUACUCAAAAUAUACAUCCAUUAAUCUAGUCGUGCUAAUCCUUACCACAAAUUAAAAAACUAGCAUGUGUCGUGUGUUUGUGACCCUAAACAAUCACAAACGAAUAACUUAUCAACUUCAAAAUUUAGCUGAUCAGGAGUCUAGGCAACCUCAAGGGUAUAAAUAUGUGCACCCUGAGGCUUGCAAGAUUUUAUCUCUCGAUUAAUCAAUGCAAUUUUUGGGCGCCACGCAGCCAAACCCUUAGGAGUAGAAGUAACGUAGCUUUUUGAUGAGUAUCUUCUUGCGCGCAGGGCUGCAUCAGCUUCGAUAUCCGACGAACUUGUAAGUACCGUCAUCCGGUCAUUACGUUAUCUAUAUUAAAAGUUUCUAGGCAUCAUCCAAUAUUCUAAUCUUUUAUCGUGUGGCUAAUUAUCGAGUUAUCUUAUAUUGUAAAUAAAACUUGCUAGGGUUUGUCCAAUAUUCCAUUUGUUUUCAGCGUUACUGCUUAAUUAGAUCUGCUUAGGUUGUUCUCAUCGGCUUCUAGUCUUGUUUAAACGUUCACAAGUUAUUUGAUCGUAUCGGCAAGUUCGACCUUGCAUGCUUUUAUCGCUUUAUCUAUACUAGGUCCGAUAGAUCUUUACCCCUUCCCCUUGUAUUGCUAGCAGUUGGAUCCAUAACGUUAGAACGAUACUGUUGAGAGCUGAUGCAUUGAUUUAGUAUCAUCCAUAUCUCAUAGAAUGUAUCAUGGUUAAUGGCAAUUUAAUGAAAUUAUAAAGGAUAAUAACAAUCGUGCUUUCGGCGUUCCAAAAAUCAAUCAAGAAUUCAUCAUGGUUGUGCAGUGUAUGGAAACCUUAUGGUAAUAGUUAGAUGGGAAAUGUUGUAUUAUGUAAUAAAUCCAGGUACUUCACAAAUCAUGAUCGAUGGAUGUCUAACACUGUUGAAAGAGAUUGGAAUAAAGCAGACUCACCUCAGACUAUGCACCAUGUCUGAGUGACCCACCUCACCUUGCCAGGUCACUGGUCUUGCCAGCACACAAGCUAUGAUGUUGCCAGGAGUGGUCAGUACACAAAUCUAGCUACCAGUCGGAUCGAAGGGCAGGCAUUUGCAUUGUGGUUGUGCUUGAACAUGGAGAUGUCUUGCGAUUGUCACGCACCAUACAUCCUCUCUCAGUUUCACUCCGCCUCACACACGGAUAGGACACCAGGGACCCGACACCAUGCAUGCCGAUUUCAUAUUAUUAAUAUUUAUUUUUUGAAUGGUUGUUGAAACUAUAUAUAUAGUUAGUCCAAUCUCACGUUUCCGAUUAUAAAAAUUAACAUAAAGAGAUCGGAAGGGAGAGCACUAGAGCCGGCAUUUAUACAAACUGGUAUGAAUAGUAAAAUCUAGAAUUCAUAAAUAAAAAAAUGAUUUGCACAUCUAUGCAAUAAUUAGUGGUUAGUGGUAGGUCUAGAGAGAUAUCUCAUCAAAUCGAUGAGUUAUAUCCGGUUUAAACGAGGAUAAAAAUGAGUGUAGUCUUUUCGCAGCUGUACCGCCUUUCCUUUCGUGUGUUCUAUUGUUCCCCUAACACCAAGUCUCCAAGACUCAAGAAAAUAAGGAAAGUGAUAGCAGCCUAGAAAUCGACCAAGUUUCUUUCCCCCUUUGGCUUUUCUACUAGGAUUCGGAAUCCUCUUUCGCAUGACAAUCUUAAUUAUCUCCCAUAGUUCAAAACUCACAAAACUAUCAAAAAUCCACCGAGAAUAAAUUAUGUAAAAACAUGCACACACAGAUAAUAAUAAUAAUAAUCAUGUUUCAAUAAAAUUUCUAAGGCUAGAGACAAUACAUAAACAUAUUAGACUAUUCAUGACACAUAUCACAGUGGACAGUGUCAGUAUCCUUAUUACAAGCAGCGAGAGAUGCUUGUCACCACACACACGCGUGCACAGAUGCACGACAUACAUAUAGUUGAGACCAACAAAUGGUUGCCCCAUAUGGUGAACAAUUUAUUGGAGAUAAACAUUAACAUAACUUGGCCAUAGCUUGAAGCAUAGCAACAUAUGCCUAUGAAUGGCAUUCAUGCUGGUAGCAAUGCAAUCAUAUCGUUUUAGGCUUGUCCAGCUUCUUCCAUCUUAGCAAGCACUCCCAUUUCUUCCAUCUUAGCAACAACUGUCAAAUUGAGAUAUGAAAAUUCCAUUAGCACAUGAGUUAAUUUUGCAGUGGAAAUAGAGUACAAGAUGUCUUCAUGAUGUAAGUAACAUGCCUGAAGUUGUGAGAUGGGAAGUGAAGUCAACAAAUUACAUUAACGGAAAUGCAUGGAAGGCCACGCAUGCAUACGUAUUAGUCCACGAUAUGCUACAAAGCCUUCUAUGUACAUAUAACAAAUUAAAUGCAUUGAAUAGAGUGAGUUUAGUGAAUUUUACCGGAAUCGGUCAGAGUACAUGGGAAACAGCAAGUGUUCUUGCAGAUGAAGUCGGGGCUACCCGCAGCAAUACAAGCAAAACAACAUGCUUUUGCUCGGGUGGAUACGCAGCAGCCACACUGUGCCGCGGUGGCCGGGUUAACAUUGAGGCUCAAGAUGACCAGGCACAUGAUCACCAUCAAAGCGGUAGUCCUCUUUCCCUCCAUUGCCUUCUCUUGCUGCUACCUUCCUUGGUUACCUUGCUAAGUUUAUUGGUUUUGUGUUGAGAGGUGAUUCUUGAAUGGACGUUGCCGGCUGCAAUUUAUAGGCUGUGUGAUGAUAUGGACAAGGUGCAAAUGGGUGGUCCAAUGGCAAGGAAAGGGGGUAUUGGCAUCAGACAAAGCCCAAUGGCAACUGCUGACACGCGAUUAAAAUCAGAUCCACAUCUUAUCCAGCCAUUCACUAAUAAUUAAACUAAACCCACGCGGUCCGCGAGAUGCAGCGUCCAUGCAUACACUUCCCGCCAAACAAUAGGAAAAAUUAGAAUUCAGAGAUAGUAGUGUGCCAGCAGCUGCUUGCAUGAAACACGGCAAUCAGUGGUGCUUGGACGGCAAGUAGUGUGGUGUACAAGCUUAAAGCGGCCUUGUGUAACAAGCAGUACAUCAGCUGGAAGAUUGAUGUCUAUAGAGGCUUGUUAUUAUCUUUAAUUCCACAUACUGCACAAUGUCAAAGUAAAAUGCGAAAGGAUAACAAGCUGAUACAGAGUGAUUGGAUUUACUUGAGGAGUAGCUUGAAGAAACAUCCAGCAACAACAGAAAAGUCAAAGUAUCGAGCCCAUGAAGCUAUAAAGCAGAUUGUAUUGGCUAGAAGAUUCAGGACGCUGGACUUACAAAAGUUGGAAGCAUGACAUUCAUACUCCGAACUUAGGGGCCUGUGUUCACACUGGAUGAUUUUAGCCGGUGAAAUCCCUUGUUUCGCAUUUUUCAUCAGGUCCCAAUGCCCAUGCAGCAUAACAUUUUAUUAUGAUACAUUGAGUUAUGUCAUAUUGUUACUUUAAGUUAUUUUUUAAGUAUUAGUUAUAGGCAAUUUAGUUGCAAAUUUAAGUAGUUAUUUUAAAUUAUUUUUUUAUAAUGGCAUAAGUGGGUAAUUUAGAUGAAGAUUAGGGGGUUACUUUAGCUUAUUUUAUAUAAUGGCAGAGGUGGGUAAUUUAGAUAUAGAUUUAGGGGUUACUUUAGGCUAUUUUCUUAAUGGAAUAGGUGGGUAAUUUUUUUAGAAAAUAUAAUAGAUCCAAUGGCUACGAUGAUUUGAGUCUAAUGAUUGAUGGCAAGAUGUUUUGCUUGUUUGUGGGAAUUUUAAAUAUUUCUCUUUUUUCUAGAGUGUCCACCUAGAAUGCUAGGUGGUUUCACUUGGAGGCUUCAAAAGGAGCUUCCAAAUUAGUAAUAGUAAGAUUUUCUCAAAAGAGACUUGAUUCUACCACUAUAACUUGAUUGGCCGCCCCGGCCUCUACCUUUGCCUCCAUUUGACUAUUUGAGUUGGCUGUCAACGAUUCACGGUGCUGGCAACAUUACGUUUGAUCCAAAUGCCACUACUCAUGUGCGCCAGCUGUAUUCUACCAAGUGGCAUGUGGGAAUGCCAUGAUGCAUGUGCAGUAACAGCGUGCACAUCUUGUAGGAUUCGCACCUCGUUUUCACUAUUGUAUCAUCUUAGCGAUUAGGAGCGAAGUGUGCUUUGGGGUUGCAAUUGGGAUAUAGACCUUAUUCUCGAAGAGAAUCUUAAAAGCUUACAUUCGCCCCCUCCGGUCGCCCGUGUUCCGAUCCUUCACCUAUAAAUUAGGAGUAGCAGGUAGUAAGUGGCAGGUUAGAUAAGUACUCGUUGAUGAAUGUUGACUUGGCGUGAUCGGCUCUGCUAUUUUCACGAAGAUGCCAAUAUUGAAAGCACAUCCACCAUUUCUGCGGAUGUGAGGGAUGAACUAAUUAAUUGUUUCUUGUCCAUUAUUGCACCGUACCUCCCAUUUUCCCGUUUUCCAAACAAUUAAAGGUACCCUUACGUUACGCUUGAUCCAAAUGCCACCACUCAUGUGCGCAAGUGGCAUGUGGUAAUGCCAUGAUGCAAGUGCAGUAACAGCGUGUACAUCUUGCAUGAUUCGCGCCUCGUUUUCACUAUUGUAAUCUAUAAAGAAACAAACAAAAAACAAAACGAUGGAUGGAUCAGCUCGGGAUCCAAUAAUCGAGAGGAAUUCAAGGAAAAAGAAAAAUUUGGGAUCACGUGUGCGGAUCCUAAUAACAAUAUAUAGUAGGACAUCUCCAUGCUCACCUAGUAGCCACUACUAGUGCGCCGGCCCAGUUGGCGCUAAGACAUCGUACGUGCAUUAAGGGGGUGUUUGGAUACUGGACGCUAAACUUUAGCAGUGUCACAUCGGAUGUUCGGAUGCUAAUUAGGAGGACUAAACAUGAGCUAAUUAUAAAACUAAUUGCAGAACCCCUGUGCUACUUCGCGAGAUGAAUCUAUUAAGGCUAAUUCAUCCAUCAUUAUCAAAUGGUUACUGUAGCACCACAUUAUCAAAUUAUGGACUAAUUAGGCUUAAUAGAUUCAUCUCGCGAAUUAGACUCCAUUUGUGCAAUUAGUUUUGUAAGUAGUCUAUGUUUAAUACUUCUAAUUAGCAUCCAAACAUCCGAUGUGACAGGUGCUAAACUUUAACAGUGGGGAUCCAAACGGGGCCUAAGUCUGUGGUGCCCAACGAUCUCUUUCUUCUAACUCAUGCUUGACUGUGACGGUGCUAUUAUAUAUUAUUGCAUGAUCAUCAGGAUAAGAUCGUAUAGUGACUGAGUGAGACAUGUAUGUACUAACUUGCAUUUAUCCAAGAAGAGGCACAUGAGUAGUGGUGCAUGCAUCCACACCUUGGCAUGCUGCAAACUUUUAUGGGUCCAUAUGUAUAGCCAAGUAAACUAUUUUAUCCUGCUGCAAGCUGCAGACAUAAGUUUAUUUAACCUUUGUUCACAAUCACUUCCACUGUCGUCGCAAUUGCCAAAGACAAGCUCACCAAUGCUAUUGCGGAGCAGGCCAAUUUCCUGUGGAACUUCGGCGACGACCUGAAGGACAUGAACUCGGUGCUGGAGUCCAUCUCAGCAGCGCUUCAGGACGCUGACACCGGUAGAAAAACGACAUUCCAUCCUCAACAAAAAUCCUAGCAUCCUCUACUCAGUCAGAUGUACUGUGUAGGUGAGAUGGUAAGGAAGCUAUGCGCGAGGCUUGAGGUCGUGAGUUCGAAUCCCAUGCACCACGCACGCACGCGCAUAUUUCGCGUGACUUGUGAUCAGCCAAGGAGAAAUGGGUGCAGCUGUUGCUUAAGUGCCUGAGGCACACUGCCAUAGACAUCUCGGAUUUGCUCGAAGACUACCAAGAAACUAGGAACCCUUAACAGCAAAGGUGAGUACUUAUGUAUGUCAGCAUCUAUGUUGUCCAUGCUUCCAAUGCAAUAACACGAAGGACUACUCUUCCUAGCGGACUCUUCACAAUCACUCGUAAAGGUAUGCGUUUCUCAAUGCAAUUUCAUAGAAGGCAAUCGAUCCAACCAAGCGACUAAAUCAUUCGUCCUUGCCAAUGAUGUGCAUCAGGUUUUCUAUAUGAAGGGCAUGUCUAGCAAACCCAAGAUUUCAGAACAAAAGAAAAAUCAUGUGAGCCAAAGCGCCACAUUGUUCUUCCAAGUAAAAAAAAUCAUGGGAGUCAAGAACAAAUCAGACCAAUCAGGGGAUUAUUGUCAGCUUGAUGGCAUGCCUCCAUUCGAUGUCGAAGUUGACCCAAGCAUCAUGUUAGCCAAAGUUCAAAUGUUCGUGCGUUGCUAUGGUAAAUAUCAAUUGUGUUUUUUAAACUCAUGGAUUUUUUUAUCUAAGUUUUUAUUACACUUAUUGGAUGUCUACACAUUUGCUAGAAAACCAAAAUAAUUUUGACUUAAUUAUUUCUUUCAACUCAAAUACUCAUUAAAUUUCUACGUUUUUAUUUAAGCAAGAGAGUUGCUACAAAAAAAUGGAUACGUAACCAUAUUGUAUCAUACAAAGCAACCACAUUUCACAUAUAGUCCGGCUUUGCAAACACCAUUGUUAUCUGAACAUAGCAUACAUGAGUUAGUAGACAUGGAUAUAUUUCUAAUUGCAAGUAGCAUAUAACCAGCCUGCACCGACGCAGCUCAAUAUGCGAUAAUUUUUAUCUUCCCAUGUAAUUUUUCUACUCUAGUACAUAUUGAACUCCACAUAAAUGUGAUCUUUCACGCCACAUACGGUUCCUAAAGUUUGGAAACUAAAUAGAUAGCCAGAAAUUUUUUAGAAAGUAUUUAUAUGGAUACAUGUAUGUUCUUCGCAAACUAACAGUAUUGUUUACCAAUAUCAAAAGGAAUAUGGCUAGGAUCAUUGCCGCAUAUGGCAGGUGAUGGUAAAGUUAUCAACUGCAAAGUAUUAGGCCUCGUUGAGCUCUACAAUUUUGAUAUAAAGUUUCUAUUCAUCCGAGAUCAAAUGAAAAAGUUGGUACUCAAAACAUACAUCCAUUAAUCUAGUCGUGCUAAUACUUACCACUAAAUGAAAAACUAGCAUGUGUUGUGUGUUUGUGACCCUAAACGAUCACAAAUGAAUAACUUAUGGGCGUUGCUAGCGCCCGAACGUAUGGUCCGGGGUGCUAGCAUCGGAUGCACGAGCAGCCGUCCGAUCAGGUCCGACACCACUUCAGGAUCUGGCUCAAAAAAAAGUCCCACCGAAACAUUGUUCCAUGUUGCAUAAAAUAUCCCACUAUCCAUUGCUGGGUCUAGAGCAAGCACCAGCUUCCAAUAUGCUGCUCACCCAAGCUAAAUAGGGGCAUUAAAAUUGCAGAAAUAUGUCGCAUAUCCUUCUCAAAUUAAACUAAAUCGCAACAUCCGAAAAUUUCUUACACAAAACCAUGAAACAUAUCGAUUAGAUAGGUGUAACAAGAUGAAAUAUGGUAUGCAACAUAUAGAUUCUGAAAAACAGAUGAAACAUUAUUUAAUGAUUGUUGAAACAGUCGAGAAAAAUAGAUGUAACAUCUAAAAUUAAGAAAAGAAGCUUCAUGCAAAUUGCAAAAAGCUGAAAUAAGUGGUUGAAACAUUUCAAAUCACCAAAUGCCACAUUUGAAAUGACUAGAUGAAACAUCACAAAAUCAAUUGCAACAGUUGAAGAUGAAAACAAUCAAAUGCCUUGCCUUUCUCUAGAUUUGACCCUCAAGCAUGAGUCCAGCCAUUUGCACAUUAGACCCUUGGGAGGAGCUCACCGGAGAACAACAAGACCUUGUUCUCCAACAAUUUUCCGAUCAAAUUGCAACAUAAAAAACAAAGCAUUGCAACAUCUGGCGGUAUCAUGAGCUACAACAUCAACCAGUUAGGAUCAGGAGAAAGAGGGCAAACACAAGCCUAGCAAUGAGUUAUAUCCGGUUUAAACGAGGAUAAAAAUGAGUGUAUUUUCCACUCAUCAUGUUGUCUUUUCGCAGCUGUACCGCCUUUAGUGUGUUGUAUUGUUCCCCUAACACCAAGUCUCCGAGGUCCGUGAAAAUAAGGAAAGUGAUAGCAGCCCAGAAAUCGACCAAGUUUCUUUCCCCCUUUGGCUUUCCUACUAGGAUUCGGAAUCCUCUUUCGCAUGACAAUCUUAAUUAUCUCCCGUAGUCCAAAACUCACAAAAACAUUAAACAUCCUCCGAGAAUAAAUUAAGUAAAAAACAUGCACACACCAAUAAUAAUAAUAAUCUUGUUUCAAAAAAAUUGCUAAGGCCAGAGAUAAUACAAAAACAUAUUAGACUGUUCAUGACACAUAUCACGGUGGACAGUGUUUGUGUCCUUAUUACAAGCAACGAGAGGAAUUAUAUAUGCUUGUCACCACACACACGCGCGCACAGAUGCACGACAUACAUAUAGUUGAGACCAACAGAUGGAUCGACUAGAGGUGGCCCCAUAUGGUGAACAAUUUAUUGGAGAUAAACAUUAACAUAACUUGGCCAUAGCUUGAAGCAUAGCAACAUAUGCGUAUGAAUGGCAUUGAUGCUAUCGUUUUAGGCUUGUCCAGAUAAUAAUAUCUGGUUUUAAGCAUAACAUGGUUUUUACUUAAUUUAUCUGUGCGUGCGAUAAUAAACCAGAUAAUAGCUUGAAACAUGUUGUGCAUUGGCACCACACGCACGAGAAUAAAUUAAGUAAAAAACAUGCACACAUAGAUAAUAAUAAUAAUCAAGUUUCAGUAAAAUUGCUAAGGCCAGAGACAAUACAUAAACAUAUUAGACUAUUCAUGACACAUAUCACGGUGGUCAGUGUCUGUGUCCUUGUUACAAGCAGCGAGAGAUGCUUGUCACCACACGCACGCGUGCACAGAUGCACAACAUACAUAUAGUUGAGGCUGCAAUUUAUAGGCAGCUGCGCUAUGUGAUGAUAUGGACAAGGUGCAAAUGGGUGGUCCUGAUAUGGAUAAGGUGCGAAUGGCUGUCUACUUGUAUUGUGUAGCUCCAAUGUACGUAUGUAUCUUAUACAUGUAUACAGUUGAUGGAUAAGGUAUACAGUCUUUGUUACCAAGUAAUUUUACUUUCGCACGUUUCAGCCGAGAGGCAGAAGAGAAUAUUUUACAGAGAGGGCAGAGAAGGAGGUUGGUAGGGUUCCCCGUGUCGCCAAGAUUUUUGCAUUUUACAUGUGUGUAUAGAUCACUUCGUCGUGCGGCGCCCUACUCCAGGUUGUACCCCAGCAGACCACGUUCUGUUUCUCUGCCUCCACAAGGACCACAAGACUUAGUAAAAAAAGCUAAACUUUGCAACACGAUGUAUACAGAAUUAGUAGCUAGAUCUAUAUAUGAAAUUCAUCCUAAAACUGAUAGGUGGAGAGAAGUAAAAAAUACCAAUUUGAUUUCCUAUCUGAUUAGAGGAAAUAUGGAUGGAUCGGUCGCAAUUAGCGAAGUGGCUCCAAUUGACAUAAAAGGUGUGCAUUGCAUUCAGCAAGAAAAAUUGAGUUUCUACUGAAUCUAUGAAAAAAAAUGAGCUUACGUUAUCAUAUAUAGGCAUAAAUUAAAAUGACAAGAAAUUCCAACCACGGUAUAUAAGACCAAUAAUUGGAAAGAUGGAUGAAAGGAAGAUAGGGUUUAAAUUAAAGUCUCCGCAUAGGCAGUUUGACUAUGAUCAAUUUUACCUGUAUUUCUCAAUAUGUAGAUAAUUCUAUGCCAACAAUUAAAAACUAAUACAUAAUUUGACACGGUGCACCUUGAGAACGUUUUGAAAAUGUACUCUCGUUACGCGUUCACCUCCUUAACAAUAACUGCGACUGUAAAAUAGGUACAUCGACGCUAGCUAAAUAAACAACUAUAAGAUUUAGCAAGAGAUCAUUUUAUACAAUCCUGUAACGAAAGAAUUUGACAAUUAUAUUGUCCAUAUAUUUUGACGAAAAACGUCUAAAUUAUAUAAGGUGGGCCCGAAACAGUUGGAUUAGCAUAUGGUUACCCGUUUGUUGUCUUCCGGCCCUAAAAAAAGGACCAUCUUACUGAAAAAGGUUCUAUUAGCACAAGUAGAGAACUGACUUUCGAUGCACCCCCUUUUAUCCCGGUUUAAAGUAGGCCCGGGAGAAAAGGGGGUGCGCCAUGGUAGGCAAAAAUAGAGGGGAGAUUUACUCCCGGUUGGUAUUUGCAACCGGGACUAAAGGCCACCCUUUUGUCCCGGUUGGAGCCUCCAACCGGGAAAAAAGGGUGGGUGGACCUUUUGUCCCGGUUGGUGUUACCAACCGGGACAAAUAGUUUACUCCCGGUUGGAGGUUCCAACCGGGAGUAAACUUUUAGUCAUUUUGUCGGCCCUUUUGUCCCGGUUGGAGCCUCAAACCGGGAGUAAACUUUCAAUCGGGACAAAAGGUGUUUCUUUUUGUGUCAGUUGGAGUUUCUAACUGGGAUAAAAACUCAUCCCCAUUAUAUACCAAGACAGAGGUCUUUCUUCCUCCUCCAGCCCGAGCCAGUCCACCACAAAGACAGAGAGCUCAGCUUCACCUACUCUCCGGUGGUGCCGAAGCAAGGGAGGUGCUGCCCGAAUUUUUUUACCCUCAUUUUCGUGGGAAUUUCACUCAGCCAACACAAGUGUUGUGAAGGUUUGCUACUUCAUCCUCGUGUUACGCUUUGAUUUAUGCUUUGGAGAUGGAAAGUUUAUUUGCUAGAAUGUGAUGAAGUAGAAAAUGGAGAGGUACUUUAAGCUAGAAUGUGAGGGAGAUUGAUGUGUCAUAUAUAGUAUGUAUUCUUGCAGUGAUUUAAGAAUGAUGCUACCUUGUCUAGACGGUUUAUCUUAUCAAAUUCAAUAUGGUUUUUCAAAUUCAUACUUAUUGAACUUGCAUACCGUGUUCAUGUCGGCGAGAAUGUUCUACGAGAAAGAGUGGAUACGGACAUCGUGACCGUAUCCCCUUUUUCGUAGAAUCGAACCUCUUUCAUGACGAAGUGCGAUGCCGCCCAGUUGAGAACAUGCUCGCCAGAUGAUCACGGUCUUCAAGUUCAACAAGUUCUGUAGGCAUACCGUGAUCAUCUCGGUAAGCAUGUUCUCCGUGGAGCAGCAACGGACGUCAAGGAGGAGGUUCGAUUUUACGAGAAAGAGAGGCAACAGACAUCGUGGAUGACUGUGUCCCCUUUCUCGUAAAAUCGAACCUCUUCCAUGACGAAGUAUGGUGCCGCUCAGUUGAGAACAUGCUCACCGAGAUGAUCACGAUCUUCAAGUUCAACAAGUUCACCGCUAAGGUAAGAAUUUUUGUACAUAGAUGGCUUCUGCUACUGGAGGAAGUGGCGAUGGUGGGGGCGAUCGUCGUUCCUCUUUCGGCAAGGGGAAAAUCAUAGUUGGCCCUCAGGAUAAGCCGAAGAAAAUGAGCGCGUUGGAGAAAGCAAUGCUUCGUUAUUUGCAGAAACGUCAUGAAGAAGCUGUUGCCGCGGGUCAGGAACCUCCUUUUGGUUGUCGUUAUGCUCCACCCUCAGUCCCGGGUGUUUCACGUCCACUUAGUACUACCAUUUCAGGUGGCACAAAUAAACCACAGGAUGAGGCUGGGUCAGCGGAACCUUCAUCUUCACCGCCCAAGGAUGCUUAAAGUCCUCCUAGAUAAUAACCAGUGGAUGGCUUGUUGUAUUGUAUCAUGUUGUUUGGAUAUUUAAUUUAAAUAUGUGUAUUUGUAUCUAUAUCUAAACUUUCAGCAUUAUUUGCACUACAACGUUUGACAUGCUUUCAAUCAUGAAUCCAUUUUCAAGUGUAAUCAAUUUUCACGCGUAAUCCAUUUUCAAGUGUAAUCAAUUUUCACGCGUAAUCCAUUUUCAAGUGUAAUCAAUUUUCAUGUGUAAUCCAUUUUCAAGUGUAAUCAAUUUUCACGCGUAAUCCAUUUUCAAGUGUAAUCCAUUUUCAUGCGUAAUACGAUGCAGAUGGACCGGCAAUGGAUGUAUAAUGCAGACAGACGGAGCAAGGUGUUUAUUGAUGGCUUGCAUUAUUUUCUCGAAGUGGCCAAAGCGAACAAGCCAGAGAAUGGGAUCGUAUGUUGUCCAUGCUUCCAAUGCAAUAACAAGAAGGACUAUUCAAAGGAUUCCUGGGGGACUAUUCACAGCCACUUGUUUAGAUACGGUUUCAUGCCUAACUAUUUGGUUUGGACCAAGCACGGUGAAAGAGGGGUUGUAAUGGAAGAUGGUGAGGAGGAGGAGGAGGAUGGCAACAUUCCGGACUAGGUUGCAGGCCAAGCUUUUGCAGAUACUACAAUGGGCGAGGCUGAUGAAGAUGAGUUUGCAGAAAAUGGCCCUACGAUGACCUUGGUCAGGUGCUACGAGAUGCACACAGAGAUUGCGAAACUGAGAAGGAAGCAGCAAAGUUGCAACGCAUGAUAGAUGAUCACCAAAAAUUGUUGUACCCAGAUUGCCAGCAGGGCCAUAAAAAACUAGGUACGACACUAUAAUUUGUGCAAUGGAAGGCAAAAAAUGCUGUGUCCGAUAAGGCAUUUCAGGGGAUGUUGAACAUUGUCUAGAAGAUCAGGCGAGAUGAUCCUGGUGAUGUCGAGGGGCAGUCUCCCAAGAAGAGAGUUCCCGCGAAGGUGAUGUGGUAUUUCCCUAUAAUACCACGCUUGAAGCGCUUGUUCAGGAACAAGGCAAAUGCUAAGUUGAUGCGAUGGCACAAAGAAGAACAUAUGGAAGAUGAGAUGCUGAGACACCCCGCAGAUGGGGCCCAGUGGAGAUCAAUUAAUAGAGCAUUCCCGAACUUUGAAAGUGAAGCAAGGAACAUAAGGUUUGGUUUAAGUAUUGAUGGAUUCAAUCCAUUCGGUGAGUUGAGUAGUGGCUAUAGUACUUGGCCUGUGACCCUAUGUAUGUUCAACCUUCCUCCUUGGCUGUGCAUGAAGCGGAAGUUCAUUAUGAUGCCGGCGCUUAUCCAAGGCCCAAAACAACCCGGCAAGGGAUAUGGAACAGAGGAGUUGAUCGAGUUUUGUGUUGAUUUUAUUGACUCAAUUGACUCGAUUGGGGUUCCAACUUCACGCCACGAGGGGAGGCUCCGGGGAAUGGGCACCCUUGGAAGGAAAUCAAGUUUGAGCAAUGAUACUGAUUUGUUCGACAAGGCACACUACACUGUUCUGCAAUAGUCAUCCUUUGUGUCUCCCUAUAUCGAGCAGCACAGGCAGAUGGUAGUUUUCCAAAAACCUGACGAAAUCCGAUGCUUGGCUUACACAUCAUCACAUGGAAACUUUUUCCUCCUGGUUGCGCCAACAACUCAUGGGUAACUCUGAGAUUUACCUACAGCUCGCUUGGUUAGCCAGGGGACCUGCUAGCACAAUCGUGAAAUUUCAAGACUAUGAGAUAAAUGGUUAUACAUUUUACACGAGAGCCUAGGACCAGAAAAGCACGAACCAGAAUAGUGGUGUCCGCAUAGAUGCCAUAGAUAGAAAUAAUAACAAGGAGUCGUAUUAUGGUUUCAUACAGGAGAUAUGGGAACUCGAAUACGGACCGCUGUACAUCCCUGUAUUUCUUUGCAAUUGGGUGAAGCUAACUGCCGUAACCAAAGAUCAGUACGGAAUGACAAUAGUAGAUCUGAGCAAGACUGGAUACAGUGAUGACCCAUUCGUACUUGCGAAUGAUGUGCAUCAGGUUUUCUAUGUGAAGGACAUGUCUAGCAAACCCAAGAGAAAUCCAGAAGAGACAUGGGAGCCAAAGUGCCACAUAGUUCUUCCAGGUAAAAGAAAAUCAUUGGAGUCGAGGAUAAAAUAGACGAAUCAGAUGAUUAUGAUCAGUUUGAUGGCAUGCCUCCAUUCGCAGUUGAAGUUGACCCAAGCAUCCUGGUAUCCAAAGAAGAGGCUCCAUACUUACGCCGCGAUCAUGAUCAAGGAACUUUCGUGAAGAAGAAAUUUUACAACGUUGUAUUGUAAUGCGCUAAAUUUACUUGACCUUUGUGAAGUACUUGAUACAAUUUUUAAUUUAACCUAUGUAUGAUUUCAUGUGUUCUUAAAUUUGUUGAGGUGAAGAUUUAUUAGAUAAACAUGAACAAUGUUAACCACACACAUACAUGGAUUAUUUUUGCGCGUUGAAAUUAUUUAAUUGAAUAAUUUCUCGAUCAUUGCGAUGCAGUAAAAUAAUUAUUUUAGAGGCUAAACGAACUGGUAUAGAAUUAAUGACUAAUUCACACUUAUUGUCAAUAUACUUGCUAAUUAAAUAUAUUUUUGCAUAUUCAAAAUAUGUGAAUUUUUUUGUUUUUGCAUCCUGAAAUGCAGUGAAAACAUACAUAAAAUCCUUUUCCAAAAAAUAGGCGGGAGAUGAAAGUGUGGGAAAAGGCACUUUUGUCCCGGGUGCCAAUAGAAACCGGGACAAAAGGACCUUUUAUCCCUGUUGCCAAAAGCAACCGGGAUCAAAGGCCGUCCCUUUUGUCUCGGGUGCCAACGCCAACCGGGACAAAAGGCCCCCUUUUUAUCCCGGUUGACAACUACAACCGGGAUAAAAGGGUAGUUUUCGUUUCCCGCUGGGGACGUACCCUUUUAUCCAGGUUACAGUUAGCAACCGGGAUAAAAGGGGGGGCCCUUUUGUCCCGGUUGGUGUUGGCACCCGGGAUAAAAGGGCCUUUAGUCCCGGGUUCAAUUACGAACCGCGAUAAAAGGGGGGAGGGAUAAAAGGCACUGUAGCCUCUUCUACCACCACCCCACGCUAGUUACGACACUUAGCCAAAUUUUCACCGCUGCCAAGAUCCCGCGCCCUUCCGCCAGCUCCGUCACCGCCCAUCCGCCUCCCUCGCCGGCCGCCGUCGUCCUCGUCGUCCAUCGCCCCGGCCAUCAUCGUCCCGCCGCCCGACCGCCUCGCCCGCGCCCAGACCACCUCCUCCUCCAUCGCCCCGGCCCGCCUCCGAUCCUCCUCCGUCGUGCCCCCUCGACCUCGUCGCAGCCGGCCGCCUCCAUCGCGGGGCCUCGUCCCCGCCUCAGUCAACGCCACAUUCUCUGUCGCCGCCUCAUCACCGCCUCUGUCGCGCGCGCCGCCUCCGUCCCUCGUCGCCGUCCGCCUCCGCCCGUUGUUGCUGUGGCCACCUCGCUCCGUCCCCGCCUCCGCCGUCCCACCGCCCCGGCCGCCGCCGUCCCGCCGUCCCGGCCAUCUCGUCGCCCAGCUAGGCACCGCGUGAGGUCCGCCGGCACUGGCACCGGGAAUGAACAGCUCUUGCUGACGCAAACCCACCGGCUUGCGUAAGCAAGGACCUUUUUUAUUUUUUAGUUAGAAAAUGAAUAGAUAUUAGUAGAUUAGUUAGAAAAUCAAUAGAUAUUUGUAGAUUAGUUAGAAAAUCAAUAGAAAAUCAGUUGAUAAAUUUUGUAGAAAUUCAUUCAAAUUAGUAGGAAUUAGUUGUAAUUUGCUAGAAAUUCCAAUAAAUAUGUUGAAAUUAGUAGAAAUUUGGUAGAAAUUCUUACAAAGUACUACUAAUUUGUUGAAAUUUGUAUAAACAUUCCGAACUUUGUGGGAUUCAUGUUAUUGUAAAAUUAUUAGGCAUUAGUAGAAAUUUUGUAGAAAUUCCAAUAAAUAUGUAGAAAUUAGUAGAAAUUUUGUAGAAAUUCAUACAAAGUACUACUAAUUUGUUGAAAUUUGUAUAAACAUCUUGGAUCAGCGCUUGGUUUGUUGAAAUUUGUAUAAACAUCUCGGAUCAGCGCUUGGGUUGUGUAAGUGUCCGUUUAUCUACAUGUAAAUUUUGCCUCAUAUCAUUAUUUUUUUUGCGUGCGUCACCGUACUAACUUCGUCUUCCAUUUUAUGUAGCAUGCUAAUUCAGACGUGCCGACGAGAGGCGUACCUACAUAUUGGCUUCAUGGGUCCAUCCGUAGUUAACCAAAAACAGAUACAAUUAUCGCCGGAAAAAACCUUGGUGGAAGUAUACAAUUUCCUAGACAAACAAAAAUUCAAGGAUUUCAUACUACUUCCAUACAACUUCAGGUAAGUGUGUGUAUACCGUCUACUUUCGUUGUCUUUUUCCUUACCUGAUUAAUUAGUUAGCUCUAAUAUGCAUGAACAUUUUACGUACGCAGCUUCCACUGGAUCCUUAUUAUAAUUGAGCUUGAAAGAAGCCACGUCACUGUCUUCGAUUCGUUGAGGAAAGAUCCGGUGGAGUACCAAGACAUGCAAGACAUGCUAGGCUUGUAAUAAUUUUGGACCUUUAUCUCUAUGCAAAAGUUUGUUUCCUAAAUUUUAUCCCUGUUACACUAUAUCAUUCAUUAUUCUAAUCCGCAGCGCAUGGAAACAAUUCAUAAGGACACACAAAGGUCCAUUCAAAGAAAAACUUACAUGGAACACAGACUUCCUGGUACGUAUGAAGUCUGCACAUUUAGUACAUUGUAUAACACGAAUAUUUCAUAACUUAUUUUUUUCGACACUGAAGUGCUUAAGACAGGAACUCGGGAAUAAUCUAUGUGGCUACUACAUCUGUGAGCACAUGCACAUUUUUAUGGGACCCAAGGGACUAAAGAUGACGCCGCACAACUUUAAAGUACGUAAAAUAAAACUAUUACUAGUUAAUUAUUUUCUAGCUCCUUAUAUUUAAUUGUUCGUGUAACAUUCACAAAUUUCCAAAUUAUAGAUGUUAAAUAUUCAACAAGGACUCUUGAAGAAAAAAAAGGGUAGCGGCAAUAUGUGAAGGUCUCGUUGGAUUCCUAAUGGACGAGGUGGUAAAUCCACAGGGAGAAUUUUAUUACGAUGGACGACAAUUAGACGCUCCGAGCAACACCUCGACGGGAAGAUUGUAGAUAUAUAGUUUGAUUUGUAUACAUAACACGCGCUAAGAUCGAUUUGUAUAUAUAGGUGAUUUCAUUAUACUAGUUGAAUUGUGUAUAUGAAUUGCGUAUAUAUAGUAAUUGUAUAAUUACAAAUUUCAUUCGUUUAAAUACUAGUUGAUUUCAUUAUAAAAAAAGUCUCAACUACUAAAGGUUAACAAAAGGGCCGCGGUACUACGUACGUGAUGCAUGAAAAUUUAAGAUGCCAUGCAGGAAAAUUUAAAUAGGACUUUAGUCCCGGUUGGGAAACCCAACCGGGACUAAAGGGGCACCCUUUACUCCCGGUUGCUUUUCCCAACCGGGAGUAAAGGGCCUGUCCCGCGCCAACCGGGACUAAAGGGUGACCUUUACUCCCGGUUGAAGGACCCGGGACUAAAGACCCCCCCUUUUGUCCCGGUUGGUUUAUCCCGGAUGGAUUUUCGAGAGAUAUGCACCCUACCAACCGGGACUAAAGGCGAGUUCUCUACUAGUGUAGGCCAUGCAGCCGGCUCUGUGGUACCAAAAAGAAAUUUUUGACAUGGUUUACAUCGAGAACGUUUUGAAACUAGACUUUGGUACGCAGUUCACCUUCUUAACAAUAACGGCGUACAUAGACGCUAUCUAAAUUGACCACUUUAAGAUUUAGCGAGAGAUCUAUUUUUUUAAUCCCGUAGCGAGAUCUAUUUUUAUAAUCGCGUAGCGACUGUACGAAGGACUGAAAAAUAAGUUUGAUUACCGUAUAUAGUUAGCCAACUCGUUAAUGGAAUAAACGAUAGAGUUCUGCGAGGCAGACUAGCCUUUCACACGCACCAACUGAACCAGCUGGCAUGAUGUAUUUGAUCUUACUCCCUUGGUCCCAUGGAAAGGUAGAAAUAACCAUAUAUAGGCAUGUAAUUAUCAGUUAUACUUAUGGGAUACUUAGAUGACUUGAUGUAUGAAUCAAGAAAAUGCAUCGAUCGAGAACUUACGGGGAUCAUCUCAAUAAUUUAGAGACCAUGCGCAUAUAUAUUGUGGAAGGUGUGCGUGAGGGUCGUUAUCUAUAUCCUGUGUUAGAAAAAGAUUGCAUAUAUAGUUAAUGUUUGUCUUUCUUCGGAUGGCACGUUAGCUGACCAUUGACAACAUGUGAUGAUUUUACUAACAUCAAAAUUAGGCAUGCCCCAUUUUUUAAUUGGUGCAUGGAGUGGGAGGUUUUGGUGGGUGAGCAUUGGUGUGCAACUCGUGUGCGUGAGCAUGUGUGCGUAAGAUAAUGUGUUUUGUUAGAAAAAGAAGAUAAUGCCUCUAAACAAUCCAGAAUAGAAGGCGGGCCCUGACGACAAGAUAAUACCUUACGCGGCGAUGUCUCAACGUGUCACCUGGGGCGGCUUUUGCAGUUUCCCCGUACACACACUAAGAGCCUCCGACCCUUUUUUGUCAAACCUUCUCUUGUAGUCAUGCAUAUAUCCAUGAUGAUUUGAGUCUACUGAUUGACAGUUAGAUAUUUUGCUUGUUUGUGAGAAUUUUUAGUUUCUAUUUUUUUAGAGUGUCCACCUAGGAUCCUAGGUGGCUUCACCUGAAAGCUUCAAAAGAAGCGUCCAAAUUAGUAAUCAUAAGAUUUUCUCAAAAGAGACUUAAUUCUACCACUAUACCUUGAUUGGCGGCCCGAGCCUCUACCUUUGUCUCCACUUGACUAUUUGAGUUGGCUCAGAACGGUUCACCGCGCUAGCAACGUUACGUUUGAUCCCAAUGCCACCACUCAUGUGCGCCACCUGUAUUCUACCAAGUGGCAUGUGGUAAUGCCAUGUUUGUUUUAAUUUCGUCCAUCAGCAUUCACAAUGAUAUCAUCACCAUUAUGUAAUUAUCCCACUUUUAAUUUUCUUGCAACUCUGUGAAGUUAACAGUCUCUGAUCAAGUUUCCGAGGAUUGCUAUAUCUUUGUUUAUUAUCUACGGAAGUUGACAGCACAUCCACCAUAAUUCAUGGCCCACCAGACUCUAAGUCCACUGCGAGUAUAUAUUAAUUUGUUUUAAUCCGACUAUACUAGAUGUGUACCAAUCAUUCGAUAUGAGGGACGAACUAAUUGUUUCUUGUCGACUAUUGCACCGUACCUCUCGUUUUCCAAACAAUUAAAAGGUACCCUUCCGUGAUGGUUGUACCGAUACCGACUAUCUAUAUUAUUGCUUUCUUGAGCAUACCAAACGAGUUAAUUGGUAUGAUGAUGUUAUAGCUCAUUUAUAUAUGCUUAAAUACAUACACCGGUAGAAAACUCGCCUUUAGUCUCGGUUGGUACGUGUUAGACACCUAAUCCUUGCAUUGAUGGCUAAUCCUUCCAGCUUUUGUCUUCACGCACGCAUGCAUUGAUAGCCUCCUGCGGAUGGCCUUUCAGCUACUGCGCCGUUCAACUUCUGUGGCCUGUCCGGCUUCUUCCUUUCCCCAUAUAAUGUAAUACGUUCAACUCAAAUGAAUGAAAUCAAAUUAUGCGUGUAUUAUUCUCGCUUUCAGUAGGGGCCAAAUCUCCCGAAAAUCCAUCCGGGAUAAAGAUGAGAAAUUAAUCCAUGCGUGGCUUCAUGCAAAUUUGUUCAGAUCAGGUUUGAACAGCAUGUAAUCUUUUUCAGGCAUCUAUAUGGAGCGUGGGGGUGUUAUGUUAUCUUCUACUACACAUAUAACAUUAAAUUCAUUCAGUUUGGCUGAGAGCCCAAAAUGCAACGAAUAUGCCAUCCAACGUGAAAAAAAGAUGUGGAACAGUAUACUCUAUCUUCGAAAUUAAUUAACGAGAUUCAGCUUCAAAAGAGAUAAGAGCAGACAAGAGGCACAUGGGUGCAUGCAUCCACACCUUGGGAUGCUGCAAAAUUUGGGAUCACGUGUGCGGAUCCCUAAUUAGGAAAAAAGAAUAAUUGUGCUAGCAAAAUGUGGAACACGACUGCCGGCCCAGUUGGCGCUAAGACAUCGUACGUGCAUUAAGUCUGAGGUGCCCAACGAUCUCUUUCUUUAACUCAUGCUUGACUGUGACGGUGCUAUUAUAUAAUAUUGCAUGAUCAUCAUGAUAAGAUCGUAUAGUGACUGAGUGAGACAUGUACUAUAACUUACAUUUAAGCCUCGAACUGUGUGUCGUUACGUGAGCUGCCUCCUCUCCUCGCCUCUGAAUUAUUGAACCGUUUCCAACAGUGUUGGUCUCGACGAAAUUUGACACCAACCAGAUUUAUGAAGAAAAGAGAAUAAUACUUGGAAUUGGGAAAAGUUGAUCUCUCUUUACAAUGGGUAGGUGCUCCCCUUUUAUAGUGACCCAUGAGCCACUUUACAUUCCGAAAAUAUCCUUUCUCAACCACUACAUUCCUAGGAUAUGCCGUACAAAUUGAACUCUUCCACGUGGUCACAUUUCUCACGCCUCCUGUUUUCCAACCUCGAGACUUCAUCUUCACGCCAAGUUGAUCAUCUAGCCUCGAGGCUCCAUCCACGAUCCGGAAUGAAGGUCCAGCCUCGAGGCUCCUGCUUGUUAGAAGAACCGUCGUAUGAGACGAGGAUUGUAUCUUAGAGAUAAGAGUUGUUAUGGUUUGAGUUGGCCGGCUAGUAGAUAGAGAUAGAAUCUUGAUGUAUUUGAAUGCUGGCUAAACUUUAUCUAUAACAACAUGCAUUGUAAUCUGUUGGGACUUUCCCCCUAUAUAAACAUGCAACCACGGCGAGCCAAGAUAGGGCAACCGUGUUCAACUCUUUUGACAUGGUAAUCAGAGCCCUUCUUCCAUAAAAUACAUCUACAUCUACACCACCUGGCGCACGCCACCUUGUUGCCUGGCACACGUCAUCACCUUGCAUGCAACAGUCAUGGUGUCAUCAUCGUCAUCGUCAGCCACUGCACCCACGGCGGCGCAGCUUGGAGCUCCUGUAGCUGAAAAGCUUACAGGGGAGAAUUAUGUCUUAUGGAGGGCUCAAUUCUUGCCUGCUGUGCGGGGCGCGCAGCUCAUGGGAGUCCUCAACGGAUCUGUCAAGGAGCCCGGCCAAGACCAUGGAACUGGUGAAGGCUGACGGCAAGAAAGGGUAGCAUGACUUCAUCAACUUACUACACCAAGAUGGUGGCUAUCAAAGAUGAGUUGGCGGCAGUAGAAGUCAUUAUUGACGAUGGUGAGAUGGCAUCUUACAUACUUAAUGGUCUUGAUUUCGAAUAUAAUCCGUUUGUGUCCUCGAUGCUUGGCUGUGCUGAUUCCCUCUCUCUUUCCGAUCUAUACUCUCAUCUGUUGUUUUAUGAGAUGCGCCUGGAAGCAUAUAAUGAAGCGGGACAAUAUACAUCUUGGGCAAACUCAUCUUCUCGUGGAGGAUUUCGGGGACACGGCAAUGGCGGUCGUGGCAAUGGAGGGCGCAAUUGAGGGCGCACCAACGGUGGCCGUGGCCAGAACCGUGGUGGCCAGAACAACAGCAACAGUAGCAGUCAGCCCAAGAAAGUAAUCUGUCAAAUCUGCAAGAAUGUAUGUCCAUGAAGCACCAAGAUUCUGGUAUAGAUACGACGAAGAUGAGCAAGAAAAGGUUGCCGGCACAACAGCUACAAGCUAUGGUUAUGAUACUAACUGGUAUACAGACAGUGGCGCAACCGACCACAUUACUGGCGAGCUUGACAAGUUGACCGUCAAGGACAAGUAUAAUGGUCGAGAUCAAGUACAGGCUGCUAACGGUCCAGGUAUGAAAAUUAGUAAUAUUGAUCAUUCAACUUUACAUAUGCUGGGUAGAAAAUUGCAUCUAAACAAUAUCCUUCAUGUUCCUAUUGCUCACAAAAAUCUUGUUUCCAUCCAUAAAUUAGCUUCCGAUAACAAUGCCUUCCAUGAAUUUCAUCCAAAAUUCUUUUUCAUUAAGGCCCUAUUUGGCAUGGCUCCAACUCUAGGUGGAGCUACUCUACUCCAAAAAUCCAGGUGGAGCCAGCUUUGGGUGGAGUUGGAACUGUCUAGAUGGGGUGUUUGGCUAGAAGAGUGCAUCAGCUCCAAAAAAGACCGAUCUCAGUGUGGAUUGCCAUUGUUGCCCCAAAUUCAAGCCCCACUUUUCAUCCUCUAUAUCCCCAUCUUCUUCUUCCUCAGAAGGCGUGGAUGCAUGGAGAGAAAUCAAAUCGACUCGGCAUUAGAGCGGCGAGAUUUGGACGCGAUCGAUCAAAAUCAAUCGAUUAAAAAAAAAUCUCUCACCGCCACCAGGCUUGGGCGGCGCUGCGAAUGAUAGAGUGGCCGAGGCCACGGGCGCUGGGGAGUACGCGGCAGGCGCCUGCACCAUCGGCAGCAGCGUCAUGUUGGACACCUUGGCCGGCGCGUCCGGGUCCUCCGCGUCAGCAUCGUCAUUCUUGCCGGCUGCCGUCACCGCAUGCCGAUGCCCCAGCCUCUCAGCACCGACACGUCGUCGACUCCACUUCCUGGAAUGCCAUGCCCCCGGCCACGAUCGCCGCGCGCCAAAGUGAUCGUGGCUUUUCUAACAACCAUAUCGUAAUCAUAGGAUCUUCUCAGCGCAAAACUGUGCAGCUCCUUGCCUUUCUUUAGCAGAGCAAGUCCUGCACAAGCCCGCAGCAAGACCAACAUGCACUACUAGAGAAUUGACUUUCAAUCCCCCCCUUUUAGUCUCAAUUUAAUGUAGGCCCGAGAGAAAAGGGGGUGCGCUACGGUAGGCUGGAAUGGGGCGCACCUUUAGUCCCGGUUCAUGUUUAAAACCGGUACUAAAGCCCCCCUUUUGUCCUGAUUUGAGCGGCUAGAUUUUUGCCACCGACAGUGCCCCCCCUUUUGUCCCGGUUGGAGCCACCAACUGGGACAAAAACCUCGCCCUUUUUUUCUGGUUGGCAUUACCAACCGGGAUAAAAAGUUUACUCCUGGUUGGUAACUCAAACCGGGACAAAAGGUUGGCAUUUUCAUCCCGGUUGGAGCCACCAACCGGGAGUAAACACGAACCGGGACAAAAGAGCCAUACUUUUGUCCCGGUUUGGUUUACCAACCGGGAGAAAAUCUUUUCCCCCUUAAAGCUGCUUUCUUCCUCCUCCACUCGUCCAGCCCGAGCCACUCCACUCCACAAAGAUAGAGAAGCUCCAUCCUCUCCAUGGCGCCGAAGCAAGCCUAGGGGAGGUGCUGCCGAAUUUUUUUUCCUCAUUUUGUUGGGGACUUCACUCAUCCAAAGUGUUGUGAAGGUUAGCUACUUCAUUCUCUAUUCAUUUAUUAUUGUUAUGCUUUGUUUUAUACUUUAGAGUGGGAGAAGAAUGAGUUUGCUUGUUAGAAAGAGGGAGAAUGGAGAGGAUUUGUAUUUAUACAUGUUUUUGAGAUACAAUGUGAUGGAUAAUUUGAAUGUGAGGGAGAAUGGAGAGUAAAUGUGAGGUAGAAUGGAGAGGAUUUCAAUUUUAAGUAUUCGGAAAAACUAGAGUAAAUGUGUUUUUAAUCUUUAUACAUUAGCCAUAAAAUUAAGGUAAAUAAAUUGUAGGUGUAAUUUCAUAGUUUAGUACUUUUUAGAUAGAGUUAUGUAAUUAGCCAUUUUUAGAAUAUGUAAAUUAUGUGGGAAAUAUUGAAUUUUUUUAAUAGUUUAGUUAUUUGCAAAUAUGAGCUAAAUAAUUUGUGGUACAUAGAGAUGGCUUCUGCUGCUGGAGGUAGUGGCGAUGGUGGGGGAGAUCUUCAUUCCUCUUGCGGCAAGGGGAAAACUGUAGUUGGCCCUCACGAUAAGCCGAAGAAAAUGAGCGCGUGGGAGAAAGCAGUGCUUCGUUAUUUGCGAAGAUGUCAUGAAGAUGCUAUUGCGGCGGGUCAGGAACCUCCUUUUGGUGGUCGUUAUGCUCCACCGCCAUUCCCGGGUGUUUUAGGUCCACUUAUUAGUACUACUGUUGCAGGAGGUAUAGAUAAACCAUAUGAUAAGGCUGCGUCAGCGAAACCUUCAUCUUCGCCGCCCAAGGAUGCUUGAAAUCCUUCUAGAUAGUACUAAGUGGAUGGUUUGUCGUAGUGUAUCAUGUUGUUGUUGCUCUCAAAUUUAAAUUUGUGUAUUUCUACGUAAACUUUCAGCAACAUUUGAGUUUGUUGUAGUGUAUCAUGUUGUUUGGGUCUGAAAUUUUAAUGUGUAUUUCUAUCUAAAAUUUCAGCAAUGUGAUGGAUAGUUUGAUUGUAAUCCAUUUUAUUGACGGCUUGCGUAAUACGAUGCAGAUGGACCGGCAAUGGAUGUAUAAUGCAGACAGACGAACCAAGGUGUUUAUUGAUGGCUUGCAUAAUUUUCUCGAAGUGGCCAAAGCGAACAAGCUAGAGAACGGGUUCAUAUGUUGUCCAUGCACCCAAUGCGGUAACAACAAGGACUAUUCAAAGGCUGUCUAGGGGACUAUUCCCAGCCACUUGUUUAGAUACGGUUUCACACCUAACUAUUUGGUUUGGACCAAGCACGGUGAAAGAGGGGUUGUAAUGGAAGACGACGAAGAGGAGGAGGAUGAUGACAACAUUCCGGACUGGGGUGCAGGUCAAGCUUUUGCAGAUACUACAAUGGGCGAGGCUGAUGAAGAUGAGUUUGCAAAAGAUGGCCCUACUGAUGACCUCGGUCAGGUGCUAAGGGAUGCACCCAGAGAUUGCGAAACUGACAAGAAAGAAGCAAAGUUGCAGCGCGUGAUAGAUGAUCACCUAAAAUUGUUGUACGCAGAUUGCCAACAGGACCAUAAAAAACUGGGUACCACACUAGAAUUUAUGCAAUGGAAGGCUAAAAAUGGUGUGUCCCAUAAAGCAUUUUAGGGGAUGUUGGAAAUUGUCAAGAAGAUUUUUCCCGAGAAUAAUGAAUUGCCAUCCACAACAUAUGAAGCUAAACGGAUUGUUUUCCCUCUUUGAUUGGAGGUUCAGAAGAUACAUGCAUGCCCUAAUGAUUGUAUCCUCUAUCGCAGUGCUGAAUAUGAGGAUCUGGAUGCUUGCCCUGUGUGCGAAGCACUGUGGUAUAAGAUCAGGCGAGAUGAUCCUGGUAAUGUCGAGGGGCAACAUCCCAGGAAGAGAGUUGCCACGAAAGUGCUAUGGUAUUUCCCAGGAAGAGAGUUCCCACAUUUUGUACAAUAUUCUAUAUCACGAAUAUUUCAUAACUUGUUUGUUUCCCCACUGAAGUGCUUAAGACAGGAACACGGGAACGAUCUAUGUGGCUACUAUGUCUGUGAAAACAUGGAAAGUUUUGUAGACUUGGUCACAUACACUUGGUCCCACCCGUGAUACGAGCAGCCCAACAGCACAGUGUUCCAUGUCAGCAAGCUGGGCUCUAGCCCCGAUCUUGCCAUGCGCUUCGCGAGCUCCAGUGCGUUGUCGACAAGCCUGAGCCGCGUGCAGCACAUGAGCACCGCGUUCCACAUGACCGCCGUGGCCUCCGUCGUCUCAGCACCCAUGUGGCCACAGCGACGUCCGCGUUCUCGACGUACAUGGUGGCGAGGAACCCAGGAACGAGCGGGUGCGCGUCUACGUGGUGGGGAGCGUGGCAGUGGCAGCUUUGCUCGAUCUGGCAGCCGGAGAGUGGGACGAGACCACCACGGGGGAGACGGUCGGUGGUGGUGGCGGUGGCAAUGGGAGGAAGGCCUUGGAGAUCAAGGGAUCCAAGGUCCCCUUCCAAGAGAGAAGGGAGAUCGGGGGAGGAGACCGAUGGAGGGGAGGCGGGAGGGAGGAUGGUCGGCAGCGGGGGUAAGGAGAAAGAACAGGCGCGCGGGAGGGAGUCACGGUGCCGGAGACUCGGGAGAAAAGAAGCGAAUCAUUUUUGUGUAACUAGUGGUAUUGGUAGGUAAUUACCCACCAACUCCACGAGGAGGUUCAUAUUGGGUAGUUUUGGAGUUGCAAAAGAGGUGCUCCAAAACUCCACCCCCAUUUGCACUACAGCUCCAUGGAGUUUUGGAGUUGGGGUGUGUUGGCUGUAAAAUUGGCUAGAGUUGCUGGAGGUCAGCUCCAGAGCCAUGCCAAACACGCCCUAAGGAUCAGGAAACGAGGAAAAUCCUUCAUCAAGGUAGAUGCAAAGCAGGCCUUUAUCCAUUAGAAUCCAUCUUGUCAGAAGAAGGCGAUGACAAGAGAGUUUAUGGUGCCAUCAAACCAUCUGCUUCUAGAUGGCAUAGCCGCUUAGGCCAUCCAGCUUAUCCUAUUAUUCAGCGUGUGCUUAAUCAUAAUAAUCUUCCUUGUGGUAGUACUAAUUUUGAGUCAGUUUGUGAUUCAUGUCAAAUGGCUAAAAGCCAUCAACUUCCAUAUUCUAGUUCAAUAAAUUCGUCAAAAGCUUCGCUUGAUCUUAUUCAUUCUGAUGUUUGGGGGCUUACACCUAAUUCUGUUGGUCGAUAUUCCUACUAUGUGAGCUUUAUUGAUGAUUAUAGUAGGUUCACCUAGAUUUAUCUCCCGAAAAAGAAAUUUGAUGUCUUUCAAGUGUUCAAAGAAUUUCAGAAUCUAGUGGAGCGAAAACACAAUAAGAAAACUGUAUCCAUGCAAACCAACUGGGGAGGCGAAUAUGAGAAGUUGAAUUCCUUCUUUCAGCAAAUUGGUAUAGCACAUCGCGUCUUAUGUCCUCAUGCCCACCAGCAAAAUGGCCUCGUCGAGAGAAAGCAUCGUCAUACUGUUGAAGUUGGUCUCGCUCUUCUCGCAAAUGCUUCAAUGCCUUUAAAAUUUUGGGAUCAAGCUUUUUUGACCGCCACUUAUCUCAUUAAUAUGCUUCCCAGUAAAAUUCUUAAUUUCGAUACUCCUAUAGAACACUUGCUCCAAGAAAAGCCUGAUUACAGCUCUCGUCGCAUUUUUGGGUGCGCUUGUUGGCCUAAUUUGCAACCCUAUAAUACUCGCAAGCUAGCUUUUCGUUCUGUUAAAUGCACCUUUCCUAGUUACAGUUUCAUGCAUAAAGGCUUCAAGUGCUUAGAUCCCUCUACCGGCAGAAUUUAUAUCUCCCGAGAUGUUGUUUUCGAUGAAUCGAUCUUUCCGUUUGCUCACUUACAUCCCAAUGCAGGCGCCCUUCUCAGUAAAGAGAUUCUUCUUUUACCUGACCAUCUUCGUAAUCCGGGGGAUGUAAGUUGCAUAGACAAUAUUACUAUACUACUGACCGUUUGCAUGAUAGUAAUGCGCAAGAUGUUUUUCAGGGGAAACUGUCACCGGGCUGGGCGCACGGUGACGCAGAAAAUCACGGCGGCACAUUCCAGGAGGAUUUGAUGCCAGGUGCCGACGGUCCAGGCGUUGACUCCCAGGGAGAUUCGGCGGCAGCAUCCGUUUUGCUCCCCUCCUUCCCAGCAGUGCCCAUGUCGUCGAAUACAUCUCCGACGCGUGGCUCCACGACAUGCCCAGCGCCCGCACCCGGCGCUCCUCCGUCGCCGCAUGGCCCCGCACUUGGCCAAUCGCCUGCGCCAGCCGCCGGGAGUCCGACGCGUGGGGGGGGACCCAUCUAUCACGCCAGACAGUCUCCCACCCGUGCCUGCUGCCCCGAGUCGUGCUAGCGCUGGAUCCUCUUCGGGAAGCGGAUCCGGUGUGGAAUCUAUGCCUGGUCAGGCCAGUUCUUUGGCGCUGGCUGCCCCUGCGCCGUCUAUUUCAGUGCCAAGACAACGGACACGGCUUCAAAGUGGGAUUACGAAACUUACAUAGUUCCAGGACAUGAUCAGGUAUGGGUUGUUCUUAGCUUCUGCGGAACCACAGGAUUUUCAUGAAACUCUAAAUGAUUAUAGAUGGAAAAAAGGCUAUGCAAGAUGAAUUUGAUGCUCUCAUUAGAAAUCAAACUUGGCACUUAGUUCCUGAAAUAAAGGGUAACAAUAUUAUUGAUUGCAAGUGGGUAUUCAAAAUCAAGAAAAAAUCAGAUGGUACCAUAGAUAGAUAUAAAGCAAGGCUAGUUGUAAAGGGUUUUCAGCAACGGUAUGGCAUUGAUUAUGAGGAUACUUUCAGUCCAGUGGUUAAGAUUGCAACUGUCAGGCUUGUCCUCUCAAUUGCUAUUUCGAAAGGGUGGUGUCCAAGAUAGUUAGAUGUAUAGAAUGUGUUUCUUCAUGGUGUUCUGGAAAAAGAAGUUUAUAUGAGGCAACCUGCAGGAUUUGAAAAAGGAGCUUUGCAUCUUGUGUGGAAAUUGGACAAGGCUAUCUACGGCUUGAAACAAGCCCCGCGAGCUUGGUAUGCUAAGUUAUGUUCCAAACUUAUUGCACUUGGAUUUGUUGCAUCUAUAUCAGACACUUCGUUAUUCAUCUAUCAAAGAUUGGGUGUCAUAAUUUAUAUGUUGAUUUAUGUUGAUGAUACAAUUGUGACAAGUUCAUCAAGUGAAGCUGUUACGACGUUGCUUGCUGAUCUCAAGAAGGAUUUUGCUCUAAAAGAUCUGGGGGACCUCAGUUACUUCCUGGGUAUUUAAAUUAAAAGAGAAAAGAAUACUCUGCUGCUAACACAAGAAAAGUAUGCAAAGGAGAUUUUGUCACGGGUUGGUAUGGAGAAUUGCAAACCAUCAUCUACACCAUUGUCUACUAGUGAGAAACUUUCAAAGUAUGAAGGGGAGUUGCUGAAUUCAAGCGAUAGUACGAGGUACAGAAGCGUCGUUGGUGCAUUGCAAUAUCUCACUCCUACCUGACCGGAUCUAGCAUUCUCUGUGAACAAAGUGUGUCAAUUUCUACAUGCUCCUACCACGGUUCAUUGGACUGCUGUAAAAAGGAUACUUCGGUAUGUCAAGUUCACAUUGGAUCUUGGACUAAAUUUUCAGGCGUCAUCCUCCACCUUGGUUAUUGCUUUCUGUGAUGCUGAUUGGGCAGGAAGUGUUGAUGAUAGAAGAUCUAUCGGAGGGUUUGCAGUUUUCUUUGGUCUGAACUUGAUUUCUUAGAGUGCUAGAAACCAAGCCACUAUCUCAAGAUCAAGUACAGAAGUUGAAUACAAGUCUAUGGCAAAUGCAACUGCAGAGUUAAUAUGGUUGGAAUCCUUGCUAAAGGAGCUGGGUAUACGGCUGCAUCAACCACCAUAUUUACAGUGUGACAAUUUGGGAGCUACAUAUUUGUCUGCCAAUCCAGUCUUUCAUGCGAGAGCAAAGCAUAUAGAAAUUGAUUUUCACUUUGUUCGCGAGCGUGUGGUAAAUAAAAAGCUGCAGGUGCUGUUGGUUGCUUCCAGAGACCAGCUUGCGGACUGUUUACCAAAGCCUUGCCGUGCGGAUUGCUGGAAGCUUUCAAGAGCAAUCUAAAUAUCAAAAGGAAGAGAAGUUUAGAUUGAGAGGGACUGUUAGAAGAACCGUCGUAUGAGACGAGGAUUGUAUCUUAGAGAUAAGAGUUGUUGGUUUGAGUUGGCCGGCUAGUAGAUAGACAUAGAAUCUUGAUGUAUUUGAAUGCUGGUUAACUCUAUCUGUAACAACAUGCAUUGUAAUCUCUUGGGACCUUCCCCCUAUAUAAACGUGCAACCACGGCGAGCCAAGAUAGGGCAACCGUGUUCAACUCUUUUGACACUGCUUCGUUAAGCUUUGUUGAGAACUCAUAAACUCACAUAGUUCUCCUCUGAGUAUUGUUCCUAACUAAAGAGUAAAAAGGUAAAAGCUCGGUGCCCGGAACCGACUCAGAACACUCGAGGCUUAACUUAGUUGGAGUUUAGCUAUUACCGUUGCCAGUGACCAGCCUCGAGCCCCUCUAGAAGCAAGGUGAUGUGAGGGUGCGAGUUUUACUAUAAGAGGUGUCCCCAUAGAACGUGCGAGGUUAAAGGUGUUCUGUUACUUUUCCUGCCGACGCAUAACUUGCAAGGUUAAGGGGUUUUUAUCCCACAAACGGUGCUCCAGGAUGUUCAGAUUUUUGGGAUCCCCAACAAACAUAAAUCUUGAGUGGCUCUAAAUUGUUGUUGGCCACAUCAUACCUUGUCUUGGGCUGCUGGGUCGUGUUGUGCACCACGAGUGCACGAUCAGACAUCCUGCAUUGUUAAGUCUUCGAUGAUACGGCUGCCUUGCUUCCUCAGCUUGUCAGCAACUGCUUCCUGACUGCUACAGUACAAUUAUUGCAUGGUAUCAAGGUAAUAUAUAUAGUGACUGAAUGAGCACAUAUAACAUAUGCAUUUAGGCCUCCAACUGGUCAUUGCACGAGCUGCCUCCUCUCCUUACCUCUGAAUUAUGGAGCCAUAUCCAACAACAACCUUGACAGUGAUGAUGAUGACGACGACGAUGAAAUUAAGAAAAGAAGCUUUAUGCAAAUUGCAAAAAGCUGAAAUAAGUGGUUGAAACAUUUCAAAUCACCAAAUGCCACAUUUGAAAUGACUAGAUGAAACAUCAUGAAAUCAAUUGCAACAGUUGAAGAUGAAAACAUUCAAACGCCUUGCCUUUCUCCAGAUUUGAUCCUCCAAGCAUAUAUGAGUCCAGACAUUUGCACAUUAGACCCUAGGGAGGAGCUCACCGGAGAACAACAAGACCGUGUUCUCCAACAAUUUUCCGAUCAAAUUGCAACAUAAAAAACAAAGCAUUGCAACACAUCUGGCAUCGCGAGCAACAACAUCAACCAGUUAGGAUCAGGAGAAAGAGGGCAAACCCAAGCCUAGCAAUGAGUUAUAUCCAGUUUAAACGAGGAUAAAAAUGAGUGUAUUUUCCACUCAUCAUGUUGUCUUUUCGCAGCUGUACCGCCUUUAGUGUGUUGUAUUGUUCCCCUAACACCAAGUCUCCGAGGCCCGAGAAAAUAAGGAAAGUGAUAGCAGCCCAGAAAUCGACCAAGUUUCUUUCCCCCUUUGGCAUUCCUACUAGAAUUCGGAAUACUCUUUCGCAUGACAAUCAUAAUUAUCUCCCACAAUCCAAAACUCACAAAAACAUCAAAAAUCUGCCGAGAAUAAAUUAAGUAAAAAACAUGCACAAACAGAUAAUAAUAAUAAUCAUGUUUCAAUAAAAUUGCUAAGGCCAGAGACAAUACAUAAACAUAUUAGACUGUUCAUGACACAUAUCACGGUGGACAGUGUCUGUGUCCUUAUUACAAGCAGCGAGAGGAAUUAAAUAUGCUUGUCACCACACACACGCGCGCGCAGAUGCACGACACACAUAUAGUUGAGACCAACAGAUGGACCUCGACUAGAGGUCGCCCCAUAUGGUGAACAAUUUAUUGGAGAUAAACAUGAACAUAACUUGGCCAUAGCUUGAAGCAUAGCAACAUAUGCCUAUGAAUGGCAUUCAUGCUGGUAGCAAUGCAAUCAUAUCGUUUUAGGCUUGUCCAGCUUCUUCCAUCUUAGCAAGCACUGCCAUUUCUUCCAUCUUAGCAGCAACUGUCAAAUUGAGAUAUGGAAAUCCCAUUAGCGCAUGAGUUAAUUUUGCAGUGGAAAUAGAGUACAAGAUGUCUUCAUGAUGUAAGUAAUAUGCCUGAAGUUGUGAGAUGGGAAGUGAAGUCAACAAAUUACAUUAACGGAAAUGCAUGGAAGGCCACACAUACGUAUUAGUCCACGAUAUGCUACAAAGCUUGUAUGUACAUAUAACAAAUUAAAUGCAUUGAAUAGAGUGAGUUUACUGAAUUUACCAGAAUCGGACAGAACACAUGGGAAACAGCAAGUGUUCUUGCAGAGUGAGUCGGAGCCACCUGCAGUAAUACAAGCAAAACAACAUGCUUUUGCCCGGGCGGAUACGCAGCAGCUGCACUGUGCCGCGGUGGCCGGGUUAACAUUGAGGCUCAAGAUGACCAGGCACAUGAUCACCAUCAAAGCGGUAGUCCUCUUUCCCUCCAUUGCCUCCUCUUUCUGCUACCUUCCUUGGUUACCUAGCUAAGUUUAUUAGUUUUGUGUUGAGAGGUGAUUCUUGAAUGGACGUUGCCGGCUGCAAUUUAUAGGCAGCUGCGCUAUGUGAUGAUAUGGACAAGGUGCAAAUGGGUGGUCCAAUGGCAAGGAAAGGGGGUAUUCUGCUUGACAUUGGCAUCAGACAAAGCCCAAUGGCAACUGCUGACACGCGAUUAAAAUCAGAUCCGCAUCUUAUCCAUCCAUUCACUAAUAAUUAAAGUAAACCCACGCGGUCCGCGAGAUGCAGCGUCCAUGCAUAGCACUUCCCGCCAAACAAUAGGAAAAAUUAGAAUUCAGAGAUAGGAGCUGCUUGCAUGAAACACGGUUGCACAGAAAUCAGUGGUGCUUGGACGGUAAGUAGUGUGGUGUACAAGCUUAAAGCGGCAGUGAGUCACGUUGGUGUAACAAGCAGUACAUCAGCUGGAAGAUUGAUAUGUCUAUUGCCCACGCAGCAUAGCAUUUUAUUAUGAUACAUUGAGUUAUGUCAUAUUGUUACUUUAAGUUAUUUUUUAAGUAUUAGUUGUAGACAAUUUAGUUGCAAAUUUAAGCGGUUAUUUUAAAUUAUUUUUUAUAAUGGCAUAAGUGGGUAAUUUAGAUGAAGAUUAGGGGGUUACUUUAGCUUAUUUUAUAUAAUAGCAGAGGUGGGUAAUUUAGAUAUAAAUUUAGGGUUACUUUAGGCUAUUUUCUUAAUGGCAUAGGUGGGUAAUUUUUUUAGAAAUUAUAAUAGAUCCAAUGGCUACGAUGUUUGAGUCUACUCGUUGAUGGCAAGAUGUUUUGCUUGUUUGUGGAAAUUUUAAAUAUGUCUCUUUUUUGUAGAGUGUCCACGUAGGAUCCUAGGUGGCUUCGCUUGGAGGCUUCAAAAGGAGGUCCAAAAUUAGUAAUAGUAUGAUUUUCUCAAAAGAGACUUAAUUCUACCACUGUAACUUGAUUGGCCGCCCCGGCCUCUACCUUUUGCCUCCAUUUGACUAUUUGAGUUGGCUGUGAACGAUUCUCGGCGCUAGCAACGUUACGUGUGAUCCAAAUGCCAGCACUCAUGUGCGCCACCUGUAUUCUAUGGGAAUGCCAUGAUGCAUGUGCAGUAACAGCGCGCACAUCUUGCAGGAUUCGCGCCUCGUUUUCACUAUUGUGUCAUCUUAGCAAUUAGGAGCGAAGUGUGCUUUGGGGUGGCAAUUGGGAUAUAGACAUUAUUCUCGAAAAGAAUCUUGAAGUCUUACAUUCACCCCCUCCGGUCGCCGGUUCCGAUCCUUCACCUAUAAAUUAGGAGUAGUAGUAGGUAGUAAGUGGCAGGUUAGGUAAGUACCCGUUGAUGAAUGUUGGCUUGGCGUGAUUGGCUCUGCUGGUUCCACGAAGAUGCCAAUAUACAGCAAGGACCUAGGUCCAAAGGGAAAAACAACCAACAAGUGGGUUUGUUGCCGACCGCUAGCUAAUCAACAGUGACGUACGGGUGGAUUCGUGCGUAAAUAUUUUUUCAAUCAUGCCAUCAGGCCGCUGAUAAAAUGGGCUUAUGGUUGGCUAACCUUUAAAACAUUCUUAGAGCUGUUGGCCAUUGUGAUAACUUUGCACGUGCAUCAUUAACAUGCCAACAUACAACAAGGACAUAAGACCAAAGGAAAGAACAACCAACAAGUGCCUUUGCUGAUCGGUCAGGUCUCAGAGUUUGAGAAACUGGAUCUGACGGAUGUGAAAUUAAUCCAUGCGUGGCCUCAUGCAAAUUUGUUCACAGGUUUGAACAGCAUGUAAUCUUUUUCAGGCAUCUAUAUGGAGCGUGGGUGUGUUAUGUUAUCUUCUACUACACAUAUAACAUCAAAUUCAUUCAGUUUGCCCGAGAGCCCAAAAUGCAACGAAUAUGCCAUCCAACGUGAAAAAAAAGAGAUGAGGAACAGUAUACUCUAUCUUCGAAAUUAGUCAACGAGAUGCAGCUUCAAAAGAGAUAAGAGCAGACAAGAGACACCAUGGGAUGCUGCAAAAUUUGGGAUCACGUGUGCAGAUCCCUUAUUAGGAAAAAAGAAUAAUUGAGCUAGCAACAAUAGUAGGACAUCUCCAUGCUCACCUAGUAUAGUAGCCACUUCUAGUGCGCGUGGAACACGACUGCCGGCCCAGUUGGCGCUAAGACAUCGUACGUGCAUUAAGUCUGAGGUGCUAGGACAGCUUCCUCUUGCUUCCCCACCAAAUCAUGAGCAACGAUCUCUUUCUUUCUAACUCAUGCUUGACUGUGACGGUGCUAUUAUAUAUUAUUGCAUGAUCAUCAAGAUAAGAUCGUAUAGUGACUGAGUGAGACAUCUAUGUACUAACUUGCAUUUAAGCCUCGAACUGUGUGUCAUUACGUGAGCUGCCUCCUGUCCUCGCCUCUGAAUUAUUGAACCGUUCCCAACAGCUUGGUCUCAAAGGAAUUUGACACCAAACAGAUUGAUAAAGAAAAGAGAAUAAUACUUGGAAUUGGAAAAAGUUGAUCUCUCUAUACAAUGAGGUAGGGCUCCCCUUUUAUAGUGACCCAUCAGCCACUUUACAUUCCGAAAAUGUCCUUCCUCAACCACUACAUUCUUAGGAUAUGCCAUACAUAAAUGUCAUUUGAGGUGACGUGUACAAAUUGAACUCUUCCACAUGGUCACGUUUCUCACGCCUCUUGUUUUCCAACCUCGAGACUUCAUCUUCAUGCCAAGUUGAUCAUCUAGCCUCGAGGCUCCAUCUACGAUCCGGAAUGAACGUACAGCCUCGAGGCUCCUGCUUCGUUAAGCUUUGUUGAGAACUCAUAACCUCACAUAGUUCUCCUCCGAGUAUUGUAUCUGACUAAAGAGUAAAAAGGUAAAAGCUCGGUGCCCGGAACCGACUGAGAACACUCGAGGCUUAGCUCAGUUGGAGUUUAGCUAUUACCGUUGCCAGUCACCAGCCUCGAGCCCCUCCAGAAACAAGGUGAUGCGAGAGUACGAGUUUUACUAUUAGAGGUGUCCCCAUAGAACGUGCGAGGUUAAUGAGUUCAGUUUCUUUUACUGCCGACGCAUAACAUGCGAGGAUCAACGAAUAUGAGGAACACUAUAUGCCAUCCAACGGGGGAAAAAAAAAGAUGAGGAACAGUAUACUCUAUCUUCGAAAUUAGUUAUAAAGAUUCAGCUUCAAAAGAGAUAACGAGGCGUCCAAGACUCGAGGAGCCAGUCAAGAGCAGACAAGAGGCACAUGAGUGCAUGCAUCCACACCUUGGGAUGCUGCAAACUUUUAUGAGGCUGCAAGCUGCAUACAUAAGUUUAUUUCACCUUUGUUCACAAUACUCUUCACACACCAUUCACACACGUCUCAGGGAGCUCUGCAGCAAUGGUGGAGAUCUUAGCUAGACUGCUCACUUCCCUUGUUGUCGCUAUUGCUAAAAACACAAGCUCACCUCUGCUAUUGCGAAGCAGACCAAUUUGCUGUGGAACUUUGGCGACGACCUGAAGGACAUGAAGUCGGUGCUGGAGUCCAUCUCAGCAGCGCUCCAGGACGCUGACACUGCUAGAAAAACAACCUUUCAUCCUCAACAAAAGUCCCGAUAGCUUUUUUACCUGGAACUAAAGAGGUUUUAGUGCUGCGCAAACACCUUUAGUCCGGGUUGCUGUUACCAACCAAGAGUAAAGGGUACGAUGGCACCAACCGGGACUAAAGCACCCCCCACGAGUUACUAUAAAGGAUUGCAUCCUCCACUUAGUCAGAUUUACUGUGUAGGUGAGAUGGUAAGGAAGCUAUGCGCGAGGCUUGAGAUCAUCGGUUCGAAUCCCACGCACCGCGCGCGCACGCGCAUAGUUUGAGUGAAAAAUCAUGUCACUUGUGAUCGGCCAAGGAGAAGUGGGUGCAGAUGUGGCUUAAGCGGCUGAGGCACGCCGCCAUAGACAUCUUGGAUUUGCUCGAAGACUACCAAGACACUAGUGAACCCUUAACAGCAAAGGUGAGUACUUAUGCAUGUCAACAUCUAUGUUGUCCAUGCUUCCAAUGCAAUAAGAAGAAGGACUACUCUUCCUAGCGGACUCUUCACAACCACUCAUAAAGCUAUGUGUUUCUCAAUGCAAUUUCGUAGAAGGCAAUGGAUCCAACCAACCGACUAAAUCAUUCGUCCUUGCCAAUGAUGUGCUUCAGGUUUUCCAUAUGAAGGACAUGUGACUACUAGAAAAACGAUCUUUCAUCCCUAGCCUUAGUACCGGUUGCAUUUGGAACCGGUACUAAUGUUUACAUUAGUACCAGUUCCAAAGGAUACUGUCCGGAGCGCACCUCGAUGACCCCUUUAGUACCGGUUGGGGGCAACAACCGGUACUAAAGGGUGAGCAUUAGUACCGGUUGUUACCUUAAUCCGGUACUAAAGGGCUACCCACCCUCUAUUACCGGUUGGUGGCAUCAACCGGUACUAAAAGGGAUACCCUCUAGCACCGGUUGCUGCCACAACCCGGUACUAGUGCGGCGCCAUGCAGAAUAGAAGGUAGAUCGAUUGUACAUGGAGGGGGAACAAAGGGAGAAAGGCAAAUCAUCAGCUUAUUAUCACAUGGUAGACUAGUCUUUAAAACAUGUUUAGGGCAGAGCACAUUACGUUUAUCUUGUUUUGCACAACAACAAAUGUGACCUUUAGAAGAUAGCCCUCCUCUAAUUAAACUAGUGCACUAUUACAGGAUGGUAUCGCACGCUUCCUUUUUCCCUAUGAAAAUGAAGUUUUUAAUGAUCUGAUAGCAGCUGGCAAAACAAAUGAUUGCAAAGAUGUUUGCAGAUGAUAAUGAUACUUAUGACCACUCUGAUGAUGAAGAGAUAGAGGAACAUUUGGUCCGUCAACGUAUUUCAAAUUAACACGUCAAAUCGCACUCAAGACCUCUCACCAACUCCUCCACCAGUUUCCAAAGGCAAAUCAACUUAUUAUCGCAUGCAUGGUAGUGUCUUUGAAACAUGUUUAGGGCACAACACAUUACGUUUAUCAUCUUUUGCACAACAUUAAAUGGACCUUUGGAAGAUAGCCCUCCUCUAAACUUGUGAUGCAUUGUAAUGAUAUGUCAUGUAUAUAUGUCUCACUUGUAUCAUAGCUGUUAAAGUACCACGUCAAAUUGCACUUGCGGUGAGAUCUCUCUGACCAAGUCCUCCACCACUUUCCAAGGCAAAUCAGACAAACUCCUUGUUAUAUUCCACAUAUUGGUUUCAUCCUUAUAUAGAUGUCCAUGUAUACUCUUUUGUUUGUCUACUCAACUUAUCACAUUGUCGUAGUGUCUUUGAAACAUGUUUAGGGAAAGUCCAUAGUGGAGGGUAGUAAAUGUCAAAGGGAGUUUGUAAGGAUAAGACAACACAAAUUUUGUAAGGGUAUUCUAAAGCAUUUGAUUCUAAACUAUCCGCGAGACCUCUCACAACCUCCUCCACCACUUUCCAAGAUAAUAUACAAUCAAAUUCCUUGUAGGAGUUUGGAUGUUGGACCAAUGGGAAGUUGACGAAAGAGUGGGACAAAAAUGUGACUCGAUCAUGUCAUUGUGGGCAAAGGUCCUGGUAGCUCAUGGAACAGAUCAUUUGAAGUACACAGGAUAGGGAGGCAAUAGUCGGCACAAGGAGAGGCAUGACCAGAAGCUUGAAAGAAGUAAACUUCAAAGCUAGGAGGAAUGUUAUUCUUGCUGGUUCAAUGUGUCUUCUUAUAGAUCAGUUCAUAGAUCUUAUGUAUUUGGCUGUGAUGAAAGCUAUGGAGCCCUCCCAGCCCCUUCGAGCUGAUGCUAAGCCCAAUCUAAACUGCAUAUGGAAUGUGAAAACUCUUUCUGCAAUGAGCCAAGCUAUCAAUCCAUACCUGUGAGGCAACAUCUCGAUUCUGUGGCUACUGACUGAGGUAUUUGGCAUAGAGUAGACCAAUGGUGCAUUGUGAAUAAGCUUAUUAGAAUGUGAAUAAGUCAGAAUUCUUGCUCGUCCUCCAUUUGUUCGCUCUCUGUUCUUUUGUUUACAAGGGACUCGGUUGAUCCGCGGGACCUCUCACCAACUCCUUCACCACUUUCCAAGGCAAAUCAGCUUAUCACAUGUGGUAGUAUCUUUGAAACAUGUUUAGGGCACAAGAGGAAGGCAUAGUGCUGGAAAAACGGUUAAUGGGGUGGCGGACGGCGGGAUGCUUCGCAUUCUCGUAUGAAGGAAGCUCCAUCAACUAGAUUGACGGUCAAGUUGCAUGAAGCAGAUGCCACAGUCGACGGAGAGAGCAUCUGGGUCUAACCAUAAUAACACAAGUCUUUCCUUUAGAUAACAUGCCAUCAGAUUCCUUGCAAGAGUUUGUAUGUUCGACCAACAGGAAGUUGACGAAAGAGUGGGACAAAAAUGUGACUCGAUCAUGUCAUUGUGGGCAAAGGUCCUAGUAGCUCAUGGAAUAGAUGAUAUCAUUUGAAGUACAUAGGACAGAGAGGCCAUAGUCGGCACAAGGAGAAGCAUGACCAGAAACUUGAAAGAGGUAAGCUUCAAAGCUAGGAGGAAUGUUAUUCUUGCUAGUUCAAUGGUGUCUUCUUAUAUAUCAGUUCAUAGAUCUUAUAUAUUUGGCCGUGAUGACAGCUAUGGAUCCCUCCGAGCCCCUUUGAGCCGAUGCCAAGCCCAAUCUGAACUGCACAUGGAACGUGAAAACUCUUUCUGCAAUGAGCCAAGCUAUCAAUAUCCAUCCCUGUGAGCCAACAUCUUGAUUCUGUGGCUACUGACUGAGGUAUUUGUCGUAGUGUCUUUGAAACAAGUCAAACACCUCACCAGGGGAUCAAGCUCCACGAGAACGAGAGCUACUUUCAGAUCCAGGAUAUUAAUCAACAAGUCAAACACCUUCCCAGGGGAUCAAGCUCCAUGAGAACGAGAGCUACUUUCAGUUCCAAGAUAUUAAUCAACAAGUCAAACACCUAACCAGGGGAUCAAGCUCCACGAGAACGAGAGCUACUUUCAGUUCUAGGAUAUGGGCAUAGCUGUGAGGGGGGCCACAACGCCCCUUUAUAUAAGGGCUACUGGUUUUGCCCUUGCCUUGUGAAGUUGUGCCACAUAACUCCCAAAAUCCCUCAAGAAAGAUAACACCACAAGCAGGAAGCCAAGUAGCUAUGGAACCUGUGACAGAUAUAGCUUCCUCAUUAUGUGACUCAUGUCAUUGUGGGUGCGGGGUGACCUUGAUCUACAACUUUGUAGUUGAAACAUUUUUCAUUUGGUGUCAUCUUGGUGCUCAAAUAAUCGACACGAACUAAAACUUGGCACCACACAUUCAAAAAAUAAUAAAAUUUAUAUGAACUCAGAUAUAGAUAAAAUUUAUAUCAAAAUUGUUGAUCUCAACGAGAUUUACAACUUUGUAGUUCAAAUUAUUUUCAUUUGGAGCCAUCUUGGUGCUCAAAUAAUCGAAACAUUUUCUAGAUCUAAAAUUUAAUUUUAGAUCGGAAACUUGUGUCGAUUAUUUGAGCACCAAGAUAAUACCAAAUGAAAAAUGUUUGAACUACAAAGUUGUAGAUCUCAUCGAGAUCUACAAUUUUCAUAUAAAGUUUAUCUCCAUCCGAGUUCAUAUGAAUUAGUUCAACCGGCGAUAAGGCUGCUACAGUGUAGCUUCCGCCGUUUCAAAUGGCGGUAUAGGUUUAGAUUAGCAAUUUUUGUAACCCAUAUAUUUUUGCAAAAUACUAAAAUAAAAAAUAUAAAAAUAAAAAAAAUCUAGUUUUAAUCAGCAAUGACUAAAUGUUAGCCCGGUUAUGCCCCAUCUUAGGUCUAAUCAUGGACCAAUAAAACAUGUGCUAGAAUUCAUGGCCACCGGAUGCGUGUUCGACCAUGUAAUCGUAUGCUAUACCUCACAGGAGGUUGAAAAUGGCCUGAAGGGGUACAGUGGAUGAAAACGUCGGGGACGCUCGGAACACAAGAAAAUGACCACCAGAUACAUGUUUGGCCAUUGUAACUGUGCUCUAUAGUUGAUAGGUUGAAAGCGGCUCGAAGAGGCAUCAGGGAUGGAAACAUGGGGGAUGGUUGGAACACUUGAAAAUGGCACUGGAUAAGUGUGCUUAUUCCUUACAAAAUGCUGAAAAUGGCUCAGAAGGGUCAUCGAGGAUGGAAACUAGGUGGUCAAUAAGUGAAAAUGGGCAGCGGACAUGUUCAGUCAUGUAACCGUGUGCUAUAGUCCACUAGAGGUCGGAAAGCUGCCCUAGGGGCUCUAGAGACGAAAACGUGAGGAAUAGCUGAAAGGUUACGUGUUUGGUCAUGACAGCCCUAUUAGGAAGCGAUAGAAGUGGAAAGAUAGCUGGUUUCAGAUUGGCAACCCAUCUUUUGCUUCCCCCUUACUUCCAUACGUAAUCCAUGGGCAUCGAAUUUAAAAGUAUACAAAUCACUUUUAGAUGUAAUUGAGGGUAAAGAGGGGAGGUUUCGUGAGACUCUACAAUGUUCAAAUCGUUCGUUCGUUAGGAUGCCUCAGCUACAUACAUCAUUGCACUUCCAGUUGACACCAAUUUAAAUGGUUCGUCUAGCCGCUACAAGGUAUCAUCAGAUAUAGAAGAAUUAGAGACUGGGGGUAAUAGCAAAAAAGGAAUAUAACUCGUCCGAGAAAGUGGGUGCAGGGGCAGUGGGGUAAGGUAAUUGAAGUAACUAGCCAGUUUCUUCCCGAAACUUCCCAAGAAAAAUCCCGAAUUGGAUCCAAAAUUGACGGAUUAAUCAACCAAAAUAACCGUGAGCAGCCACAAUGUUAUAAGUCCCUUCUUCUUGACCAAAUUUGUAACCCUUAUUAGCAGACUCAUUUUCAGUGGUUUCUUUCCCUGAUCAAACUAGAGGUUACCAAGGAACCGUGUGCUCUAGCCCACAGGUGGCCGAAAACGGCGAAGAAGGGCUUCGGGGAUGGAAACAACGUGGAUGGUCAGAACACGUGAGAAUGACCACGGGAUGCAUGUUUGGCCCUGUAACAGUGUGCUAUAGGAAGCCGGAAAUGGCCAGGAGGGUCACCAGGGAUGAAGAUGCAGGGAUGGAUGGAACACGCGAAAAUGGCCACCAGUGAUUAGUGGCAGGUCUACAGAGAUAUCUCAUCAAAUCGGUGAUUUAUAUCCGAUUUAAACGAGGAUAAAAAUGAGUGUAUUUUCCACCCAUCAUGUUGACUUUUCGCAGCUAUACUGCCUUUAGUGUGUUGUAUUGUUCCCAUGACACCAAGUCUCCAAGGCCCGAGAAAAUAAGGAAAGUGAUAGCAGCCUAGAAAUCGACCAAGUUUCUUUCCCCCUUUGGCAUUCCUACUAGGAUUCGGAAUACUCUUUCGCAUGACAAUCAUAAUUAUCUCCCAUAAUCCAAAACUCACAAAAACAUCAAAAAUCCGCCGAGAAUAAAUUAAGUAAAAAACAGGCACACAUAGAUAAUAAUAAUAAUAAUAAUAAUCAUGUUUCUAUAAAAUUGCUAAGGCCAGAGAUAAUACAUAAAAAUAUUAGACUGCUCAUGACACAUAUCACGGUGGACAAUGUCUGUGUCCUUAUUACAAGCAGCGAGAGGAAUUAAACAUGCUUGUCACCACACACACGAGCGCACAGAUGCACGACACACAUAUAGUUGAGACCAACAGAUGGACCUCGACUACAGGUCGCCCCAUAUGGUGAACAAUUUAUUGGAGAUAAACAUGAACAUAACUUGGCCAUAGCUUGAAGCAUAGCAACAUAUGCCUAUGAAUGGCAUUCAUGCUGGUAGCAAUGCAAUCAUAUCGUUUUAGGCCUGUCCAGCUUCUUCCAUCUUAGCAAGCACUGCCAUUUCUUCCAUCUUAGCAGCAACUGUCAAAUUGAGAUAUGGAAAUCCCAUUAGCGCAUGAGUUAAUUUUGCAGUGGAAAUAGAGUACAAGAUGUCUUCAUGAUGUAAGUAAUAUGCCUGAAGUUGUGAGAUGGGAAGUGAAGUCAACAAAUUACAUUAACGGAAAUGCAUGGAAGGCCACACAUACGUAUUAGUCCACGAUAUGCUACAAAGCUUGUAUGUACAUAUAACAAAUUAAAUGCAUUGAAUAGAGUGAGUUUACUGAAUUUACCAGAAUCGGACAGAACACAUGGGAAACAGCAAGUGUUCUUGCAGAGUGAGUCGGAGCCACCUGCAGUAAUACAAGCAAAACAACAUGCUUUUGCCCGGGCGGAUACGCAGCAGCUGCACUGUGCCGCGGUGGCCGGGUUAACAUUGAGGCUCAAGAUGACCAGGCACAUGAUCACCAUCAAAGCGGUAGUCCUCUUUCCCUCCAUUGCCUCCUCUUUCUGCUACCUUCCUUGGUUACCUAGCUAAGUUUAUUGGUUUUGUGUUGAGAGGUGAUUCUUGAAUGGACGUUGCCGGCUGCAAUUUAUAGGCAGCUGCGCUAUGUGAUGAUAUGGACAAGGUGCAAAUGGGUGGUCCAAUGGCAAGGAAAGGGGGUAUUCUGCUUGACAUUGGCAUCAGACAAAGCCCAAUGGCAACUGCUGACACGCGAUUAAAAUCAGAUCCGCAUCUUAUCCAGCCAUUCACUAAUAAUUAAAGUAAACCCACGCGGUCCGCGAGAUGCAGCGUCCAUGCAUAGCACUUCCCGCCAAACAAUAGGAAAAAUUAGAAUUCAGAGAUAGCAGCUGCUUGCAUGAAACACGGUUGCACAGAAAUCAGUGGUGCUUGGACGGUAAGUAGUGUGGUGUACAAGCUUAAAGCGGCAGUGAGUCAGGUUAGUGUAACAAGCAGUACAUCAGCUGGAAGAUUGAUAUGUCUAUUGCCCACGCAGCAUAGCAUUUUAUUAUGAUACAUUGAGUUAUGUCAUAUUGUUACUUUAAGUUAUUUUUUAAGUAUUAGUUGUAGACAAUUUAGUUGCAAAUUUAAGCGGUUAUUUUAAAUUAUUUUUUAUAAUGGCAUAAGUGGGUAAUUUAGAUGAAGAUUAGGGGGUUACUUUAGCUUAUUUUAUAUAAUAGCAGAGGUGGGUAAUUUAGAUAUAAAUUUAGGGUUACUUUAGGCUAUUUUCUUAAUGGCAUAGGUGGGUAAUUUUUUUAGAAAUUAUAAUAGAUCUAAUGGCUACGAUGUUUGAGUCUACUCGUUGAUGGCAAGAUAUUUUGCUUGUUUGUGGAAAUUUUAAAUAUGUCUCUUUUUUGUAGAGUGUCCACCUAGGAUCCUAGGUGGCUUCGCUUGGAGGCUUCAAAAGGAGCUCCAAAAUUAGUAAUAGUAUGAUUUUCUCAAAAGAGACUUAAUUCUACCACUGUAACUUGAUUGGCCACCCUGGCCUCUACCUUUUCCCUCCAUUUGACUAUUUGAGUUGGCUGUGAACGAUUCUCGGCGCUAGCAACGUUACGUGUGAUCCAAAUGCCAGCACUCAUGUGCGCCACCUGUAUUCUAUGGGAAUGCCAUGAUGCAUGUGCAGUAACAGCGCGCACAUCUUGCAGGAUUCGCGCCUCGUUUUCACUAUUGUGUCAUCUUAGCAAUUAAAAGCGAAGUGUGCUUUGGGGUGGCAAUUGGGAUAUAGACAUUAUUCUCAAAAAGAAUCUUGAAGGCUUACAUUCACCCCCUCCGGUCGCCGGUUCCGAUCCUUCACCUAUAAAUUAGGAGUAGUAGUAGGUAGUAAGUGGCAGGUUAGGUAAGUACCCGUUGAUGAAUGUUGGCUUGGCGUGAUCGGCUCUGCUGGUUCCACGAAGAUGCCAAUAUACAGCAAGGACCUAAGUCCAAGGGGAAAAACAACCAACAAGUAGGUUUGUUGCCGACCGCUAGCUAAUCAACAGUGAUGUACGGGUGGAUUCGUGCGUAAAUAUUUUUUCAAUCAUGCCAUCAGGCCGCUGAUAAAAUGGGCUUAUGUUUGGCUAACCUUUAAAACAUUCUUAGAGCUGUUGGCCAUUGUGAUAACUUUGCACGUGCAUCAUUAACAUGCCAACAUACAACAAGGACAUAAGACCAAAGGAAAGAACAACCAACAAGUGCCUUUGCUGAUCGGUCAGGUCUCAGAGUUUGAGAAACUGGAUCUGACGGAUGUGAAAUUAAUCCAUGCGUGGCCUCAUGCAAAUUUGUUCACAGGUUUGAACAGCAUGUAAUCUUUUUCAGGCAUCUAUAUGGAGCGUGGGUGUGUUAUGUUAUCUUCUACUACACAUAUAACAUCAAAUUCAUUCAGUUUGGCCGAGAGCCCAAAAUGCAACGAAUAUGCCAUCCAACGUGAAAAAAAAGAGAUGAGGAACAGUAUACUCUAUCUUCGAAAUUAGUCAACGAGAUGCAGCUUCAAAAGAGAUAAGAGCAGACAAGAGGCACCAUGGGAUGCUGCAAAAUUUGGGAUCACGUGUGCAGAUCCCUAAUUAGGAAAAAAGAAUAAUUGAGCUAGCAACAAUAGUAGGACAUCUCCAUGCUCACCUAGUAUAGUAGCCACUUCUAGUGCGCGUGGAACACGACUGCCGGCCCAGUUGGCGCUAAGACAUCGUACGUGCAUUAAGUCUGAGGUGCUAGGACAGCUUCCUCUUGCUUCCCCACCAAAUCAUGAGCAACGAUCUCUUUCUUUCUAACUCAUGCUUGACUGUGACGGUGCUAUUAUAUAUUAUUGCAUGAUCAUCAAGAUAAGAUCGUAUAGUGACUGAGUGAGACAUCUAUGUACUAACUUGCAUUUAAGCCUCGAACUGUGUGUCAUUACGUGAGCUGCCUCCUGUCCUCGCCUCUGAAUUAUUGAACCGUUCCCAACAGCUAGUGUUGGUCUCAAAGGAAUUUGACACCAAACAGAUUGAUAAAGAAAAGAGAAUAAUACCUGGAAUUGGAAAAAGUUGAUCUCUCUAUACAAUGAGGUAGGGCUCCCCUUUUAUAGUGACCCAUCAGCCACUUUACAUUCCGAAAAUGUCCUUCCUCAACCACUACAUUCUUAGGAUAUGCCAUACAUAAAUGUCAUUUGAGGUGACGCGUACAAAUUGAACUCUUCCACGUGGUCACGUUUCUCACGCCUCUUGUUUUCCAACCUCGAGACUUCAUCUUCAUGCCAAGUUGAUCAUCUAGCCUCGAGGCUCCAUCUACGAUCCGGAAUGAACGUACAGCCUCGAGGCUCCUGCUUCGUUAAGCUUUGUUGAGAACUCAUAACCUCACAUAGUUCUCCUCCGAGUAUUGUAUCUGACUAAAGAGUAAAAAGGUAAAAGCUCGGUGCCCGGAACCGACUGAGAACACUCGAGGCUUAUAGCUCAGUUGGAGUUUAGCUAUUACCGUUGCCAGUCACCAGCCUCGAGCCCCUCCAGAAACAAGGUGAUGCGAGAGUACGAGUUUUACUAUUAGAGGUGUCCCCAUAGAACGUGCGAGGUUAAUGAGUUCAGUUUCUUUUACUGCCGACGCAUAACAUGCGAGGAUCAACGAAUAUGAGGAAUGGGACAUAGAACGUGCGAGGUUAAUGAGUUCAGUUUCUUUUACUGCCGACGCAUAACAUGCGAGGAUCAACGAAUAUGAGGAACACUAUAUGCCAUCCAACGGGAAAAAAAAAGAUGAGGAACAGUAUACUCUAUCUUCGAAAUUAGUUAUAAAGAUUCAGCUUCAAAAGAGAUAACGAGGUGUCCAAGACUCGAGGAGCCAGUCAAGAGCAGACAAGAGGCACAUGAGUGCAUGCAUCCACACCUUGGGAUGCUGCAAACUUUUAUGAGGCUGCAAGCUGCAUACAUAAGUUUAUUUCACCUUUGUUCACAAUACUCUUCACACACCAUUCACACACGUCUCAGGGAGCUCUGCAGCAAUGGUGGAGAUCUUAGCUAGACUGCUCACUUCCCUUGUUGUCGCUAUUGCUAAAAACACAAGCUCACCUCUGCUAUUGCGAAGCAGGCCAAUUUGCUGUGGAACUUUGGCGACGACCUGAAGGACAUGAAGUCGGUGCUGGAGUCCAUCUCAGCAGCGCUCCAGGACGCUGACACUGCUAGAAAAACGACCUUUCAUCCUCAACAAAAGUCCCGGUAGCUUUUUUACCUGGAACUAAAGAGGUUUUAGUGCUGCGCAAACACCUUUAGUCCGGGUUGCUGUUACCAACCAGGAGUAAAGGGUACGAUGGCACCAACCGGGACUAAAGCACCCCCCACGAGUUACUAUAAAGGAUUGCAUCCUCCACUUAGUCAGAUUUACUGUGUAGGUGAGAUGGUAAGGAAGCUAUGCGCGAGGCUUGAGAUCAUCGGUUCGAAUCCCAUGCACCGCGCGCGCACGCGCAUAGUUUGAGUGAAAAAUCAUGUCACUUGUGAUCGGCCAAGGAGAAGUGGGUGCAGAUGUGGCUUAAGCGGCUGAGGCACGCCGCCAUAGACAUCUCGGAUUUGCUACAUACAUCAUUGCACUUCCAAUUGACACCAAUUUAAAUGGUUCGUCUAGCCGCUACAAGGUAUCAUCAGAUAUAGAAGAAUUAGAGACUGGGGGUAAUAGCAAAAAAGGAAUAUAACUCGUCCGAGAAAUUGGGUGCAGGGGCGUGGGGUAAGGUAAUUGAAGUAACUAGCCAGUUUCUUCCCGAAACUUCCCAAGAAAAAUCCCGAAUUGGAUCCAAAAUUGACGGAUUAAUCAACCAAAAUAACCGUGAGCAGCCACAAUGUUAUAAGUCCCUUCUUCUUGACCAAAUUUGUAACCCUUAUUAGCAUACUCAUUUUCAGUGGUUUCCGUGAUCAAACUAGAGGUUACCAAGGAACCGUGUGCUCUAGCCCACAGGUGGCCGAAAACGGCCAAGAAGGGCUUCGGGGAUGGAAACAACGUGGAUGGUCAGAACACGUGAGAAUGACCACGGGAUGCAUGUUUGGCCCUGUAACAGUGUGCUAUAGAAAGCCGGAAAUGGCCAGGAGGGUCACCAGGGAUGAAGAUGCAGGGAUGGAUGGAACACGCGAAAAUGGCCACCAGUGAUUAGUGGCAGGUCUAGAGAGAUAUCUCAUCAAAUCGGUGAGUUAUAUCCGAUUUAAACGAGGAUAAAAAUGAGUGUAUUUUCCACCCAUCAUGUUGACUUUUCGCAGCUAUACUGCCUUUAGUGUGUUGUAUUGUUCCCAUGACACCAAGUCUCCAAGGCCCGAGAAAAUAAGGAAAGUGAUAGCAGCCCAGAAAUCGACCAAGUUUCUUUCCCCCUUUGGCAUUCCUACUAGGAUUCGGAAUACUCUUUCGCAUGACAAUCAUAAUUAUCUCCCAUAAUCCAAAACUCACAAAAACAUCAAAAAUCCGCCUAGAAUAAAUUAACUAAAAAACAUGCACACACAGAUAAUAAUAAUAAUAAUAAUAAUAAUAAUAAUAAUAAUAAUAAUAAUAAUAAUGUUUCUAUAAAAUUGCGAAGGCCAGAGACAAUACAUAAAAAUAUUAGACUGCUCAUGACACAUAUCACGGUGGACAGUGUCUACGUCCUUAUUACAAGCAGCGAGAGGAAUUAAACAUGCUUGUCACCACACACACGCGCGCGCACAGAUGCACGACACACAUAUGGUUGAGACCAACAAAUGGACCUCGACUAGAGGUCGCCCCAUAUGGUGAACAAUUUAUUGGAGAUAAACAUGAACAUAACUUGGCCAUAGCUUGAAGCAUAGCAACAUAUGCCUAUGAAUGGCAUUCAUGCUGGUAGCAAUGCAAUCAUAUCGUUUUAGGCUUGUCCAGCUUCUUCCAUCUUAGCAAGCACUGCCAUUUCUUCCAUCUUAGCAGCAACUGUCAUAUUGAGAUAUGGAAAUCCCAUUAGCGUAGGAGCUAAUUUUGCAGUGGAAAUAGAGUACAAGAUGUCUUCAUGAUGUAAGUAAUAUGCCUGAAGUUGUUAGAUGGGAAGUGAAGUCAACAAAUUACAUUAACGGAAAUGUAUGGAAGGCCACACAUACGUAUUAGUCCACGAUAUGCUACAAAGCUUGUAUGUACAUAUAACAAAUUAAAUGCAUUGAAUAGAGUGAGUUUACUGAAUUUACCAGAAUCGGACAGAACACAUGGGAAACAGCAAGUGUUCUUGCAGAGUGAGUCGGAGCCACCUGCAGUAAUACAAGCAAAACAACAUGCUUUUGCCCGGGCGGAUACGCAGCAGCUGCACUGUGCCGCGGUGGCCGGGUUAACAUUGAGGCUCAAGAUGACCAGGCACACGAUCACCAUCAAAGCGGUAGUCCUCUUUCCCUCCAUUGCCUCCUCUUUCUGCUACCUUCCUUGGUUACCUAGCUAAGUUUAUUGGUUUUGUGUUGAGAGGUGAUUCUUGAAUGGACGUUGCCGGCUGCAAUUUAUAGGCAGCUGCGCUAUGUGAUGAUAUGGACAAGGUGCAAAUGGGUGGUCCAAUGGCAAGGAAAGGGGGUAUUCUGCUUGACAUUGGCAUCAGACAAAGCCCAAUGGCAACUGCUGACACGCGAUUAAAAUCAGAUCCGCAUCUUAUCCAGCCAUUCACUAAUAAUUAAAGUAAACCCACGCGGUCCGCGAGAUGCAGCGUCCAUGCAUAGCACUUCCCGCCAAACAAUAGGAAAAAUUAGAAUUCAGAGAUAGCAGCUGCUUGCAUGAAACACGGUUGCACAGAAAUCAGUGGUGCUUGGACGGUAAGUAGUGUGGUGUACAAGCUUAAAGCGGCAGUGAGUCAGGUUGGUGUAACAAGCAGUACAUCAGCUGGAAGAUUGAUAUGUCUAUUGCCCACGCAGCAUAGCAUUUUAUUAUGAUACAUUGAGUUAUGUCAUAUUGUUACUUUAAGUUAUUUUUUAAGUAUUAGUUGUAGACAAUUUAGUUGCAAAUUUAAGCGGUUAUUUUAAAUUAUUUUUUAUAAUGGCAUAAGUGGGUAAUUUAGAUGAAGAUUAGGGGGUUACUUUAGCUUAUUUUAUAUAAUAGCAGAGGUGGGUAAUUUAGAUAUAAAUUUAGGGUUACUUUAGGCUAUUUUCUUAAUGGCAUAGGUGGGUAAUUUUUUUAGAAAUUAUAAUAGAUCCAAUGGCUACGAUGUUUGAGUCUACUCGUUGAUGGCAAGAUAUUUUGCUUGUUUGUGGAAAUUUUAAAUAUGUCUCUUUUUUGUAGAGUGUCCACCUAGGAUCCUAGGUGGCUUCGCUUGGAGGCUUCAAAAGGAGCUCCAAAAUUAGUAAUAGUAUGAUUUUCUCAAAAGAGACUUAAUUCUACCACUGUAACUUGAUUGGCCACCCCGGCCUCUACCUUUUCCCUCCAUUUGACUAUUUGAGUUGGCUGUGAACGAUUCUCGGCGCUAGCAACGUUACGUGUGAUCCAAAUGCCAGCACUCAUGUGCGCCACCUGUAUUCUAUGGGAAUGCCAUGAUGCAUGUGCAGUAACAGCGCGCACAUCUUGCAGGAUUCGCGCCUCGUUUUCACUAUUGUGUCAUCUUAGCAAUUAGGAGCGAAGUGUGCUUUGGGGUGGCAAUUGGGAUAUAGACAUUAUUCUCGAAAAGAAUCUUGAAGGCUUACAUUCACCCCCUCCGGUCGCCGGUUCCGAUCCUUCACCUAUAAAUUAGGAGUAGUAGUAGGUAGUAAGUGGCAGGUUAGGUAAGUACCCGUUGAUGAAUGUUGGCUUGGCGUGAUCGGCUCUGCUGGUUCCACGAAGAUGCCAAUAUACAGCAAGGACCUAAGUCCAAGGGGAAAAACAACCAACAAGUAGGUUUGUUGCCGACCGCUAGCUAAUCAACAGUGAUGUACGGGUGGAUUCGUGCGUAAAUAUUUUUUCAAUCAUGCCAUCAGGCCGCUGAUAAAAUGGGCUUAUGUUUGGCUAACCUUUAAAACAUUCUUAGAGCUGUUGGCCAUUGUGAUAACUUUGCACGUGCAUCAUUAACAUGCCAACAUACAACAAGGACAUAAGACCAAAGGAAAGAACAACCAACAAGUGCCUUUGCUGAUCGGUCAGGUCUCAGAGUUUGAGAAACUGGAUCUGACGGAUGUGAAAUUAAUCCAUGCGUGGCCUCAUGCAAAUUUGUUCACAGGUUUGAACAGCAUGUAAUCUUUUUCAGGCAUCUAUAUGGAGCGUGGGUGUGUUAUGUUAUCUUCUACUACACAUAUAACAUCAAAUUCAUUCAGUUUGGCCGAGAGCCCAAAAUGCAACGAAUAUGCCAUCCAACGUGAAAAAAAAGAGAUGAGGAACAGUAUACUCUAUCUUCGAAAUUAGUCAACGAGAUGCAGCUUCAAAAGAGAUAAGAGCAGACAAGAGGCACCAUGGGAUGCUGCAAAAUUUGGGAUCACGUGUGCAGAUCCCUAAUUAGGAAAAAAGAAUAAUUGAGCUAGCAACAAUAGUAGGACAUCUCCAUGCUCACCUAGUAUAGUAGCCACUUCUAGUGCGCGUGGAACACGACUGCCGGCCCAGUUGGCGCUAAGACAUCGUACGUGCAUUAAGUCUGAGGUGCUAGGACAGCUUCCUCUUGCUUCCCCACCAAAUCAUGAGCAACGAUCUCUUUCUUUCUAACUCAUGCUUGACUGUGACGGUGCUAUUAUAUAUUAUUGCAUGAUCAUCAAGAUAAGAUCGUAUAGUGACUGAGUGAGACAUCUAUGUACUAACUUGCAUUUAAGCCUCGAACUGUGUGUCAUUACGUGAGCUGCCUCCUGUCCUCGCCUCUGAAUUAUUGAACCGUUCCCAACAGCUAGUGUUGGUCUCAAAGGAAUUUGACACCAAACAGAUUGAUAAAGAAAAGAGAAUAAUACCUGGAAUUGGAAAAAGUUGAUCUCUCUAUACAAUGAGGUAGGGCUCCCCUUUUAUAGUGACCCAUCAGCCACUUUACAUUCCGAAAAUGUCCUUCCUCAACCACUACAUUCUUAGGAUAUGCCAUACAUAAAUGUCAUUUGAGGUGACGCGUACAAAUUGAACUCUUCCACGUGGUCACGUUUCUCACGCCUCUUGUUUUCCAACCUCGAGACUUCAUCUUCAUGCCAAGUUGAUCAUCUAGCCUCGAGGCUCCAUCUACGAUCCGGAAUGAACGUACAGCCUCGAGGCUCCUGCUUCGUUAAGCUUUGUUGAGAACUCAUAACCUCACAUAGUUCUCCUCCGAGUAUUGUAUCUGACUAAAGAGUAAAAAGGUAAAAGCUCGGUGCCCGGAACCGACUGAGAACACUCGAGGCUUAUAGCUCAGUUGGAGUUUAGCUAUUACCGUUGCCAGUCACCAGCCUCGAGCCCCUCCAGAAACAAGGUGAUGCGAGAGUACGAGUUUUACUAUUAGAGGUGUCCCCAUAGAACGUGCGAGGUUAAUGAGUUCAGUUUCUUUUACUGCCGACGCAUAACAUGCGAGGAUCAACGAAUAUGAGGAACACUAUAUGCCAUCCAACGGGAAAAAAAAGAUGAGGAACAGUAUACUCUAUCUUCGAAAUUAGUUAUAAAGAUUCAGCUUCAAAAGAGAUAACGAGGCGUCCAAGACUCGAGGAGCCAGUCAAGAGCAGACAAGAGGCACAUGAGUGCAUGCAUCCACACCUUGGGAUGCUGCAAACUUUUAUGAGGCUGCAAGCUGCAUACAUAAGUUUAUUUCACCUUUGUUCACAAUACUCUUCACACACCAUUCACACACGUCUCAGGGAGCUCUGCAGCAAUGGUGGAGAUCUUAGCUAGACUGCUCACUUCCCUUGUUGUCGCAAUUGCUAAAAACACAAGCUCACCUCUGCUAUUGCGAAGCAGGCCAAUUUGCUGUGGAACUUUGGCGACGACCUGAAGGACAUGAAGUCGAUGCUGGAGUCCAUCUCAGCAGCGCUCCAGGACGCUGACACUGCUAGAAAAACGACCUUUCAUCCUCAACAAAAGUCCCGGUAGCUUUUUUACCUGGAACUAAAGAGGUUUUAGUGCUGCGCAAACACCUUUAGUCCGGGUUGCUGUUACCAACCAAGAGUAAAGGGUACGAUGGCACCAACCGGGACUAAAGCACCCCCCACGAGUUACUAUAAAGGAUUGCAUCCUCCACUUAGUCAGAUUUACUGUGUAGGUGAGAUGGUAAGGAAGCUAUGCGCGAGGCUUGAGAUCAUCGGUUCGAAUCCCACGCACCGCGCGCGCACGCGCAUAGUUUGAGUGAAAAAUCAUGUCACUUGUGAUCGGCCAAGGAGAAGUGGGUGCAGAUGUGGCUUAAGCGGCUGAGGCACGCCGCCAUAGACAUCUCGGAUUUGCUCGAAGACUACCAAGACACUAGCGAACCCUUAACAGCAAAGGUGAGUACUUAUGCGUGUCAACAUCUAUGUUGUCCAUGCUUCCAAUGCAAUAAGAAGAAGGACUACUCUUCCUAGCGGACUCUUCACAACCACUCGUAAAGCUAUGUGUUUCUCAAUUCAAUUUCGUAGAAGGCAAUGGAUCCAAUCAACCGACUAAAUCAUUCGUCCUUGCCAAUGAUGUGCUUCAGGUUUUCUAUAUGAAGGACAUGUGACUACUAGAAAAACGAUCUUUCAUCCCUAGCCUUAGUACCGGUUGCAUUUGGAACCGGUACUAAUGUUUACAUUAGUACCGGUUCCAAAGGAUACUAUCCGGAGCGCACCUCGAUGACCCCUUUAGUACCGGUUGGGGGCAACAACCGGUACUAAAGGGUGAGCAUUAGUACCGGUUGUUACCUUAAUCCGGUACUAAAGGGCUACCCACCCUCUAUUACCGGUUGGUGGCAUCAACCGGUACUAAAAGGGAUACCCUCUAGCACCGGUUGCUGCCACAACCCGGUACUAGUGCGGCGCCAUGCAGAAUAGAAGGUAGAUCGAUUGUACAUGGAGGGGGAACAAAGGGAGAAAGGCAAAUCAUCAGCUUAUUAUCACAUGGUAGACUAGUCUUUAAAACAUGUUUAGGGCAGAGCACAUUACGUUUAUCUUGUUUUGCACAACAACAAAUGUGACCUUUAGAAGAUAGCCCUCCUCUAAUUAAACUAGUGCACUAUUACAGGAUGGUAUCGCACGCUUCCUUUUUCCCUAUGAAAAUGAAGUUUUUAAUGAUCUGAUAGCAGCUGGCAAAACAAAUGAUUGCAAAGAUGUUUGCAGAUGUUUGCAGAUGAUAAUGCCACAGUCGACGGAGAGAGCAUCUGGGUCUAACCAUAAUAACACAAGUCUUUCCUUUAGAUAACAUGCCAUCAGAUUCCUUGCAAGAGUUUGUAUGUUCGACCAACAGGAAGUUGACGAAAGAGUGGGACAAAAAUGUGACUCGAUCAUGUCAUUGUGGGCAAAGGUCCUAGUGGCUCAUGGAAUAGAUGAUAUCACUUGAAGUACAUAGGACAGAGAGGCCAUAGUCGGCACAAGGAGAAGCAUGACCAGAAACUUGAAAGAGGUAAGCUUCAAAGCUAGGAGGAAUGUUAUUCUUGCUAGUUCAAUGGUGUCUUCUUAUAGAUCAGUUCAUAGAUCUUAUAUAUUUGGCCGUGACGAUAAUAAAUAUUUAAUAUGAACUCAGAUAUAGAUAAAAUUUAUAUCAAAAUUGUUGAUCUCAACGAGAUUUACAACUUUGUAGUUCAAAUUAUUUUCAUUUGGAGCCAUCUUGGUGCUCAAAUAAUCGAAACAUUUUUUAGAUCUAAAAUUUAAUUUUAGAUCUAAAACUUGUGUCGAUUAUUUGAGCACCAAGAUAAUACCAAAUGAAAAAUGUUUGAACUACAAAGUUGUAGAUCUCGUCGAGAUCUACAAUUUUCAUAUAAAGUUUAUCUCCAUCCGAGUUCAUAUGAAUUAGUUCAACCGGCGGUAAUGCUGCUACAGUGUAGCUUCUGCCGUUUCAAACGACGGUAUAGGUUUAGAUUACCAAUUUUUUUUAACCCAUAUAUUUUUGCAAAAUACUAAAAUAAAAAAUAUAUAAAAAAAUUCUAGUUUUAAUCAGCAAUGACUAAAUGUUAGCCCGGUUAUGCCCCAUGUUAGGUCUAGUCAUGGACCAAUAAAACAUGUGCUAGACUUCAUGGCCACCGGAUGCGUGUUCAACCAUGUAAUCGUAUGCUAUACCUCACAGGAGGUUGAAAAUGGCCCGAAGGGGUACAGUGGAUGAAAACGUCGGGGACACUCGGAACACAAGAAAAUGACCACCAGAUACGUGUUUGGCCAUUGUAACUGUGCGCUAUAGUUGAUAGGUUGAAAGCGGCUCGAAGAGGCAUCAGGGAUGGAAACAUGGGGGAUGGUCGGAACACUUGAAAAUGGCACUGGAUAAGUGUGCUUAUUCCUUACAAAACGCUGAAAAUGGCUCGGAAGGGUCAUCGAGGAUGGAAACUAGGUGGUCAAUAAGUGAAAAUGGGCAGCGGACAUGUUCGGUCAUGUAACCGUGUGCUAUAGUCCACUAGAGGUCGGAAAGCUGCCCUAGGGGCUCUAGAGACGAAAACGUGAGGAACAGCUAAAAGGUUACGUGUUUGGUCAUGACAGCCCUAUUAGGAAGCGAUAGAAGUGGAAAGAUAGCUGGUUUCAGAUUGGCAACCCAUCUUUUGCUUCCCCCUUACUUCCAUCCGUAAUCCAUGGGCAUCGAAUUUAAAAGUAUACAAAUCACUUUUAGAUGUAAUUGAGGGUAAAGAGGGGAGGUUUCGUGAGACUCUACAAUGUUCAAAUCGUUCAUUCGUUAGGAUGCCUCAGCUACAUACAUCAUUGCACUUCCAAUUGACACCAAUUUAAAUGGUUCGUCUAGCCGCUACAAGGUAUCAUCAGAUAUAGAAGAAUUAGAGACUGGGGGUAAUAGCAAAAAAGGAAUAUAACUCGUCCGAGAAAUUGGGUGCAGGGGCGUGGGGUAAGGUAAUUGAAGUAACUAGCCAGUUUCUUCCCGAAACUUCCCAAGAAAAAUCCCGAAUUGGAUCCAAAAUUGACGGAUUAAUCAACCAAAAUAACCGUGAGCAGCCACAAUGUUAUAAGUCCCUUCUUCUUGACCAAAUUUGUAACCCUUAUUAGCAUACUCAUUUUCAGUGGUUUCCGUGAUCAAACUAGAGGUUACCAAGGAACCGUGUGCUCUAGCCCACAGGUGGCCGAAAACGGCCAAGAAGGGCUUCGGGGAUGGAAACAACGUGGAUGGUCAGAACACGUGAGAAUGACCACGGGAUGCAUGUUUGGCCCUGUAACAGUGUGCUAUAGAAAGCCGGAAAUGGCCAGGAGGGUCACCAGGGAUGAAGAUGCAGGGAUGGAUGGAACACGCGAAAAUGGCCACCAGUCAUUAGUGGCAGGUCUAGAGAGAUAUCUCAUCAAAUCGGUGAGUUAUAUCCGAUUUAAACGAGGAUAAAAAUGAGUGUAUUUUCCACCCAUCAUGUUGACUUUUCGCAGCUAUACUGCCUUUAGUGUGUUGUAUUGUUCCCAUGACACCAAGUCUCCAAGGCCCGAGAAAAUAAGGAAAGUGAUAGCAGCCCAGAAAUCGACCAAGUUUCUUUCCCCCUUUGGCAUUCCUACUAGGAUUCGGAAUACUCUUUCGCAUGACAAUCAUAAUUAUCUCCCAUAAUCCAAAACUCACAAAAACAUCAAAAAUCCGCCGAGAAUAAAUUAACUAAAAAACAUGCACACACAGAUAAUAAUAAUAAUAAUAAUAAUAAUAAUAAUAAUAAUAAUAAUAAUAAUAAUAAUAAUAAUAAUCAUGUUUCUAUAAAAUUGCUAAGGCCAGAGACAAUACAUAAAAAUAUUAGACUGCUCAUGACACAUAUCACGGUGGACAGUGUCUGUGUCCUUAUUACAAGCAGCGAGAGGAAUUAAACAUGCUUGUCACCACACAUGCGCGCGCACAGAUGCACGACACACAUAUGGUUGAGACCAACAGAUGGACCUCGACUAGAGGUCGCCCCAUAUGGUGAACAAUUUAUUGGAGAUAAACAUGAACAUAACUUGGCCAUAGCUUGAAGCAUAGCAACAUAUGCCUAUGAAUGGCAUUCAUGUUGGUAGCAAUGCAAUCAUAUCGUUUUAGGCUUGUCCAGGUUCUUCCAUCUUAGCAAGCACUGCCAUUUCUUCCAUCUUAGCAGCAACUGUCAAAUUGAGAUAUGGAAAUCCCAUUAGCGCAUGAAUUAAUUUUGCAGUGGAAAUAGAGUACAAGAUAUCUUCAUGAUGUAAGUAAUAUGCCUGAAGUUGUGAGAUGGGAAGUGAAGUCAACAAAUUACAUUAACGGAAAUGCAUGGAAGGCCACACAUAUGUAUUAGUCCACGAUAUGCUACAAAGCUUGUAUGUACAUAUAACAAAUUAAAUGCAUUGAAUAGAGUGAGUUUACUGAAUUUACCAGAAUCGGACAGAACACAUGGGAAACAGCAAGUGUUCUUGCAGAGUGAGUCGGAGCCACCUGCAGUAAUACAAGCAAAACAACAUGCUUUUGCCCGGGCGGAUACGCAGCAGCUGCACUGUGCCGCGGUGGCCGGGUUAACAUUGAGGCUCAAGAUGACCAGGCACAUGAUCACCAUCAAAGGGGUAGUCCUCUUUCCCUCCAUUGCCUCCUCUUGCUGCUACCUUCCUUGGUUACCUAGCUAAGUUUAUUUGUUUUGUGUUGAGAGGUGAUUCUUUAGUGGACGUUGCCAGCUGCAAUUUAUAGGCUGUCUGAUGAUAUGGACAAGGUGCAAAUGGGUGGUCCAAUGGCAAGGAAAGGGGGUAUUCUGCUUGACAUUGGCAUCAGACAAAGCCCAAUGGCAACUGCUGACACGCGAUUAAAAUCAGAUCCACAUCUUAUCCAGCCAUUCACUAAUAAUUAAACUAAACCCACGCGGUCCGCGAGAUGCAGCGUCCAUUAGCACUUCCCGCCAAACAAUAGGCAAAAUUAGAAUUCAAAGAUAGUAGUGUGGGACAUUUAAUUCCUGCGCAAGCGCGGACAAUGGUGCCAGCAGCUGCUUGCAUGAAACACGGUUACAUAAUUUGAAAAUAAUACAUAAUUAAAAACUAAUACAUAAUUUGACACGGUGAACCUCGAGAACGUUUUGAAAAUGUACUCUCGUUAGGCGUUCACCUCCUUAACAAUAAUGUAGUGUGGAAGGUGUGCGUGAGGAUCGUUAUCUAUAUCGUGUGUUAGAAAAAAGAUUGCAUAUAUAGUGCCAUCAUUCAAUAUACUUAAUUGCGUCCAUGCCAUCGUUACAAGAUUUCUAACAUUUCCCAACACUUCUCUUACAAAUGCCCAGUGGCGAAAUAGGGAUAUCACGAGGCAGCGGUGGUACUACGUGGAGCGUGUAGUUAAGGUUUGUCUUUCUUCGGAUAGCACGUUAGCUGACCAUUGACAACAUGUGAUGAUUUUACUAACAUCAAAAGUAGGCAUGCCCCAUUUUUUAAUUGGUGCUUAUAGAGGCAUGGAGUGUGAGGUUUUGGUGGGUGAGCAUUGGUGUGCAACUCGUGUGCGUGAGCAUGUGUGCAUACGAUACUGUGUUUUGUUAGAAAAGAUGAUAAUGCCCGGAAACAAUCCUGAAUGGAAGGCGGGCCCUGACCACAGGAUAAUGCAUUACGGGGCGAUGUCUCAACUUGUCACCUGGGGCGCUUUUGCAGUUUCCCCGUACACACACUAAGAGCCUCCGACCCUUUUUCGUCAUACCUUCCCUUGUAGUCAUGCAUAUAUCCAUGAUGAUUUGAGUCUACUGAUUGACGGCUAGAUGUUUUGAUUGUUUGUGAAAAUUUUUAGUUUCUGGUUUUUAGAGUGAAGCCACCUAGGAUCCUAGGUGGCUUCACUAAAAGCUUCAAAAGAAGCAUCCAAAUUAGUAAUCGUAUGAUUUUGUGAAAAGAGACUUAAUUCUACCAUUAUAACUUGAUUGGCUGCCCCAGCCUCUACCUUUGCCUCCACUUGACUAUUUGAGUUGGCUGUGGACGGUUCACGGCGCUAGGAACAUUAUGUUUGAUCCAAAUGCCACCACUCAUGCACUACUACAGAACUCGGUAUUAGUUCCGGUUCGUAGACUGCAUAUCUCCCGAAAAUGCAACCGGGAUUAAUCCGUCGAGAUAAAAGGGGGGGUCUUUUAUCACGGGUCCCUCAACCGGGAUAUAAAACUCUCCUUUAAUCCCGUUUUGUAAAACCAACCGGGACUAACGAGGCUGCCACGCCAGGCGGUGGACAGACCCCUUUAGUCCCGGUUGGUGUUACAAACCGGGACUAAAGGUCUCCUCUUAGUCACGGUUUGUUUUACAAACCAGGACUAAAGUGUGUGCGUAGGGCGCCUGCAUGGCGCCUAUAAUUUUGUGCAUAUCUCACAUACCCCUUUAGUUAACCUUUAGUAGUUGAGAACUUUUUUUUAUAAUGAAAUCAAUCAAACUAGUAUUUAAACGAAUCAAAUAAUUAUUUAAAUGAAUCAAACAAGUAUUUACACAAAUACUAUACAAUUCUUAGCGUACUAUAUAUAUACACAAAUCUAAUUAGCGUACGUAUUACAUAUAUAUACAAACUAAAUCAAACUAUAUAUAUAUAUAUAUAUAUAUCUACGAUGAUCUUCCCGUUGAGGUGCUGGGAGCGUCUAAUUUUCGUCCAUCGUAAUGAAAGUCUCCUUUUGGAUUUACAACCUCGUCCACCAGGAAUCCAAUGAGACCUUCACAUAUUGCCGGUACUCUUUCCUUCUUCAAGAGCCCUAAUUGAAUAUUCCACAUCUGUAAUUUGGAUACAUAUAUGUGAAUUUUACACGAACAAUUGUAAAAAAUAAAUAACUAUUAAUAGUUUUAUUUUACAUACUUUAAAUUCAUGCUCCGUGGCCUUGCUGGUCUUGGGUCCCAAUAAAUUGUGCAUGUGCUCACAGACAUAGUAGCCACAUAGAUUAUCAUUCCCAGGUUCCCGUCUUAAGCACUGUUGCGGGGAAAAACAAUUAAGUUAUUAAAUAUUCAUGCUAUAGAAUGUACAAAAUGUGCAGCUUCAUACGUAUCGGGAAGUCUGUUCUCUAUGUAAGUUUUUCUUUGAAUUGACCUGAUCUGUCUGCCCUGAUGAAUUCUUUCCAUGCUCUGCGGAUUAAAAUAAUGAAUGAUAUAGUGUUAGGUGAAAAUUUAGGAAACAAAUUUUGUAUAGAGAUAGAGGUCCAGAAUUAUUACAUGUCUAGCGUGUGUUCAACGUCUUGGUAGUCCUUCGGAUCUCUCCUCAACGAAUCGAAGACAGUGACGUGACUUCGAUCAAUGUUAAUAAUAAUGAGGAUCCAGUGGGAGCUGCGUACGUAAAUGUUCAUAUAUAUUAGAGGUAACUAACAUUAAUCAGGUAAGGAAAAAGAAAACGAAUAUAGACGGUAUACACACACUUACUUGAAGUUGUAUGGAAGUAGUAUGUGAUCCUUUAAUUUUUGUCCGUCUAAAGAAUUUACUGCUAGCAACGUUUUGUCUGGAAAAUCUCGUAUCUGGGCUUGGUUCACUUUGGAUGGAUCCAUGAAGCCAAUAUGGAGGUACGCUUCAUGUCGGCACGUCCGAAUUAGCAUCCUACAUAAAAUGGAAGAUGAAGUUAAUUAGUACGGCGACGCAUGCAUAAAAAAAUGACAUGAGCUAAUAUUUACAUGUACAUAUAAACAGACACUUACAGAGUCCAGGCGCUCAUCAGAGAGACGUCUAGGGCACCAUGAUGGUACACUUCGUAUAUAUCCUUGAAUCGUAGCCACAGGACUGCCUCGCCUUCGCCGUGAAAAUCUAUCGGUUUUAUCUUAAGGCCUAACAUCUCCCUCUCGUCGGUAGACAACUUCAUGUACCAUUGAUGGAAUUCGUACAUCUUCGUUGAUAGCUUCUUUAGCGAAUCAGGGUUAACCAUAGGCUUGCCUAGCUCAAAGGUCCAUUUUGGUUCACUUGGUGGUGCAGUUGGCAGCUCGACUUUUUUCCUUUUUUUUCUUCUCAUCAACCUUUACUAUUGCCCGUUCAUAGUUCGAUAGUAGUGGUUGACUCUUCUUGUCUUGUUCUUGCGUCUUGAUGAAUUUAUAUAAUUCUCUUCGAUCUACUGGCGGUGGCUCCAUCUCCCUUGCUUUUCUUAAUUCCCUCUGUUCCCUCAACCACUCACUAGCUUGCACUUAGAUUUCGGUCUAGCGUUCCUCAUCAGUCAUUGCCUCCCAGCGUUCCUAGUGAACCACUUCUCCUAGUGUUGUUGACCCGUCACCUGCUGGGAAGUCGAGCUCUAGGCCUUCAAAUUGGCUAUCAGGGAUUUUCUCUACGCCAACACUGGCAUAGCCAGGUGGAAGCUCCAUGCCAUGGCAUGCAUGAUUUGGCAGGAUUGGCAAUGCACUCCCGUACGCCACCUAGAUAUAUAAAAGAAAUGAAUUUCUUAAACUUCAAAUUGCCAAAGCACUCCCGAGGCUCCGGUGCAUAAAUAUUAUGUAUAUAUACAUACCUUAAUGCUGAGGUUGCCGAUCGCUAUAUGCAGCUCACAUGUGGUGUGUUGCGUGAUGGCAUCCAUAGGGAAUAGUUGCUCUUCCACCAGUAAUCCUGGCGUAUGUGGCUCAAGGAGCCCUGUGGAUGCACAGCUGCUCCCGAGGUGUUGAGAAGGGCUGUCAACUACGUCGGCCAUUCAUCUACUGCCUCCCUCCUGAUUUCUUACUUCUACAGAUUGCAGUUUGAAUUCUAUUGUGCGCUGCCACCUCUCAUCCUCUUGCUCCUUUCUUUGGUUCUGGCUUGUGUACUUGUCCAAGUCGCCUCGGAAUGCGAACUUCCACGGAACAAGCCUGAACCCUCGGGUACGUCCUGGGUGUUCGGAAUCCCGAGGGCCAUUGUGAGCUCAUCAUUCUCUUGGCACACCAUCAACGUCCCAUCCUUAACAUCUUUAAUAAUCUUGUUAAGCUUUGUGACCGCUUCACGUAAUAGGUCAUCGAAGACCACCGUCCCAUCAUCUGGGUUUAUCUCACCUCCAUGAGCGUAAUACCAAUUUUUUGAUCGUUCGGGCCAAUCAAUUGUUCCUGGUACGAUACCCCGCUCAAUCAGGUCUUUUUCCAUCUGAUUCCAUUUGGGAAUUGCUUUGGCGUAACCACCUCGCCCUAGCUUAUGAUGGUACUCCUUCCCCCCAACAUUGCCUGUGUUCUGGGCGACCUUGUUCUUGCUAUCUUCGAUGCUCUUGUAUUGUACAAAUGCCUCCCAGUGGUCCUUACACUGUGGAUACACAGUAAAAUCUGGAGUUCGGCCCUUCUUAAUAUAGGUGGUAUCCAACAUCUUCUUGAAUGUCUGGAAUUGUGUGGUCAUCUUCUUUAGUGUCCAUGCUUUCACAUCAUUUUCAAUAUAUCUGUCAAGAAAUGUGAAAUGUUUCUUAACUUCUUCCCACAGCAUAUUCUUUUCUGGUUCCUGGAGCGCGUAUGGAUUAGUCGUUUUGCCCUUCCAUACCCUUAUGCUGAUGGGCACGUUCUCCCUUACGAUUGCCCCAAUCUGACUCACGUACUGUGUUGCCACUUUUUGGGGAGCAACCGGCCUGCCCUCUUCUAUGACUUCCGUGAUGAUAGCCUUUUUUGUUCCAGUCUUCACCUUGGAAGGACCUCGGGGCUUCGGACGAUGGUUCGUCGAUCCAGAGGGAGGGCUAACAGUUCAAGAUUCAUUAAUUAAUUAGUACAUAGUAAUAAUGAAUAACAUCAUAUAUUAUAUAUACAGAGGGUUAAAAUAUGAUCUAUACCUCAUUGGAACCUUCUGCCACGGUAACGUUUUGUUGGGGCUCGGGCUCUUCAUUGCCUUUGGCAGACAGGUUGAGAAACAUGUGUGCCUGGCUACCCUCUUCAUCAGUGUACGCUAUGGGAAGGUUGGAACUACUAUCACCAGCAAUAAUCCACUCCAAUAGAUACCUUCUGGCCUCGUCGUCUGCCAUCGAUCUCAACUACUUUGUACAUGAAAUCAUAUAUAGAAAAACCAUGAAAAAAAAUUCAUUUCAACAAUUUUUUUUGAAAUAUACAAAAUGUACUACAUUUUUGAAAUAUACAAAAUGUAUUACAUUUUUGAAAUAUACAAAAUGUAACAUACAAAAUGUAAUAUACAAAAUGUAAUAUACAAAAUGUACUAUGCAAAAUGUAAUAUACAAAAUGUAACAUACAAAAUGUAAUAUACGAAAUGUACUAUGCAAAAUGUAAUAAAAAAUGUAACAUACAAAAUGUAAUAUACAAAUUGCAAUAUACAAAAUGUACUAUGCAAAAUGUAAUAUAAAAAUGUAAUAUACAAAUUGUACUAAAUUUCAACUAAUUUCUAAGCAUUUCAACAAAAAUUUGUAAACAUGUGUACUAAAGUUCAAUUAAUUUCUAAGCAUUAAUUAGCAGUAUACAACUAUAUUCAACAAACAAUUAGAAGUAAUCUACCAAAUUUCUAAAAUUAAUUCGGGCCGGGGCGACGGUCGGAGUUGGAGGUGGGCGCAUUGGCGAUGAGGACGCGCGGCGACGACAGGGGAGGCGGCCGGCCGGCUGGCGACGGGGACGGCUACGACAACGGGGAGGAGGUGGCGCCGGUGCGCGAUGAGGGGUACGCGCGGAGGUCGCGGUGACAGGGAUAGACGCGCCGGCGGUGGCGACGGGGACAGAGGAGGAGGCCGGCGAUGAUUGCGGGCAAAGAUGAUGGCGGCGGCGACAGAGAUGGAGGAGGCCGGCGAAUAGGAUGGGCCGCCGGUGGCGACUGGGAGCGGUGGCGGCGGAGGCAGGCGACGGGCGGGAUGAGGACGACGAGUGAAAAUUUCGCUAAGUGUUGGGCGGGGGGAGUGUAGAAGACUCUGUAAGUUUUAUACAGGACCCCCCCUUUUUAUCCCGGUUUGUAACUGAAACCGGGAUUACAGGACAUUUAACCCCGGUUUCUAAUACAAACCGAGAUAAAAGGGGGCACCUUUUAUCUCAUUUUAUGAUCACCCGCGAUGAAAACCCCCCCCCCCCUUUAUCUCGGUUUAUGAUCAACCGGGAUAAAUGGGUACUUCCAGGCGGGAAUCGAAAAAGUCCCUUUUAUCCCGGUUCUGUUUUUAUAACCGGGAUAAAUGGGGGCCUUCUCCUGUUUUUCAUCUUCCGACUGGUUUUUUGGUUUUUGAAAAUUUAUUCGAUUUAUGUUUUCACUGGAUUUCAGGAAGCGAAAAAUAAGAAAUUUACAUAUUUCAAACAUGCAAAAAUAUAUUAAAUUAGCAAAGUUUGUUUACAAUAAGUUUUAACUAGUCAUAAAUUCUAUACUAUUUCUUUUUGCUUCUAUUUGGAAAUUUAUUCUCGCCAGGUGGAACUUGUAGGCAUCGGAUCUCGCCGGGUUUCGCUGGAUUUCAUGAAGCAAAAAUUAAAACUUUACAUAUUUCAAACAUGCAAAAAUAUAUUUAAUUAGCAAUUAUAUUGACAAUAAGUUUGAAUUAUAGCGCAGUUCGGAAUGUUGUCAUCAUCAUCCUCCUCUUCACCGUGUAAAAUGUAUAACUAUUUAUCCGGAAAGUAUAACUCUCUUCUAUGCGGACACCACUAUUCUGGUUCGUGCUUUUCUGGUCUUGAGCUCUCGUGUAAAAUGUAUAACCAUUUAUCUCGUAGCCUUGGAAUUUCAUGAUUGUGCUAGAAUUUUAGAUAGAAAUAAAACAAUCCAUCAGAUUGCUAAAAUUUUAGAUAGAAAUAUACAAAUUAAAAUUUCAGAAGAAAACAACAUGAUACACUACGACAAACUCAAAAAUAGCUGAAAGUUUAAAUAGAAAUACACAAAUUUAAACUUGAGAGCAACAACAACAUGAUACACUACGACAAACCAUCCACUAAGUACUAUCUAGAAGGACUUCAAGCAUCCUUGGGAAGCGAAGACGAAGGUUUCACGGACGCAGCCUCAUCAUGUGGUUUAUUUGUACCUCCUGCAAUGGUAGUACUUAUAAGUGGAACAUCGGGGACUGGCGGUGGAGCAUAACGACCACCAAAAGGAGGUUUCUGAUUUGCCGCAACAGCAUCUUCGUGACAUCUUUGCAAAUAAUGAAGCAUUGCUUUCUCCCACGCACUCAUUUUCUUCGGCUUAUCGUGAGGGAAAACUAUGGUUUUCCUCUUGCCGCGAGAGGAACGACGAUCUCCCCCACCAUCGCCACUACCUCCAGCAUCAGAAGCCAUCUCUAUGUACCACAAAUUAUUUAGCUCAUAUUUAAUUUACAAAUAACUAAACUAUUAAAAAAUUCAAUAUUUCCCACGUAAUGUACUUAUUCUAAAAAUGGCUAAUUUCAUACCUUUAUCUGAAAAGUACUAAAGUAUGAAAUUACACCUACAAUUUAUAUGGCUAAUUUAUAAAUAUUAAAAACACAUUUACUCUAAUUUUUUCCUAAUACAUAAAAUUGAAAUAAUCUCAAUUCUACCUCACAUUUACUGUCCAUUCUCCCUCACAUUCAAACUAUCCAUCACAUUGUAGCUCAAAAACAUGUAUAAAUACAAAUCCUCUACAUGCUUAACAACAAACAAACUAAUUUUUCUCCCUCUCUAAAGUAUAAAACAAAGCUUAACAACAAAGCAUGAAGUAGCUAACCUUCACAACACUUUGGAUAGGUGAAAUCCCCACGGAAAUAAGGAAAAAAAAUUCAGCAGCACCUCCCCUAGGCUUGCUUCAGCGCCAUGGAGAGGAUGAGCUUCUCUGUCUUUGUGGAGUGGAGUGGCUCGGGCUGGAGGAGUGGAGGAGGAAGAAAAGGUACUUGUAGAUAAAAUUUUAUCCCGGUUGGUAAAUCCAACCGGGACAAAAGAUUAGAGCUUCUUUUGUCCUGGUUGGUGGUUACUCCCGGGUGGUAACGCCAACAGGGACAAAAGGUUGGAUCUUUUGUCCCGGUUGGAAUUACCAACUGGGAGUAAAACGUUUAUCCCGGUUGGUAACUCCAACCAGGACAAAAGGUUGGGUCUUUUGUCCCAGUUGGUGGCUCCAACCGGGGGUAAAGGGUGGCGCCGUCGGUGCCCGGAAAGUAGCCAUUUUAACCGAGACUAAAGGGUGGCAUGUAGUCCCGGUUGCAUAAAAAGAACCGAGAGUAAAGGUGCACCCCAUUCUAGCCUACCGUGGCGCACCCCUUUUCUCCCGGGCCGAAAUUAAACCGAGACUAAAGGGGGUGGGAUCUAAAGUCAGUUCUCUAGUAGUGAUGUGCGCCAGCUGUAUUCUACCAAGGGCAUGUGGUAAUGCCAUGCUUGUUUUAAUUUCGUCCACCAGCAUUCACAAUGAUAUCAGCACCAUUAUAUAAUUAUGCCACUGUUAAUUUGUGAAGUUAACAGAGACCAUUGGUUGACUUGUGGAGCCCACGUCCUGUGAUCAAGUUUCUGAGGAUUGCUAUAUCAUUGUUUAUUAUAAGAAAUUCACUAUACAUUUUAUCUACGGAAGUUGACAGCACAUCCACCAUAAUGCUACUGUUUCAAGGCUCACCAGACUCUAAGUCCACUGCGAGUAUAUACUAGAUGUACCAAUCAUUCGAUGUGAGGGACGAUUAUUGAACCGUACCUCCCGUUUUCCAAACAAUUAAAGGUACCCUUCCAUGAUGGUUGUACCGAUACCGACUAUCUAUAUUAUUGCUUUCUUGAGCAUACCAAAGGGAACGAGAUGAGCACAGACAAGAUAUUCUAUACUAAAAGGUGCAGAAAUAAAUUAAUCACGAGUUAAUUGGUAUGAUGAUGUUAUAAAUCAUUUAUAUAUGCAUAAACACAUAAGAUGGUGUCACCAAAACUAAUACAAAAGAAGUAAAACUUAUUAAAUUUCAACCAACAAUUAGAUACUCUCUAAGUACACACUACUGGAAAACUGACCUUUUAUCCCGAGGCUCAGUACUGGGUUGCUAUUGGCCCGGUACUAACCUAAGCAUCAGUACCGGGCCCAACGGCUAGACAUCGUGAAGGCCUCUGUGACACCUUUAGUACCGGUUGUCUUCAACAGUUAGUACCGGGUGGUGUCUCCAUCUGGUACUAAUAUGAAAGAGGUUUUAGUCAUGUGCAGACACCUUUAGUCUGUUACCAACCAGGAGUAAAGGGUCCGACGACACCAAACGAGACUAAAACGUCCCCCACGAGUUACUAAAUGGGGGUUACUGACCGGUACUGAAAGCGGUUUCCCUAGUAGUGACAUACAGGUCAAUUAACGGUGAAUUGAAGUUUAAAUUUGCAUACCACCACCAAAUUUACUUUGCAAAUUUCCUUUUGGACUUGCAAUGUUGGCCAGAUUAAAAGCAGUAGAUGAGCUGCUUCCAGUGUAGAAUGAAUUUUCCAUUCAAACAAGCCCCCUUGAGUGGCAAGGACAAUAAAUGAAUACCACAAAUUUUAGAACAAGUUAGGGUUACUCCUCCUUGUUUCGCAUUGUUCAUCAGGUCCCCAUGCCCAUGCAUUUUUUUAUGAUACAUUGAGUUAUGUCAUAUUGUUACUUUAAGUUAUUUUUAAGUAUUAGUUGUAGACAAUUUAGUUGCAAAUUUAAGCGGUUAUUUUAAACUAUUUUUUAUAAUGGCAUAAGUGGGUAAUUUAGAUGAAGAUUAGGGAUUACUUUAGCUUAUUUUAUAUAAUGGCAGAGGUGGGUAAUUUAGAUAUAGAUUUAGGGGUUACUUUAGGCUAUUUUCUUAAUGGUUCUUAAUGGCAUAGGUGGGUAAUUUUUUUAGAAAAUAUAAUAGAUCCAAUGACUAUGAUGAUUUGAGUCUAUUGAUUGAUGGCUAGAUGUUUUGCUUGUUUGUGGGAAUUUUAAAUAUUUCUCUUUUUUCUAGAGUGUCCACCUAGGAUCCUAGGUGGCUUCACUUGGAGGCUUCAAGCCUCCAAAGGAGCUUCCAAAUUAGUAAUAGUAAGAUUUUCUCAAAAGAGACUUAAUUCUACCACUAUAACUUGAUUGGCCACCCCGGCCUCUAUCUUUGCCUCCAUUUGACUAUUUGAGUUGGCUGUGAACGAUUCACGGCGCGCAACGUUACGUUUGAUCCAAAUGCCACCACUCAUGUGCACCAGCUGUAUUCUACCAAUAGCGAUUAGGAGCGAAAUGUGCUUUGGGGUGGUAAUUGGGAUAUAGACCUUGUUCUCGAAGAGAAUCUGAAAAAGGCUUACAUUCACCCCCUCCGGUCACCCGUUCCGAUCCUUCACCUAUAAAUUAGGAGUACCAUCUAGUAAGUGGCAGGUUAGGUAAGUACCUGUAGAUGAAUGUUGGCUUGGCGUGAUCAGCUCUGCUGGUUCCACGAAGAUGCCAAUUUACAGCAAGGACAUAAGUCCAAAGGGAAAAACAAACUAAUUAUAAGUCCACUCGAGGAGCCAGUCAAGAGCAGACAAGAGGCACAUGGGUGCAUGCAUCCACACCUUGGGAUCGAAGCUGCAACUCGUCGAGUUGGAAUUCCGAGCAGACAAAUCUACGUCGAGUCAGAAUUGAUGCACUCCGCAUUCAAAUCAAAGACGGAGUCGGUUUCACUGCUGUAUAUAGCCAAGCAAACUAUUUUAUCUACGGAUGUUGACAGCACAUCCACCAUUUCUGAGGACGUGAGGGACGAACUAAUUAAUUGUUUCUUGACCAUUAUUGCACCGUACGUACCUCGUUUUCACUAUUGUAAUCUAUGAAGAAACAAACAAAAAACAAAACGAUGGAUGGAUCGAUCAUCUCGGGAUCCACUUGUCCAAUAAUCGAGAGGGCCUAUACAUGGACCACGCGCAAUUCAAGGAAAAAGAAAAAUUUGAGAUCACGUGUGCGGAUCCCUAAGUAGUAAGAAAGAAUAAUUGAGCUAGCAACAAUAAGUAGGACAUCUCCAUGCUCACCUAGUAGCCACUGCUAGUGCGCGUGGAACACGAGUGCCGGCCCAGUUGGCGCUAAGACAUGCAUUAAGUCUGAGGUGCUGGGACAUCAAGAUAAGACAUCGUACGUGCUAGGACUGGCCCAUAUAUUAUUGCAUGAUCAUCAAGAUAAGACAGUAUAGUGACUGAGUGAGACAUAUAUGUACUCACCUGCAUUUAUAUAUCCAAGAAGAGACAAGAGGGAGGCACAUGGGUGCAAGCCUCCACACGUUCGGAACUAAAGAGGUUUUAGUCCCGUGCAGACACCUUUAGUCCGGGUUGCUGUUACCAACCAGGAGUAAAGGAUCCGACAGCACCAACCGGGACUAAAGCGUCCCCCACGAGUUACUACAAAAGGAUUGCAUCCUCUACUCAGUCAGAUGUACUGUGUAGGUGAGAUGGUAAUAAGGAAGCUAUGUGCGAGGGUUGAGGUCGUGGGUUCAAAUCCCACGCACCGCGCGCGUACACGCAUAUUUCACAUGAAAAAUCGCGUGACUUGUGAUCGGCCAAGGAGAAGUGGGUGCAGCUCAGGCACGCCGCCAUAGACAUCUCGGAUUUGCUCAAAGACUACCAAGACACUAGCAAACCCUUAACAACAAAGGUGAGUACUUAGGCAUGUCAGCAUCUAUGUUGUCCAUGCUUCCAAUGCAAUAACAAGAAGGACUACUGUUCCUAGUGGACUCUUCACAACCACUCGUAAAGCUAUGAGUUUCUCAAUGCAAUUUUGUGGAAGGCAAUCGAUCCAACCAAGCGACUAAAUCAUUCGUCCUUGCCAAUGAUGUGCAUCAGGUUUUCUAUAUGAAGGACAUGUCUAGCAAACCCAAGAUUUCAGAAGAAAAAGAAAAAUCGUGGGAGCCAAAGCGUCACAUAGUUCUUCCAGGUAAAAAAAAUCAUGGGAGUCGAAAACAAAUCAGACCAAUCAGGGGAUUGUGGUCAGCUUGAUGGCAUGCCUCCAUUCGAGAUCAAAGUUGACCCAAGCAUCAUGUUAGUCAAAGAUCAAAUGUUCAUGCGUUGCUACGGUAAAGAUCAAUUGUGUUUUUUAAACUCAUGGAAUUUUUUUAUCUAAGUUUUUAUUACACUUAUCGGAUGUCUACACAUUUGCUAGAAAACCAAAAUAAUUUUGACUUAAUUAUUUCUUUCAACUCAAAUACUCAUUAAAUUUCUACCUUUUUAUUUAAGCAAGAGAGUUGCUAAAAAAAAUGGAUAUGUAACCAUGUUGUAUCAUACAAAGCAACCACAUUUCACAUAUAGUCCGGCUUAGCAAACACCAUUUUUGUCUGAACAUAGCGUACAUGAGUUAGUAGACAUGGAUCUAUUUCUAAUUGCAAGUAGCAUAACGUACAACCAGUCUGCACCGAUGCAACUCAAUAUGCGAUGAUUUUUAUCUACCCAUGUAAUUUUUCCUCUCUAGUACAUAUUGAACUCCACAUGAAUGUCAUGUUCUUUCAUGCUACAGACGGUUCCUAAAGUUUGGAAACUAAAUAGAUAGCCAGAAAUUUUUAAAAAAAAUAUUUGUAUGGAUACAUGUAUGUUCUUUGCAAACUAACAAUAUUGUUUACCAAUAUCAAAAGGAAUAUGGCUAGGAUCGUUACUGCAUAUGGCAGGUGAUGGUAAAGUUAUCAACUGCAAAGUAUUAGGCCCCGUUGAGCUCUACAAUGUUGAUAUAAAGUUUCUAUUCAUCCGAGAUCAAAUGAAAAAGUUGGUACUCAAAACAUACAUCCAUUAAUCUAGUCAUGCUAAUCCUUACCACCAAAUAAAAAACUAGCAUGUGUUGUGUGUUUGUGACCCUAAACGGUCACAAAUGAAUAACUUAUGGGCGGUGCUAGUGCCCGGACGUACGGUCCGGAGCGCUAGCAUCGGACGCACGAGCAGCUUUCCGAUCGGGUCCGACACCACUUCAGGAUCUGGCUUAAAAAAUGUCCCACCGAAACAUUGUUCCAUGUUGCAUGAAACAUCCCACUAUCCAUUGCCGGGUCUAGAGACAGCACCAGCUUCCAAUCUGCUGCUCACCCAAGCUAAAUAGGGGCAUUAAAAUUGCAGAAAUAUGUCGCAUAUCCUUCUCAAAUUAAACUAAAUUGCAACAUCCGAAAAUUUCUUACACAAAACCAUGAAACAUAUCGGUUAGAUAGGUGUAACAAGAUGAAAUAUGGUAUGCAACAUAUAGAUUCCGAAAAACAGAUGAAACAUUAUGUAAUUAUUGUUGAAACAGUUGAGAAAAAUAGAUGUAACAUCUAAAGUUAAGAAAAGAAGCUUUAUGCAAAUUGCAAAAAGUUGAAAUAAGUGGUUGAAACAUUUCAAAUCACCAAAUGGCACAUUUGAAAUGACUAGAUGAAACAUCACGAAAUCAAUUGCAACAGUUGAAGAUGAAAACAUUCAAAUGCCUUGCCUUUCUCCAGAUUUGACCCUCAAGCAUGAGUACUGCCAUUUGCACAUUACACCCUUGGGAGGAGCUCACCGGAGAACAACAAGACCGUGUUCUCCAACAAUAUUCCGAUCAAAUUGCAACAUAAAAAACAAAGCAUUGCAAUAUCUGGCAUCACCAGCUACAACAUCAACCAGUUAGGAUCAGGAGAAAGAGGGCAAACACAAGCCUAACAAUGAGUUUUAUCUGGUUUAAAUGAGGAUAAAAAUGUGUAUUUUCCACUCAUCAUGUAGUCUUUCCGCAGCUGUACCGCCUUUAGUGUGUUGCAUUGUUCCCCUAACACCAAGUCUCCAAGGCCCGAGAAAAUAAGGAAACUGAUAGCAGCCCAGAAAUCGACCAUGUUUCUUUCCCCCUUUGGCUUUCCUACUAGGAUUCGGAAUCCUCUUUCGCAUGACAAUCUUAAUUAUCCCCCGUAGUCCAAAACUCACAAAAACAUCAAAAAUCCGCCGAGAAUAAAUUAAGUAAAAAACAUGCACACACAGAUAAUAAUAAUAAUCAUGUUUCAAUAAAAUUGCUAAGGCCAGAGACAAUACAUAAACAUAUUAGACUGCUCAUGACACAUAUCACGGUGGACAGUGUCUGUGUCCUUAUUACAAGCAGCGAGAGGAAUUAAAUAUGCUUGUCACCACACACGCGCGCACAGAUGCACGACAUACAUAUAGUUGAGACCAACAGAUGGACCUCGACUAGAGGUCGCCCCAUAUGGUGAACAAUUUAUUGGAGAUGAACAUUAACAUAACUUGGCCAUAGCUUGAAGCAUAGCAACAUAUGCCUAUGAAUGGCAUUCAUGCUGGUAGCAAUGCAAUCAUAUUGUUUUAGGCUUGUCCAGCUUCUUCCAUCUUAGCAAGCACUCCCAUUUCUUCCAUCUUAGCAGCAACUGUCAAAUUGAGGUAUGGAAAUCCCAUUAGCACAUGAGUUAAUUUUGCUGUGGAAAUAGAGUACAAGAUGUCUUCACGAUGUAAGUAAUAUGUCUGAAGUUGUGAGAUGGGAAGUGAAGUCAACAAAUUACAUUAAUGGAAAUGCAUGGAAGGCCACACAUACCUAUUAGUCCACGAUAUGCUACAAAGCCUUAUAUGUACAUAUAACAAAUUAAAUGCAUUGAAUAGAGUGAGUUUAGUGAAUUUACCAGAAUCGCUCAGAGUACAUGGGAAACAGCAAGUGUUCUUGCAGAUGAAGUCGGGGCUACCCGCAGCAAUACAAGUAAAACAACAUGCUUUUGCCCGGGCGGAUACGCAGCAGCUGCACUGUGCCGCGGGGCCGGGUUAACAUUGAGGCUCAAGAUGACCAGGCACAUGAUCACCAUCAAAGCGGUAGUCCUCUUUCCCUCCAUUGCCUCCUCUUGCUGCUACCUUCCUUGGUUAUCUAGCUAAGUUUAUUGGUAUUGUGUUGAGAGGUGAUUCUUGAAUGGACG